rnacentral:lncRNA from 1 species
UAUAGAAUACUUGAUCUGCUUAGUAGUUGUAUCAUAUCUGGAAACGUAGGCCGGGAAGUUUUCUUUUCACCCUUUGUCAUACUUUGAAUUAGAAAUGUAAAAAGACGAAGAAGAAAGAAUUGCACCUCUAUCACCCCUCUUUAAAUGCCUCGAAGUUGUGGAUAGAUGGAGAACCCUACAGCUUCAGCUCAAGUAACCAAAAAUCAGAGCAGUAACCACUAGCAAGUCAAUGGAAAAAAGGCCAGCUUAUAGGAUGUGGCACUUUUGAAAGUGUUUACAUUGCAAGCAACCAGUAAGUUAGCUCUGGGAAUCUUAGACAUGUUCCAUUUUUUUAGAUAUCCAGUCAGCUAAACUUUGACAUAUUAAGUGACAGAAAAACCAGAUCUCUAUGUGCAGAGAAGGAGUUUGAGCUAUUGCGUAAUGAUCCAAAUUUAGCUGAGUGCAUCGAGCAGUUAAAGCAGGUAAUGUUUUUGUUAUGCUCUGGGAUCCAAUCUAUCCUCUCAUCCGAUCUAAAUAUGCUGGGAGGAAACUUUCUUUCAUCAUUUCCAAGUAAUUGAUUGCUUUGUUACUACAGGAAAUUCAGGUACUUAGCCAGCAUAGACAUCCGAACAGUCUGCAGUAUUAUCUAAGGGAAAUUGUGAGACACAUUUCCACAGCAUCUAUGCGUCCCAACUCAAUGGGCGUUCAUUAUUUGACUCACCAAAAUUUCAACAUAUUCAUACAUACUCAGGUUGAGGAUUGGCGUUACAUAUAUCUAGAAUAUGCACAUCACGAUUCAAUAGACAAGUAUAUCCAGGAGCGUCUUGGGACCCUAACAGAAUCGGUUGUCAGCACUUUACCCGCUAUAUUGUGGCUGGAUUGGCUUCCCUGCAUGUUAACAACUCCAUACAUGGGUAAUUCUAAACCAUUGAUCAAGCAUCAUGUGAUGACUUGCAUAUUGGAUUAGGAUGAUUGGACCUUCUUCUUUGUGCCCCCAGACCUGUUAAAACUAUUUGGCUUGUGCAGGGAUUUAAAGGGAGCUAAUUUAUUUGUGGAUGCAUCUGGGAUAUUCAAACUUGCUGACUUUGGGAUUGCUAAACAUGUGAGUUUUUACCUCUUCACCGCAAGACUACUCAGUGCAUGUAGAAAUUCCUUGCUGAUCUGUGGUACAUUCGAAUGUGAAGUCAGGGACCCAGGGUGACUGCAUACUUCUCGUUAUUGGUUUGUGGCAUUUCAUAUGUGCAUAAAUCUAUCAUAGAUGGAUGAAAUGUUAUUAAGUAAUUUUCUUCACUUUUUUUCCCAUUGUUUCAGGUAAAGUUACCAUGUUGCAUGAACGGGAAAAGAUUUCUUGCUGUAAAUAGAUGCCGAAACCUAAUGAGAGUUCCCUUUCUACUGGUUUCUAAAAAGUUCCUAAGAGCGGUAGUGAAUAGAACGCAAUACCUUUGGCAAAAGGUUGUGGUGUUGUUUUUGCUGCUCCUCUGCAUUCCAAAAUAAGGAUAGAACUUAGUCAGAGUAAGUAAGGGCCUCCUUCCUAACAUGGGGUAAAUAAAAGUUUAUUAAUCCAUAGAAUGGAAUUCUGGACAGUAGCCAAGGUGUUGUUGCUCUCUUUUUGAGUUCUCAAGCAUUUGCUGAGGCCAUGUUGUUGAUUGCUUCAUGGUCCUUUUUCUCAGUAAUGAGCUAACAUGAGUUGAAAGUGGUUGAUUCAGUUAUCAAUAUGAUGUAUCUAUGUCUAUAAAGAUGUUGCUAUUUUAUCCGGUGUUCCAUGAACACACCAAGUAGUAUUCAGCUUUACUAAUGCCAUACCAUUUCUUAGCUAACCGGACAAGCAGCUUGCCGCUCUUUGAAGGGAAGUCUAAACUAGAUGGCUCUAGAGGUACUCUGCUUUUGUUAACGUUAAUGCGGCAUACUUGGAGGUCCUUCCCCAUACUCGCCAGAUGAACAGAUUUCUCUCGAAUCUCUUGAGGUAAGCCUUUGCGAUAACAUGAGAAAGCUGCUUACGUAUGAGUGGCUGCUCCAUCUUCGAAAUCUUCAAAGUAUCGAGGUCGCUGAGUGCAAAGGAAUGGUGGAGUUGAUAAGUGGAGCGGGACAAGGCCAAGAAGGAAGCAUAACGACUUCUGUAAACAACACUCCUUCAUCCUUCCAGCCUUCUUCAAUUUCUCUCCCAAAGCUAGAGUGUUUGAAGCUACGCUAUCUACACCAGCUGAAGAGCAUAUACAAAGCCCCAAUAAGCUGCGAUUUCAUGAAAAGAUUGGACGUGUACGGAUGCCCAGAACUGAAGAGGAUUCCUUUGCAACUGCCACUGCGUGAAAUUGAGGAGCUUCCGUAUAUUUGGGUGGAAGAUGAGGAAAAGUGAAAGACGCUGAUGUGGGAUCUUGCUCAGGCUAUUCUUCAACCUUAUCUCUGAAAAGUGCAUCCUUUUUUUUCAAAUGCUAUAGGUUAAUGAGUUUAAUUAAUAUACGAUUGCUUCACUUCUCAAAAAGUCCUUAUAAAGAUGUAGCUUAUCUGUCUAUAUAGUCAUGCAGCUCUAACGGCGGCCUUUUGCAGAACUGUCCGCCAGGAGAAAGGAUCAUCCUUGGCUCUACUCUUGAAGAAAGCCCUGCUACUCAAGCAUGCUUUCCUGCAAACUCGACUCAAGUUGCCAUAUGAAUUGACUUUCUUUCAUGUGGCCAUGCUUUGUGUAUUUUGAACGCAAUCGCAUUUUUUUUGGCUACUGGAAAUGAGUCAAUCUGGUCGAUAUUUCGGGUUAGUCAAAAAAAUGAAAGGACAAUUUAUUAUUAUGGAUUGAUCUUCCAGGAAUAUUAGCCUUCUGAGAAAAGAGAGAAUUUUGGGCAGCAGUACCUUUAAUCUGUUUGUGUUUAGAAAUGAUUUCAAAUAUAAUAUUGCUCUAACUUGUCGAUCGAAAAUGUUGUGACGUACGCCACUUUGCUCUUUUGGAUCAGAGCAGUGUGACCCUGAUUGAACUUGUUUCGACAUUAAACUAUCUAGUAUAGAAUACUCGACUUGCUUAGUAGUUGUAUCAUAUCUGGAAACACAGGCGGCCAGGAAGUUUUCUUUCCUCCCUUUGCUGUAAAAGGUCACCUUAGCCCCACUUUAGGUUAAAAUGUAAAAAGACCAAGAAGAAAGAAUUGCACAAUUAUCACCCCUCUUUGAAUGCCUCGAAGUCAUGGAUAGAUGGAUAACCCUACAUCUUCAGCUCAAGUUGCUGAAACCACUAGCAAGUCAAUGGGGAAAAGGCCAGCUUAUUGGACGUGACACUUUCGGAAGUGUUUACAUUGCAAGCAACUGGUAAGUUAGCUCUGGGAAACUUUGACAUGCUCAAUUUUUUAAACAUCCAGUCGGUUGAACUUUGACAUGUUCCGUGACAGAGAAACCAGAGUUCUGGGUGAAUGGAAGGAGUUUGAGCUAUUGCCUAAUGAUCCAAAUUUGGCUGAGUGCAUGAGGCAGUUUAAGCAGGUAAUGUUUUUGUUAUGCUUUGGCAANNNNNNNNNNNNNNNNNNNNNNNNNNNNNNNNNNNNNNNNNNNNNNNNNNNNNNNNNNNNNNNNNNNNNNNNNNNNNNNNNNNNNNNNNNNNNNNNNNNNNNNNNNNNNNNNNNNNNNNNNNNNNNNNNNNNNNNNNNNNNNNNNNNNNNNNNNNNNNNNNNNNNNNNNNNNNNNNNNNNNNNNNNNNNNNNNNNNNNNNNNNNNNNNNNNNNNNNNNNNNNNNNNNNNNNNNNNNNNNNNNNNNNNNNNNNNNNNNNNNNNNNNNNNNNNNNNNNNNNNNNNNNNNNNNNNNNNNNNNNNNNNNNNNNNNNNNNNNNNNNNNNNNNNNNNNNNNNNNNNNNNNNNNNNNNNNNNNNNNNNNNNNNNNNNNNNNNNNNNNNNNNNNNNNNNNNNNNNNNNNNNNNNNNNNNNNNNNNNNNNNNNNNNNNNNNNNNNNNNNNNNNNNNNNNNNNNNNNNNNNNNNNNNNNNNNNNNNNNNNNNNNNNNNNNNNNNNNNNNNNNNNNNNNNNNNNNNNNNNNNNNNNNNNNNNNNNNNNNNNNNNNNNNNNNNNNNNNNNNNNNNNNNNNNNNNNNNNNNNNNNNNNNNNNNNNNNNNNNNNNNNNNNNNNNNNNNNNNNNNNNNNNNNNNNNNNNNNNNNNNNNNNNNNNNNNNNNNNNNNNNNNNNNNNNNNNNNNNNNNNNNNNNNNNNNNNNNNNNNNNNNNNNNNNNNNNNNNNNNNNNNNNNNNNNNNNNNNNNNNNNNNNNNNNNNNNNNNNNNNNNNNNNNNNNNNNNNNNNNNNNNNNNNNNNNNNNNNNNNNNNNNNNNNNNNNNNNNNNNNNNNNNNNNNNNNNNNNNNNNNNNNNNNNNNNNNNNNNNNNNNNNNNNNNNNNNNNNNNNNNNNNNNNNNNNNNNNNNNNNNNNNNNNNNNNNNNNNNNNNNNNNNNNNNNNNNNNNNNNNNNNNNNNNGUAUAACAUAUUUGUAACUUUCAAUAGGGUCGCUGAUUCUGUUCAAAAAAAAAAAAAAUAGGGUUGCUGAUUAGAAUUCAAUACUUUGACCAAGUCUAAGGCUGCGUUUGGUUCAACAUUUGCAAUGGGCUUUGUUGAAAGCCCAAAGCUAUUUUGGGAGAAUGCAGUUGUGUUUGGUAAAAAAAUUUUGCAAAUGAACUUUGAGUUGAAGGUGCGUUUGGUAAAAAAAACAUUUGGAAAUGGCUUUAUGGGUAUUAUAUUUUCUUUUUCUUUUUUUUUUUGGAAAAAUUAGGUAAACCCUUCGCCGGACCGGCGAAGGGCUGCUCUUUUUCAUUUAAAAAAUAAAUAAAUACAGGGGCAACGGUGGGUUUUCAAAAAACUUUUGGGGGUAAAAUAGGAAAUAAAAUUUUCAUUAAAUGGACUUGAGCAUCCCGAAAAUGCUGAAGGCUCAAGGCUGGUCUCCACCAGCCUUGAGCUUUCAGCAUUCCCAAGGGGAAACUUUCACUUGAAAGCCCCUUGGGAAUGGUUGCCAAACACCCAUUUUUUGGGUGAAAGGGCUUUGGGGCUUGGAUGGGCUUUCUAAAUGCCCAUCCAAACGCACCCUAAGUCUCUCCCUUUCUCUCACACAUAGAAACAUGAUGAAAUGAUAAACGACGGAGACGUUUCCUGCGCGUGUUCUAAGCAAGUGUGCUGUUUUCUCUUGUGGCAGAGUCCCUCUCGAUUCUUCACCAAAACCUGUUCAUUCCCAUUUCUAGCAGCAGGUGAAUGCCCUUGCUCCUCUAGGAAUUGGGUUUCCGCCUUUGAAAGAAGAUGAGAAAGAAGUAGUCGAGAGAAGAGGAGAAGAGAAUUUUAUUUGUAUUAUGUAUAUCAUUCAAUGUACAAUGUCCACUAUGUUUAUAAUACAAAAUGUGUAUAAGAAAAGCAAGUAAAUAUUUUACAAUUUGGAUCCGAUUAGAUCCGAUACUAAAUGAUCGUGAUUGAUCUUGAAUGAUGUUGUGAAUCUUCAUGUGUAUCUUCUAACACUCCCCCUCAAGCUGAUGGCUUGUAAAUAUCUAAGAUGCCUAGCUUGCUUAGAAGAUAUGCGUGCUGGCUUUGACACAAGGGUUUGGCGAAGACGUCCGCUGGUUGCUCUUCUGUUCGGAUCCCUAGUGUCUCGAUUAUCCCUUGUUGGAUCUUUUCUUGUGCAAAUGGCAGUCCACCUCUAUGUGUUUCGUUCUUUCAUGAACUAUCNNNNNNNNNNNNNNNNNNNNNNNNNNNNNNNNNNNNNNNNNNNNNNNNNNNNNNNNNNNNNNNNNNNNNNNNNNNNNNNNNNNNNNNNNNNNNNNNNNNNNNNNNNNNNNNNNNNNNNNNNNNNNNNNNNNNNNNNNNNNNNNNNNNNNNNNNNNNNNNNNNNNNNNNNNNNNNNNNNNNNNNNNNNNNNNNNNNNNNNNNNNNNNNNNNNNNNNNNNNNNNNNNNNNNNNNNNNNNNNNNNNNNNCAUGUCGCAUAAUUUGCAUCACAAUAUGCAGUCAUCCUCUUAUCACAUUUCUUGGAGAGGAGAAUCUCAAGACCUGGACAUUUCUUCAAAUAUUUUACCACUUUGAGUGUUGCAUUCGUGUGGGACUGCUUUUGAUUGUGCAUGAAUUGACUAGGAGUUUGCACAACAUAAUUGAUGUCCGACCUGGUUAUAGUUAAAUAUAUGAGUUUCCUAACAAGUUUCUGAUAAGUCGUUGGAUCCUUAAUGUAGGAUCGGGUUCUUGAGAGAUUCCAGUAUCAUACUCUGCUGUGGUCAAUUUGAUAUUUUCUUGAUUGGAUUUAUAGCCAACUUACAUCCUGACAGUUCGGCUUCUAAUAUGAUUUCCAAGGCAAAUUUUCUCUGGUUGAGAGAUAUUCCUUGGUCUUAGCUAACUGGACAAGUAGCUUAAUACUAUUUGAAGGGGAGUCUAAAUUGGAUGGCUGCAGAGGUACUCUGCUUUUGUGAACGUCAAUGCUACAUUACUUUUUUUUUUUUUUUUUUAACAUGGUGGAAUGAUGUAGUCUAUCCUGUGGCUCAUACAAUCCUUGAUGGCAUAUGAUUACAGCACAUAUCUCAAUUGUACUGCUGACAUCUGAAGUUUGGGAAGUACUAUUUACAAGGAAACCUCCUUGGAGUGAGUAUGAGCGGGUAAGAAUGCUGCAUUGCUUUUCAUUUUCUCUAUUCGUCCUUCCAAGUAAUAUGCUUCCAACCAAAUCUGUGUUACCAUUUUCUGUUGGAAGUUCGGGACUGUGCAUAUUACCAUUUGUUAUGUGAUAUGUGUCUUUAGUUUCUAUUUAAGGUUUAAUAAUUAAUGUAGGCUCAAGCUAUAUUUAAGGUGAUGCAAAGUUCUCCACCAAUACCUAAGAUGUUAUCUGCCGAGGGAAAGGAUUUCCUGCAAUGCUGCUUUUGAAGAGAGCCUGCCGAGAGGCCCUUCAGUUGCUAUGCUACUUGAGCAUGCUUUCUUGCAAAUUUGAAGUGAUGACUGACUUAUUUCAAGUGCCAUACCUUGUUGAAAAAGUAAUGUCUUACUAUAAAGUUCCAGAUUUGCUAAACCAAAAGUAUCAUGAGGUCCAUAGGUGUGAUGAAGUACUUGUCUAUUGACAAAAUUAGAUGCAUGCCUGAGCGGUGGCAUACUUUGAUCUAGGCAAUUUGACAGUGUUGCCUAAUCUAAACGGAGAUCUAGGCAAUUUGAAAGUCUUGCCUAAUCUAAACAUUUUACUACGGAGUGCAUUCUUACCAUAGACAUUUUGUCUAUUACUUUAAUUUCAUCAAAAUUGAAUGGUAUUGAUAUGGCUCCAAAUAAGCAACAAAUCGGCAAAACACAAGCAAGAAACCCAGAAAAGAAAAAGGAAAAAGAAAAUCCAAGUGAUGAUGCAUCAGAAUCCCUGAAAUAAUUUUGGAAGCAAGUACUCCGUCGAUUUGGUUGGGGGAACAUUGGCAGGUUUGGCAAACCUGCAAUAUCUUAGGAUUGGGGAAGUGAAGAGAAGAGUAGCAAAGUUAUGGGCAUUGGAGGCUCUUGAUUCUUCCUUUAAGAAAGUCAAUCUCAACAAAUACAUGAGAUUUCUCCAACUAGAGUGGCUCUCAUCUCCAUCACCAAAUUCCGGAGAAUUAAGAAAAGCCAUUGGGUGUCUGUGGAUGUAAAUGAUGAUGAUUCGAGAUUUGUGACUUCCGAAAGGAGAAUUGACGUUGAUUGUUGCAAAUAGCUCGUGACUUGUGUCUAUAUUUCAUCUUGUGUCUAUGAAAUGCAAAUAGCCCAUGAAUUUUGUUUAAAAUAUCUCACAUCAUUCAUUUACGAGAUUUUAAUGGGCCUAAUAUUUAUUUAAUUUCCCUUCAAAUAUUUAUUCAAAUUUUUGGGUUGGACUUCCUCAUGCGUGCGUGAUGUCAUUAUUGCACUAGUAUAUUGCGUUAUAUACUCAUCACCAAUACAUCGCAAGAUUCAUCGUGACAGGGGCUUUUGCUCAUGGGGCUAUGAAAAAGUUAAGUGCUAAAAAAAUAUCAACUCUAUAUUUUUUAUGAUAUACUAAACAAUUUUAAAGACUAUGAUUGGCCUUAGUAAGUAAGUCACAUUUUACAUUUUCACAUUAUUUGGCACACAAAAUGUUGAUAUAAUUAGUAUUAAUUCAGGGGCCGCAAUUGUAAUUGGCUCAAAGGUGAGUGCAUCUUCAUAAGUAAUACCGGCAAACUCCUUUUGAGAUUAUCCUUCCUAGGGCAUGUUCUCCUACUUAGAUAACCUGAUAAUUUUCCUCUUUUUUUCUGAUAGUAUAAUUUAAUUUCCCUUUAUUAAUUUCCUCUGUCUAGAUCUAGUGCAUCUCUCUACUCGUGCGUUCGUUCCUGGUGAAAUAAGGGGAUUAAAUUAAUCUUGUUGGCUAACUGUCAACAUCAAUUAAGACAUCAAUUAAGCUUUCUCUCUCUCUCUUCAUAAAUACUUAUACACACAGCUCUUACUGUGUAUUUUUAUCAAUAAUUUCUUUUAAUUAUUUAAUAAUUCAAAUAUUUUAUAAACAAAGACUUGAAUUAAAAUUUGUAAAUACCANNNNNNNNNNNNNNNNNNNNNNNNNNNNNNNNNNNNNNNNNNNNNNNNNNNNNNNNNNNNNNNNNNNNNNNNNNNNNNNNNNNNNNNNNNNNNNNNNNNNNNNNNNNNNNNNNNNNNNNNNNNNNNNNNNNNNNNNNNNNNNNNNNNNNNNNNNNNNNNNNNNNNNNNNNNNNNNNNNUUUUCUUAUGACUCUCGCCUGCAUUUGGACUCUUAUCUCCAUUUUCGUUUUCUUUUGUUCUUUUGCCAAACCCUAACCAUAAUGCGCCUUUUCUUUUUUGUCCCUUUGUUCUCGCCCUUUUCUUUCGUACAACUCGCUCUUCUUUUCCAGCUGUUCUUUUUUUCUUCUUUUUUCGGUUCUCUGCCCAAACCCUUAAUGAAGACUAAUUGGUGUACGAUGACAUUGAGCGCCAUCGUCGACCGAUCAAGUUCGCUAAACUCAAGUCAUCAACGGACUGACUAUCCUUGUUUGAACAGGAGCUUCCACCAGCGUGGCAGGAAAAUGAAAACAAAAACUCAAGCAAGAACUCAUUGAUUUUCUAAGAUUUGGUCAUAAGUAUCGAUGAAAAGAAACUUUAAUACUGCUGCUCCGAGAAUGGAAGCACUCCCAACAAGAAAACCCAAGUGAUCGAAUUCAAUUCACGGCGGAUGAUGCGAGUUUAACAGUCAUUCUCUACGACAAUCACAAUAGCGAUGCAGUAAUUUUGAACUCCCCAGUGAGAUGUCUCUUGAUGCGGCAGAGGAAUCCAAUCUAUUACUUUUUUAUAUCAUCACUAAAAUUUUGUUACAUAAUUUAACUUACAAUUGUAUCAUCUACAUGAAAAUUCGAAAUACGAUCUAACUAAACGGAAUAAAUCGAAUCUCACUAAAUCGAAAUGUUAAACAGAAAAUAGAAUGCCCAGAUGAGAAUCUGACUUGACAGUCUAGAAAAAAACUGGAAUUCUUUCUGAUAAAUCUUUAAGUUCUAACUAAAACAUGUACUGUGUUUCUAGCUGAUGUCUCCUUCUGUUUUCCUUUCUUGCCGACUAGCUCUAUACGUAAGGACCGGGUCGUGAUGGUGUGAAUGCUUCGCCGGGGAGUCUCGACUAAAAGCAGCCUCCCUCCGACCGGGAUUCACCUGCUUUUCACCUUUUGCUUUUCACACUAAAUCUUUGCUGAAGAUAUGGUCAUUCAUCGUGAGGGUGUGCUGCAAUUUCUCCGCUGCCGUUGCCUUCUUGACCACGUUCUUCUCCUCAUCAGAGCAAUCUCCACCGAAGCCCACCGACAGUUCCACUUGCGCUCUUCUUUUAUUUCAAGUCUUUUUCAACUUUCUCUGCUUUCGGUUCCGCAUGGCCCGACCAUGUCCCCUCGUCCUUGUCUCGGUGUUCAGUUAGUCGGCACGUUUCCACCGUAUCGUGUCUCACGAGAAUUUGCUCUCCAUUUUUGCAGAAUUUCAGCUCUUCCCUUUCUGUUCCUUUUUUGUGUUUUCACACUUCUAUUUCCCUUCCUUCGCACUCGCACGAAUGCCGUGUCGAAAGUGGACUCAAGUUGACCAUUUCGGUUCACAAAAAUUCGCAAUUUUAUUGGAAACGGUCUGUAAUUUUAAAUGCGAAAGAAUGCAAUAGAGAUUGAGAAUGUGAGAUUACAAAUGCUUUUUUUUUUUUAAUAAGGGGUCAAAUUAUCAGUGAAUUUGAUUGCUGAAUUUCAUGAGAAUGCGGAUAGGACCUUUAGGUGAAAAUCUGUGUCAACAAUAAUUUUCCUCAAAAGUUAGCAAGUUGUUAUUCCUCUUUAAAUUAUCCCUUCGUUGAAUUUUUUUAUUAUUUAUUUUUGCCUAAAGAUCCAAACUGUAUACGAAAUUGAUCUGGUAAAUUAAUUAGUAUAUGUAAAAUUCCAAGUCUGAUUCGAGAUUUAUGCGAUGUAAAUAAGCAGCACUACUUCUGAAGUUUUCCUAAUUAAUGUUAUGCAAAUCAUUUCUAGAGGGAUAAAAGAACUAAUUGACACUUUUCUUAUAGCUAAUGAUUUAUGGCACAAAGAUACUAACAGUCGAGAGAUGCUGUGGGUUUUUUGAAAGGUUAAGCGCUGGGGGAGCCUCCAUUUUAUAGUGGAGACAGACAGACAGAGGAGAGAGAGAGAGAGAGAGAGAGAGAGAGAGACCAAUGGCAUCGGUAUUGAAACUUGCAAAGAAGAGAAGAACUAGCACAUACCACAAAGUGCUAAUUCCUACCUCUAAAAUGACGACCGUGUAGCAACUCUGAGAUUGUUACGCUAUCGGACUCGUCCCCUCUGUCUGAUUUGGACAACUCAGCAACUGCAGACUUGACAUGUGAUCACCAAAUAACGUUCAUUGAAGAUGAAAAUUGUUGAGAAGGACACUGUCGAUGGCUAUUUGAAGGCACGCGAUCACCAUUGCUGCAAAAUUAGGAUAUUGGAAUCACGAUGGACGCUCUCUCCCUUGCGUGAUGCCCCCGCCAAACACUCGCUUAAAGCAGAGCAUAUAAAACAAGAUAAAGCCACCUAAUCCCGUCCUUCGCGCGCGUCCCAUUCGAGCGUUUUCAGUAUUCUCUCCAAUAGCGCAGAGACAAAAAGAAGUGACGCAGCCGACUGACUUUUGGAUUGUACCCAUUUGAAAAAUGCACAGCAAGUGCGUAUAAUUGGGCUCUGAUCACCCCUCCUCUCCAUCGCUUUGCCUCCUCUGGUGUUUCCCUUUAUAAAUACGAGCAGGGAAUACAUCCAUCUUAUUUAACAUAACUGAUCCUAUCCCCUCUAUGGUGAGUUCCUUAUACAUUUAUUAUAUGUGCAGUUGAUUUGUUGAAGGCUGGUGCUACUGUGAUUUUGCGCAAUGCAAAGAUCGAUAUGUUCAAGGGUUCAAUGAGGCUAGCAGUUGAUAAAUGGGGCCGUGUCGAAGUCACAGAACCUGCAGAUUUCACAGUAAAGGAGGACAACAAUCUCUCCAUGAUUGAAUAUGAGCUGGUAAAUGUUGCGGACGAGUAGUUGAUAUCUGAUUGCAGCAUCGUCAUACUUUAAGAAUUUCUUAGGUUGUUAUAGUCAGUUUCUUAUUAUAGUUUCCUGAUAUAUCUACUUUUAUGUCCGAGAUUCUACUUUUGACAAUGAUGGAGUGGGAAGGUUUCUAAUUUCCAGGGUCUAGAUUUGGAUUUUACUACUGAAUCCUUCCUUCUAUACAUCACUCUGCAUUAUGAUCGAUGCUGUAUAAUGCUAGCCCGAACUUUCAUGCUCAAUAUCAACGUGGUAAAUACAUUUCUGUGAUGAAUCCAAUUAUGCAAUCACAAAUUCUUGAUGUAGUGAGCCAAACAUGUAGGUUUGUUAUGGAUUUGGUUCUAUAACUAGGAUUAAUCAAACAUGCACACAUCUGUUCUUUUCCCAUGAUGGAUGCACUAUUAUAAAUCUGGGGCGUCGGUCAGUAAGCUCAUUAAUUUUAAGCUACGCAAAGAUACUAAUAGUUGACCUAUAUAAGUGUGGAGUGGAGCCGCUCCUGUGAGAAUUUUUGGCGAAAUCUUUAAAGCACUUAUGAAUAAACCAAGCACGCACAUAGCCUAUUAGCACAAAACCGCGUUGAACAACAAAGUUUGUGGGAGUGUAAUGUGAUUAGUGAAAAUUAUAAUUCACAAAAAGAAAUUCUUGGUUCAUAGAAGUUUCAAACUUCACCAAUGAUUUCGUGAAUUAUAUUUCAUUCUUUCUAGGAUUGGUUCAUAGCCUAACAAGCAUAAGUUCUGAUGCAUUACUCUCCAAUAACCCAGUAUUAUUAUAUUUUUCUUGUCAAAACUUUUUGAAAUAUGUGGGGGAUUGUUGGAUAUUUCAGUAGUUUUGAAAUAUUUAUUAGAAAUUAUUAUCGUCAUGAAAGUCAUCAUUUUUGUAACGGCUUUUUAACGGUCAUAUAACGGCUUUCUAAUGGUUGUGUAACGGUCUUCUAACAGCUUUAUAAAUUUUGAUUUAUUACUUCAUAAACUCUUCAUUAUUUUAUAACGGUCAUCUUUUUAAUUACUAAUUGAUUUAUGAUGAUCUCCUAACGGCUCUCUUUUCCUUGUUUAAAUAUAAAUUAAACUUCAAACCACAAUCGUAGCAAUACAAUGUGUUCACACAUCUUUCCUUUUCUUCUUGCUGGGUUAUACACAAAAGUUGUUCUGUUUCCUUCUAAUAUUCAGUGUAGAGUAUAGAGGAAGGUCUGUUGUAUCUUGAGAGGAUAGCCACCGAAGCUUUACGCACCGAGUUUCGUACUCCGAGGGGCGGAAUUAUCCUUAAGGACAGUGCUUGCACGCCUCAGACAUUUCAUUUUAUUUUCUAAUCUUUUGUAAUGCAUUUCCAAUAAUAAUUAUUAUUUUAUGUAUUCUAAUACUUUUUCCAACAGAUUUUCCAUAUAGAAUUCUCUCAAAUUAAAAGGCGAUGAAAUGACACCCGUUGAAAUUGUAAAUUCUGUGAAUGGGGUACAAUAAUCGUAAGCUUUAUUCUUUAUUCUUGGACAAGGUCUCUAACGGCAUAUUAUUGUUUGGCUGGAUGGGGUUUUAAUUAAUGUGAACACAUCACUUUUAAGAUUCUGACUUUUUGUUAUAAACUCUACAUAGACAAAGUAGUCUCUUUAGUGAUGCAAAUUAAGGAGAAUAUGGAUCGUCUUAGGGUCUUGCGUACAAUAUGAGCCACUUGGACUGCAAACUAUUUGCACUUCCCAACCAGGCAUUCAUGAAUUGCAUUAUAAGUACUCAAAGAUUCCUAAAGUUUUGGUUGUCACGUAAUCACAAGAUGACUUGUCAUAAGUAUAAUUUUGUAAUAUGAAGGGUGUGUUUAUUUUACUGAAAAUUUCGUAAUAAAGGAAAAUAUUUUUCAUGAUAAUCAUUUUUAAAGAAAAUAGUUAGUUUUCAAUUUUUUUUGGUGAUUUAGGGAAAGUGAUUUCCUCUUUGCCAAAAGAAAAAGUUGUUUUCCCAUGUCUAAGCUUGUUGUUUUCAGUUCACUUAUAUGUAAAUUGAUUAAUCUUCUGUCAACUAAACACUGAAAAGUCGAAAAAUAAUUUUUCAGGAACAUUUUUCCUUCAAUCAAACAGACCUAAAAUAGGAUUUCAAUGUAGAUUUGGGAUGCCAUAGAGAGGUUGAUCCCAAAAACCCUCGAUGCUACUUCAUUGGCCAAAGAGACCGCUGCCUACUUGUGGGUGUAAAAAAUAAAAAUGCCUACAUAAAUGUGUAUAUAUAUAUUGGUCGAAUGGUAGGUGCAAAUGCAACAAUCAAAAGAUUUAAAACAGAUUAAACUUUCAGUCAAUUUUUCAGUUAUUUUAUUUAGAGCUAAUAAGUUAUUCAAUGUUAGUACCUCAUAACGUUUAAAGUCGCCAUGAUUCUUUUCUGUUAAUUUAAGUUAAUUUUGUUAAUUAUUUUGGGAGAACGAAGUUAAUACACCGUUAAAUAAUAAGACUAUAUAAUCAACAACCCUAAUUAACUAUAAUCCACGGGCAUAAUUCUGGUGUUUUCUUUCUUCCAUAGUUAUUUGGAAUUUACUAGGCCUGGAAAUCUUCUAUGUAACUCUUGAGUAUUAUUCUGAGAAAGGAAUGUAAUUUUUCUUUUGAUUUAAAAAAAGAAGAAGAAGAGACCCUCUAACAAUUAGAUCUAGCAGUAAUUCGAUCAACUAGUGGCUUGCAAUCUGUCUGUUGACCUCAGUCAUGAGAGGAAUACCCGAAUACCUAACAUGUAGAUGACCUCUCUGAAACCCACACAAAUCCGGUAUGCCAGAAACUAGAAUGUCAAAUGUGUAGAAUCACUUCAGGACCAGACAUUUCCCUAAAGAACCUUAAAGCUUGAAGACGCGUCACCCUUAAAAGACAACAUCAGAUCACCAGCAAAAGACACAUGGUUGAGUUGAAUCUUGGCACAAUAAGGAUGACACCUGAUUCUCCCGGCCUGAUUGGCUGCAUUCUCCUGGAUCAACACCUCCAUUGCAAUUACAAGAGGAUAGGGAGAGAGGAUCACCCCCCUCCAAGAAUCCAUUUACUUCUACAGGAAGGUUAGGAGUUGUGAUGCAAAGCUCGACCCAAUUUGACAAAACAAAGCAGAAACCCUAGUAGAUUUCAGAAUUUCCAAGAGGAAAUCCCAAUUUAAGGAGUCAAAAACCCUACCAUAAGUCAGUCUCUGUCAAGUAUCUCGGAGAUACAUCAAUCCUAUGAUGAUGCUUGACUAAUUUAAAGACUACCAAAAUAUUAUCUACUCGAAUAUUUCUACCUUCUAUACAAGUGCACACCGAUUCACGUUAAUGAAAAGAAGGCAAAACUUUUACUUAGCUCAUUGGCCAAGAUUUUUGCAAUCCACUUAUUAUAAAGAACUAUAGUGACAAAUUUUUACUUUAAUUUUGUUGAAUUGGAAAUGAAAUUUUGUUUUCAAUGUAAAAUCUUUUCAUAGAAGUUGCCCAUAACAAUGGGCGAUGCUGUCAAAUGAUUGAGGAUCUGGACACGCGCGUCAAGGGAGACAGAAUCAAUGGUGCAAUUCUGAUCAAACGUUGCCAUCAUAUUACACCUCCAAUCCCAUCGUACCUUACAAAGAGUCCAUUAGGACCUUGGGCGAUCAAGUCAAUGGCUCCCAAUCAAACCCAACAUAUAGAAUAAUUUCUUUUAUUUUUUCUAAUGAUUGCUUUUGCCACUGAAUGAUAAAAUAAAAUAUCGUCUUUAUUCAAAUGGCCAGAGCCAGAGAGGGAAGAGAAAAGGCCUUUUCUAUAAUGGAGGCACAUAUGCUCUUGAGCCUAAAUUCCUAAUAGAGCCAAUGGCUCUUUCAUCUUUUCAAUCCCCCCCCCCCCAAGAACACCUACCUUCAUUAUCACACUUCCCCCAUCAAAUCCCUACCAUAGGUGGCAGCAGGUAUGCUAUCCUACAGUAGUUUCGAACUUUGAUGUUCUUUUUUGUUGGGGUUUAGAUGCUUCGGAGGUUGGAAAUGUGGGUGAUUCCAAAGUUCAUGUGUUCUCGUCAUCAUCCGAGGUAAAACCCAUCAUGAUGUUUCCCUUGAUCCAGGUUAUUGGCGCUUUUCAGUUAUGUGCAUGUGUAUUAGUGUCUUUAGUUACGGUGCUUAUGAAUGGAUCAAAAUCACAACUGGAUAGGCAAUUGUAAAUGAUUUCCCUGCUUUAUAACAACUUGCCAAAUGAUGGGAUUGGUUCGAGGAUGUUCGAUUUUGGCCCAAACAAUUGUGGGCGGGACACGUUCUUCCAGGCAAUAAUAGCUGAAUGAAUCCGUAGUGCCUUGUAAUCGUCAAUUUGUGGUUGAGAUUUUAAUAGCAGGAAGGGCAGGUGUUUGAAGAAUUUGAUGAUAAGGCGAUGAAUUUUAUUUGCCUCAGCUAUGUACUAGGAUGUGAAGUUAAAGCUACCAAAAUUUUGCAUCGAUCUCCAUUGAAUGCGGUUGAACCUCUUGCUAACUGACUUCCGCCCUAGGAAAAGAUUUGCAAUCCGAAGAAGCUUGAGCUAGGCCAUUGUUUCCCAUCUUCACAGAUCCGAAGUCACCUGACCUGUAUGAUGUAAAGAAAUCCCUACGAGACGUAGCAUGAACGGAUGCACCACUAUCAAUUACCCAACUGGUCUCAUGAGAUACAAAAUUCACCACAUCACCAUAAAAAAUAGUGAGAAAGUCUUCUUUAAGUGUAGCGACACGAUUGUCAUCACUGUCAUUAUCACUUUUCUCCUCUUUACUUUUCUCCUUUUGUUUCUACCUUUUUAACUGGCGACAAAACCUCUGAAUAUGUCCCUUUCUGAUGACAAUAAUGGCACUCAACAUUAGCAAAUUUAUUAUACUUACCUCUGCUUUUAUCUCGACUUUUAUCUCUACUUCUUAGACCUCGAGACUCACUUCUCCCCAUUUUCUCGACAACCAAGGCAUUAGAAUGUGAAGAGGAUGAUUAAAUAAAACUGAACAACCACUAAGUAUCAUUAGCUCGCUAAGCAAGGAUUAGUGAGAUUAUUCACCGAAAUCGCGCGCAACCCGGAUCAAAUCGACGGGCACGACGUGGGGAAUGAGACUCCCCAAAGCACGGCUUGGGUUCGAGGCCCGGAAACGGCCCAAAACGAGCCCGAAGGGGGCUGGAAAACCCACUCGUGGGUCACUGCCCUUGGCUGGCCGAAGCUAUUUCGGUGGCCAAAACGGCGAGGGGAGGCCGGCGAAGGGUGAGGGGGACGCUGGGGAGGUUGGGACGGCGGCAGGGCGGAGCUGGGUGGCGGUUGAAGGCGUUGGCCGAGCUGGGCAAGGGGGGAAUGUCAAGUAGUUGUUCGUGCAAUAGUUAUCUCAGCGAAGGGGCAUGUUUGAAACCCAUCAUUCUAGCUUUGCGCCUUUUCGCUCAUUUCGUUUAUGCAUGCCCAUAAAGCAAGCGAACAAGUGCAUAAAAAUUUAUGCUACUUUGAGCAAAAAAAUCUUAAUUGUCAUGCAAUAUAUUGAGGUUCUACCAACAUUGGAGAAAGCAGACCAACUCUAGAAAAUACAGAGCAAUAUGUUCAUGGAGUCAAAGUCAACGUUGAAAAUAGAUCAACUCUAGAAAAGACAAACAUGGAAAUAUAUUCACGGAGUGGGGGAAAAGAAGAUAAACUGAACAUCGAAUAGAGGACUACAGUCCAAAAAUCACUGUGAUAAAGUGCAUAGCCUGAUGAAACUAUUCCAGUCCGGCUGGAGUUGGAGGAUCUCCACCUCUUAGAGUGUGGUUAAGAUGGAAGUGUCCAUCCAUCAAUUGUCGAUAAUUCGACAUCAUCGUAUCCAUAUAAGUUCCCAUUGCAUUGACAACGGCUUCUGUCAUAUCUUUCAGUGCUAUAAUUGCUCCUUAUUGAAUGCCCUAAAGUGGAAGUCCAAAACGCACUCCGAUAAAGUGCAUAGCUUGAUGAAUCUGUUCCAGUUCGGCUGGAGUUGGAAGAUUUCCACCUCUUAGAGUCUAGUUAAAAUGGAAGUAUCCAUCCAUCAGUUGUUGAUAAUUCGACAUCAACGUAUUCAUAUCAGUUCUCACUGCAAUGACGAUGGCUUCUGUCAUAUUUCAGAGUGCUAUAAUUCCUCCUUGCUGAAUGCCCUGAAGGGGAAUUCCCUGAUCCUGCCCUGGCUAUUCUUCUUGUCCAUUAAGAUCCUCUCCUUGUCCGUCAGCCUCAUCUCCUGCAAGAGCGCCCCUGGUCUAUUUCCCCUUCAAGUGGAAUUCCCUGCUGAAUGCCCUGAAGGGGAAUUCCCUGAUCCUGCCCUGGUUGUUCUUCUUGUUCAUUAAGAUCCCCUCCUUGUCCGUCAGCCUCAUCUCCUGCAAGAAUGCCCCAGUCUAUUUCCCUUUCAAGUGGAACAUGCUGCGCGAGAGCAGCAUAAUCAAAGUAAUCUUCAAAGUCUUGAUCUUUAAAGUUGAUAUCAUCAACGCUUAAAUCAUUCUUAGGUAAACCUGAAUAAACAGCUCCAUGAGCUGGUUGAUUGACAAUGGGUACUAGAGGAGCUGGUUGAUUGACAAUGGGCACUACAGAUUGAUUAACAAUGGGUAAGACAGGAGUUGCUUCAGGAUCAAUUAUUCCAAAUUGUUGUCGGAACGCCUCUCUAAUAUGUGCAGGGAUUUGACUGCAUCUUUUGAUCUCACGCGUCACCCUCGGCACUCAAGACAGAUGUAUUCUGAUUCUUGGGGUGGCUGAGUGGCCACCACAUAUGAAUUGAUGGACCUCAAUUAAUGCGCAUCUAAAUUGAUGGACCUCAAUUAAAGCCCAAACAAUAAACACUAAUCUAACCACCUAAGCCUAGUUAAAAUAAAACUAAACAACCACUAAGUAUCAUUAGCUCGCUACGUAAGGAUUAGUGAGAUUACUCCCCAGAAUCGCGCGCAACCCGGAUCAAAUCGACGGGCACGACGUGGGGAAUGAGACUCCCCAAAGCACGGCUCGGGUUGGAGGCUCGGAAACGGCCCAAAACGAGCGUGAAGGCGGCUGGAAAACCUACUCGUGGGUCACUGCCCUUGGCUGGCCGAAGCUAUUUCGGUGGCCAAAACGGCGAGGGGAGGCCGGCGAAGGGUGAGGGGGACGCCGGGGAAGUUGGGACGGCGGCAGGGCGAAGCUGGGCAGGGGGGAAUGUCAAGUAGUUGUUCGUGCAAUAGUUAUCUCAGCGAAGGGGCAUGUUUGAAACACAUCAUUCUAGCUUUGCGCCUUUUCGCUCCUUUCGUUUAUGCAUGCCCAUAAAGCAAGUGAACAAGUGCAUGCCCAUAAAGCAAGCGAACAAGUGCAUAAAACUUUAUGCUACUUUGAGCAAAAAAAUCUUAAUUGUCAUGCAAUAUAUUGAGGUUCUACCAACAUUGGACAAAGCAGACCAACUCUAGAAAAUACAGAGCAAUAUGUUCAUGGAGUCAAAGUCAACGUUGAAAAUAGACCAACUCUAGAAAAGACAAACAGGGCAAUAUAUUCAUGGAGUGGGGGAAAAGAAGAUAAAUUGAACAUCGAAUAAAGUACUACAGUCCAAAAAUCACUGUGAUAAAGUGGAUAGCCUGAUGAAGCUGUUCCAGUUCGGCUGGAGUUGGAGGAUCUCCACCUCUUAGAGUCUGAUUAAGAUGGAAGUGUCCAUCCAUCAGUUGUCGAUAAUUCGGCAUCAGCGUAUUCAUAUAAGUUCCCAUUGCAUUGACAACGGCUUCUGUCAUAUCUUUCAGUACUAUAAUUGCUCCUUGUUGAAUGCCCUGAAGUGGAAGUCCAAAACGCACUCCGAUAAAGUGCAUAGCUUGAUGAAUCUGUUCCAGUUCGGCUGGAGUUGGAAGAUUUCCACCUCUUAGAGUCUAGUUAAACUGGAAGUAUCCAUCCAUCAGUUGUUGAUAAUUCGACAUCAACGUAUUCAUAUCAGUUGUCACUACAUUGACGACGGCUUCUGUCAUAUUUCAGAGUGCUAUAAUUCCUCAUUGCUGAAUGCCUUGAAGGGGAAUUCCCUGAUCCUGCCCUGCCUAUUCUUCUUGUCCAUUAAGAUCCCCUCCUUGUCCGUCAGCCUCAUCUCCUGCAAGAGCGCCCCGGUCUAUUUCCCCUUCAAGUGGAAUUCCCUACUGAGGAAUUCCCUGCUGAAUGCCUUGAAGGGGAAUUCCCUGAUCCUGCCCUGGCUGUUCUUCUUGUUCAUUAAGAUCCCCUCAUUUUCUGUCAGCCUCAUCUCCUGCAAGAGCGCCCCAGUCUAUUUCCCCUUCAAGUGGAACAUGCUGCGCGAGAGCAUCAUAAUCAAAGUAAUCUUCAAAGUCUUGAUUUUGAAAGUUGAUAUCAUCAAUGUUUAAAUCAUUCUUAGGUACACCUGGAUAAACAGCUCCAUGAGCUGGUUGAUUGACAAUGGGUACUAGAGGAGCUGGUUGAUUGACAAUGGGCACCACAGAUUGAUUAACAAUGGGUAAUACAGGAGCUGCUUCAGGAUCAAUUAUUCCAAAUUGUUGUCGGAACGCCUCUCUAAUAUGUGCAGGGAUUUGACUGCAUCUUCUGAUCUCACGCGUCACCCUCGGCACUCCAGACAGAUGUAUUCUAAUUUUUGGAGUGGCUGAGUGGCCACCACAUCUGAAUUGAUGGACCUCGAUUAAUGCGCAUCUGAAUUGAUGGACCUUAAUUAAAGCCCAAACAAUAAACACUAAUCUAACCACCUAAGCCUAAUUAAAUAAAACUAAACAACCACUAAGUAUCAUUAGCUCGCUAAGCAAGGAUUAGUGAGAUUAUUCACCGGAAUCGCGCACAACUCGGAUCAAAUCGACGGGCACGGCGCGGGGAAUGAGACUCCCUAAAGCACCGCUCGGGUUCGAGGCUUGGAAACGGCCCAAAAUGAGCCCAAAGGGGGCUAGAAAACCCACUCGUGGGUCACUGCCCUUGGCUGGCCGGAGCUAUUCCGGUGGCCAAAACGGCGAGGGGAGGCCGGCGAAGGGUGAGGGGGACACGUGAGGUCGGGACGGCGGCUGGGAGAGGCAUUUCAGAGAAAUACUACAAAGAUUUUGGAGUGCUUAAUAGGGAAUCAAGUAUCCUAAUAAGGCAUUUAUGGGAUGGGAGGUGUUGGUAAAACGACUAUUAUGGUGCAUAUAUAUAAUAAGCUCAUUGAAAAAGCAAAUUAUCAUUGGUUGUGGGUCACUAUGUCAAAAGAUUUUAACACACAAAAGUUGCAGGAAGACAUUUGGAAGGAACUAAAAGUGGGCACACAACUAGAAAAGGAUGUGAGGAAAGGAGCAGCAAUGUUGUCCAAUGAUUUAACAAAAAGAGGGAAGUCUAUAAUAAUCCUCGAUGAUGUGUGGGAAUAUUUCAAUCUUGAAGAGGUGGGAAUCCCUGUUAAAGCAGAUGAAAUUAAGUUGGUCUUAACCACUCGAUCCCAUGAUGUAUGCUACCAAAUGCAAUGUCAAGAGAAGAUAAAAAUCGAACCUCUAUCUCUAAAAGAAGCUAAGAGUUUAUUUUUUGAGGAGAUUGGAUCUGAAGUGGCUCUUAAUUUGGAAAUUGAAGCAGUUGUAAAGUCCAUUGUUAAAGAAUGUGCAGGCUUGCCGCUUGGAGUCAUCACAAUGGCAGCAAGCAUGCGAGGAGUGACCGAUGGGUUUGAAUGGAGGGACUCCCUGGUUAAAUUGGAAGAAUCAAGUAAGGGGCAAACAGAUAUGGAGAAGGUCUUAAUGAAUCUGAAAUUCAGUUAUGAUCGCCUUGGUAAUCCCGAUGUCCAACAAUGUUUCUUAUCCUGUGCACUUUAUCCAUAAGAUAAAUUGAUUGGUAAGGUUGAGUUGAUAGAAUUCUUUAUUGACCAAGGAUUGAUUAAAACCAUAAUCUAAAUUCAAAACAACUAUUCUUAUGCGCUCCACAUCAACUCCAGUAUUGUUUCCAACUUUAAGCUUUAACUCCCUUGGACUUGAAUUUCUUAGAUUUGUGAGACCCUGUAAGGUAGUGGUCACAAGAGCAGUAGCACCAGAUUCAAGCCACCAAGAAUCCAAAAGAUUAUCAACUAUAUUUGAUUAAAAAAAAAAAACCAACAACUCACCUUGGUGACUUUCUUUUCUUGCUUUUAGCCAAGCUUGGAACUUAUAGCAAUUGGCUCUCUUGAGACCCUGCUUUUUACAGUGAAAACACUUGAAAUCAUUAUCUCCAUUUUUUUCCAGGAUUCCCAUUUUUCUUGAAGUCUUGGCCUUUCUUUGGACCAUGAGCAUUUGACCCUUUAGGCUUCCAUUUUCCUCUAGAUGAAUUCAACUUGGCAUUGGCAAUUAAGUGAGCGGACUCAUACUUCCUUCUUUAACUUCUCUUCCUUAGUUACACAUUUGGUAAUCAAGGCAUUGACGCUUCAUGUCUCAUUCUGAGCACUAUAAGUAGUCUUAAUCUAACUAAAUUCAGCUGGUAAAACAUUUAAGGCAUGAUGCACAAUAUAAUUUUUAGAAAUGACAAUUUCAUGGGCCUUAAGUUUGGACUGAAUGUGGACCAUCUUCAGUAUAAAUUCUCUCACACCCUAGCAGCAUCAUAUCUCAUGUUCGUUAACUUAUUCAGCAAGUUCCCAACUUCAGCUUUAUCUGAGACUCUAUAUCUUUCUCCCACUGAUUCAUAAAACUGUCUCACAUUCGUAUCUUCCAGCAAACCAUUAACGAGAUGCUCAACAAUUGACCUCCUCAUAGCAAUGAGGCUUAGUUGGUUAGAUUUUUCCCAUCUAGCAUAAUGGGCCUUUUGAUUUGCAGGACUUUGAUCAUUGGGCUUGGAAGGUUCAUCCUCACGUAGAGUCAAGUCCAUAUCCACGAUGCCCAUAACAAACUCUAUAUCUUGCUUCCAUUUCUUGAAGUUUGAUCCAGUUAACAUUUCAACUGUGGGAUUGUUAUUAUUUAUAACAAAUGUAACUAUUUGUCACAUAAUGCAAUAAGAUCAAUUAUGGGCAAUAAGGUAUUCAACAAAAAAUAAUUAAUACAUCAUAAACUCCCCUUUGGACAGAGUGUACAAUGCACCAUUAUUUUCCACAGCAUGAAGUUUAUAAAUCAACAACAACAAAAAUUACAUAUAAUUGUCAAUGAUCCAUACCCGUUGGGCAGAAAGAUCCUUUAAAUUAUACAUCUCCAUAAUAUCAAUAUAGAUGGGGAUUACAUAUUUUUUCAAAACAUUUAUCCCCUUUGGGCAGAUAAAUAUUUUUCAAUUAUAUACCCCUAACUUUUAAAUUCGGGAAUUAAUCUUCAUGCUAUUUUCCAAAUUAAUAUAUACAAUAACUCCAUUUGGGUGAAUUAUUGUAUAUACUAAUUUUUAUCAAUAGGGCACUCCAAAAAUUUAUGCCCAUAAUUCACUGAACAAUAUAAAUCACUUUACAAUAUGUGCUUCCCAAGAUCAUAUUGCAUUUAUCACGCAAUAAUUUUUUGCCACAUUUUUUUAAAAUUCUAUUUUUUAUUAUUAUUUAAAUAUUUCGGACCCUCUCGCGGGCCCUGACCUUUGCCCGGCCUAUAUACCCGCAAGAGCCCACGCGGGCCACUUGGAAUGGGCCCAUCACUUCUCUUAAUUAAAAUUGGCUCAUGAAUUGAGCUAUAGGCCCAAAGAAAAGUAAAUUGGGCUCACGCCCAUUAAAAAAAUAUAAAGGUUCUAGGCUACGCCCAAAACCCGAAACAUAAAAAAGAAAGGAUGGGCGAGCCCAUCCAUUGGCCCGGCCCGGCUAGAGGUCUUCUUCAACCUCCAGCCGGGUCCUAAAUCUCUACAAAAUGGGGUCGCACGAUCCAGUUUUGACCUGGAACCAAAAAAAAAAAACCCAUUAACUUGAUUUUUGAUGAAAUCUCUCCAUAGAUCUUGCAUCUAACAUCUGUUGGAUGUAAAACGUGCAACCCCAAGAUUUCCAUAACAGACAAGAACACACAUAAUUGAGUAGAAAGAUUAACGCACCUAUUUUGGGAUCCAUCGUUUUUGAAGCGGAAGCAAAAAUCGAUGAUCCACGCACAAGUCCUUCUCAUUUAUUGCCCUCUGUAUCACUGGCUCAAUGAGACGGCCCCCUCACCCUUUAGCAUAAAUCACCUAAUUCACAUAUACAACAUGCAAUUUCAUAACUCAUCAUCAGAUGACCAAUCCAGCAUUCAAUUCUAAAACCUGACCAUAACAGAGCAGUCAGAGCGCAUUUCUAACGAUUGGUCAUCCCGGUCGAAUUCCCGAAAAAAUUUAAUUAAUGAAAUAAUUAAAUAAAUUCCGAAAAUUAAACUAAUUAAAUAUUAAAUAAUAUAAUUAAAUAAUAUUUAAUUUUAAAUAAAUAAAUAAAUAAAUAAAUAAAAGUCUAAAUAGGAUUACACUAAUCUAAUCUCAUAAUUAGACAAACUAAUCCAUCCGCUAAACUAAUCCAACCCUUAAUCUAAUCCAUACUUAAUUAAACUAAUCUAACUACCUAAACAUCAUUAGGCUAAUUUAAACACUCCUUAAGCAUGAUUAACCACCUAAGUGAGGUUUAGUGAGUAAACUCACUGGAUUUGCGCACCGGUGAGUUCACGACGACCACGACGUAGAGGCGAGUGACGAUCCUCCUAGCGGUGACACUAACGGAGGCUGGGAAGGCACCUAAAAUGGGCCUUGAAACCUCAAGAUCCUUGCUGGUCUUGGCUACUGAUCUUGAAUAAAAAAGGUUGGAACCUUCGAUAAUUGAGGCUGAACGGCGAAGGAGGAACUGGCGGCGGCAGCAGCUGGUCUAGGUGGUUGCAAGCGGUGGCUCUGGCGGCCUUGGUGACGAUGGGCAGCAGCUAGCAACGCUGGACUACGGCCUUAGACGUGCGAACAGUGGCGAAGUAGCGAAGCUGGACGCACGGGCGAGCAGCAGAGGCGGCUGGCGUGCAGGUGAGCUCCAAUGGCUUGCGACGUCGGACGGCCAAGGGAGCUGCUCAGCUGGCUUGCUGGCUUCUUCCUCUGGUUUUCCAAGCUUUCUCUCAUUCAACAACAAUGGAGAAAGCCCCCAAAUGAGGAAGAAGAAUGUUGCUGAAGAGGGGGCCCCCUUGGUGGCUUCUAUGGGCUCAACACAUGUCAAUUCCUCCUCUCUCUUGCCUCCACCAUGGCCGGCCCAUCCCUUAGCCAUUCUCUCUCCUUAGCUUCCUCCACAAGCUUGCCAAUAGGUCCAAAAUGUUGUGUACCCCAUGGCAUACGAAUUUUGUGACUUUGCCCUUCAAUUUCAUUCAAUUUCUCUUCCAAUUGAGUCAAAUUGAAGUCCAUAAAUUCAACCAAUGUAACCAUACUCGAUUCCAUAUUUUUCCUUGUCCAUCGAACCAUCUUGGAUGUCAAAAGCGCGACCAAAAACAGGCCUAAGGAUUUUCCCGAUCCAAUUUCGCCAAAUCUUGAUUUUUCGCCAAAAAUCUCUAUUUGUAGAAAAAUCUUUAGAGGAUAAGUCAUGUGACAUCCCGAAUUUUGACGCCGUCCCGAAUAUAUGAAAUGGGCAUUUCGCCGGCGCGCCUAUGGUCCUUUUUCUCUAAGUUGAUCACUCACGAGUUAACCAAUCUGUUGGGUGAAGCCGUUAAGGGAUAUAACCGCGGUAAAAUUCCUAAAAGCUACCUGAUAGGUUGGAUCAGAUUAAAUCGCGUUCGAUCGAUUUUAACCAUGAGAUUGAAUCCGGUUUGGGGAAUCGGACGUUCGAGCAUGUCGCGGUUCAUUUAUAGGACGUCAUCUUAUCUUUCAGAGAAAUUCCGUCGAGUUGGGAUUUUUUUUCGAAGAACCGUUUCGGACGUAGCGGAAAUUCGUACGGGCCAAAUUAAAGAAAAUUGGGACUUCCAAACUGAACCUUUGAGUGUCAGGGACUUGCAGAAAAUGGAAUGAGAAUUUACUUCAUCGAAAUUGGAUUUCAAUUUGGAGAAUUUGUGAAAAAAUUGAGGCCAAGAAAGUGAAAUUCGGAGCUAGGCAUGGGGGUGCAACAUUGGUCAUCAAAUUGGAAUUGUUGUGGAUUAACUUACAAGAUUUAAUUAUAGGAGACAAGGAGAUAAUUAUGUGGACUUGUGGGCCAAGCUAUGAUGAUUUUAGAUAAAUAUCUUGAUCUUUCUUCCCCCUCACCCACGGCUUCUCGAGCAAGCCUCACGCGUCCCUCUCCCUUAUCCGUUUGUUCUCUCUCCAAGUCGGUCUCUCUCUUUUCUUUCCUUCGAAGACCGUCUGCAGCUUUUCGUUUUCAUUUUCCUUUCUCUCUGGACGCCACAGCUCCUCUCUCUUUCUCUCUUGCUGCCCUUCUUCUCCACCGUUCGAACUCCAGCGCUCAUCUCACGCCAGCUGCUCCACCAUUUUUUGGCUUUCCCUCGGUCAACUCCAGCAGAAUUCUCCAAGUGAAGCCAAUUUGUUGACCUCCGAAGCUCCACCGAAGUUCCUCUCCUUUGCCACUCGUCCAACAUCAAACGCCCACCAGUCAACGUUGCAAAUUUCCCAGGCGGUUUGUUGACCCAGCAAUCCACCCAGCGAAGCUCCUCCAUGCGUGUCUUCAACCCAGCAAAGCCCGAAACAGCUCCAUCUCUCUGCCGUGUGCGAGUCUUCUCUCGCCACCAUCCCCACGAAUCCAGUCAACCGAGCCCAUCUUCACGCAAGUCCACUUCCAUCGUCGGCUGCGCAAAGAAGGCCAAAGCCCAACCCACCGAAGCUGCUCAUCUUCUUCAGCUGCACGUGGAGUGGUUUUGCUCGGUCAACCACUCACCAAAGAAGCCCCACCGUUGACCCUCAUCUUCGCACGUUCGGCCCAGCAGCGGCGUUCCAAGUGAAGCAGCCCUCAGCAACGCACGAAGCUGCUGCUUCCUUCGCCAGCUCGCUGGUCCACGGAUCUCCUCAGUCAACUAAAGCUGUCGCCCGCUCAUCCGUAUCCACCGAAGACAGCCCAGCGAAGCUCGGCCCAAUAGCAGUUUUGUUGCUUCCUUGUUCAGUCUAGUUGAAGCCGCAAGCCCAGCGGCCCAUCCAGUGUCUUUAGCCCGUAAUUUCAGUUACAGCAGUCAGCCCAUCAAUUGAGCAGUUCGGCCCAGCUUGCAGCAAGCCCAUUUGAAGCCCAAGAAGUUUGAAUAGUUCAGCCCGCGAAGCAGCCCAAGAAGUAGGCCCAAUCAAGUCCGGCCCAAGCCCAGCUUUUGCUGUGGGCUUGCAAAGCUUGUAGGUCCGGCCCGAGUGUCCGUCGACACCGCCGAAAAUUUGGAUUUCGGCCGUCGUCGCGUCGCCAUCGCGGUGUCCCGGUCCCCGCUUUUACCAAGUGAGUUUUACUCACUAAUGCUUUAUUAGUUUGCUAAUUAUAUUAAGGUUGGUUAGAUUUAAUUAAAUGCAAUUAGGUGGUUAGAUUAGUUUAGAUCAAUGAAAUUAGAGACUUAAUGAUGCAUGUUAGGUGGUUAGAAAUAGACAUUAGCAAGUAGACAUGCCAUGUUAUUUAUGGAACGAGUCUCGGUAAUUUUCCGGGCUCGUCUCGGUGUCCAAUUCGGCAUUACGAGCCUAAAUUGGAUUUUUUAUAAUUAUUUAUUUAAUUUUCGAAAUUAAUUAUUUAAUUAUUUAUUUUUCCGGAAAUUCAACCGGGAUGGUCGGUGACCGAAUUUUAUGCUGAUUGUCGUGGUGCAGUCCGUUUAUUUAAUUGAGCUUUAUUUUGUGCGGAAAUGAUUUAUUUGUGAAUUUAGGAUUCAUUCCCUAAUUUAAAUAAUCCUGAAAAAUUAAUUGGAAAUUAACCGGGCAUCAGUUAAUGAUACCAAAACUGUUUUAGUGAACUACAGAAAAUAGUGGGAUUUAUAAAAAGGAAAUUAUUAUAUUUUGGUUAAGGUCGAUUGUGUACCCACACACGUCAUUUUAUCGGAAAGGAAAAAAUUAGUUAUUUGAUUGUUUGCUUGGAAUGGCAUGUAUACCGGCUCGAUGACUCCACGGAGCAUCUUGAGACAGGACGGUAUGAUCCACCGGCUCGAUGACUCUACGGAGCAUCUUGAGACAGUACGGUAUGAUCAAUUGUAUGAUCUACCGGCUCGAUGACUCUACGGAGCUUCUGGAGACAGUACAGUAUGAUAAAUUGUGUGUAUACUGGCUCGGUGACUUUAUAUGUCAUCUUGAGACAAGACGGUAUGAUAUACCGGCUCGGUGACUCUACAGAUUAUCUUGAGACAGUACGGUAUGAUAUACCGGCUCGAUAAUCCUACAGAUCAUCUUGAGACAGUACGGUAUGAUUUGACAGCUCGAUGACUCUAUAUGUCGUCUGGAGAUAAGAUAACAUACUAGCUAUAUAUCACUUAGGGUGAGUAGUCUUGGAUGUUGAUCAGACUCAUAGAAAGUAUGGAAGGGGUCGAUAAAGAGAUAAUUUGGAUGACAUGUAAUCGACUAGGUCGAUUGAUCGAUGAUUCGAUCUGAUUGGGUGAGGUGAUGUGAUGAUGUAUAUUUGAUAUAUAUACUAACUUGCAGGAAAGAGUUGAGGCCAAGGUAAGUCCUCUGACUCGUGAUGUGCUUAAGCAGCCUAAGGUGUAUUAGUUUACUAAUCGAGUCUUAGGGGGUAGGACUCGCUGAGACGUGGUCUCAUUGGUUAUUGAAUAACCAUUUCAGGACCCUGAGGAGAAGCUGAGGAAGAGGAACCUGAAGGGAAGAAAUACUUUUGAAGAAGAAGAUGAUCCACAGAGGGAUUUUGAGUAUAACCCAGAUGUGGAUUGAGAUCCCAUCCCUUUUGUGAACCCUGUCUUAGUAGAUAGGUGUGAGACAAGUAUGCUGUGAAUAGUAUUGUAAAUAUACUAUGAGUUGUGCUGUUAAUGAAAGUGUGGUUGUGAAUUUCAAUAUGAAAAAUAUGGCAUGCUUUUCUAUCCCAUUGUUUUAUUGUCUAGGGAUUUAUAAUUGCUUCUGCAUGCGUAAUAAAAUGAAAGGGUCAGCGAUAUAUUGCACUUUAAAAUCGACCAGGAAGAAGGAUGGGCGCGUCCCCGAGGAUCGGGACGUGACAAGUCAACACUCCUAAAAUGACUUGUACAUAAUAGAACUCUCUAUUUUUGAAUUUGGGUUCAAUUUCGCAGUUAAUUUCAAUCUGGCGCGAUUUUAGCACAUCCUAAUCUACCGGGUAGCUUUUAGGAACUUUUUGUGCAAUUGACCUGUGGUCGAUUGUUUUUUAGCCACAAUGUGCAUCGUCGACACAUUGACGACUCUCGAUUGUCAUAGAAAUCUCAAGGUCAAAUAUUGACACAGGGUACCAAAACGACAGAGAAAUCGGUCUAUUGCCGAUCGAGAAGAUUUGUGCGAUCAGGUGGAAUCACCCACACUUAAUCACAUGCCUUUGUCGAGUCGACCUAUCUCCGGUCUCUAAUCGGUUUGUGCCGUAAUGACCCUUGUAGAUUAGUACGGUCCAAUAGUCGUUUCUUGGUCGAAUUCUCAAGUCCAUUGCGUUUAGAUUCCUUAACGUCUUCACCUGAUAGACUAGUUAUCCCGUGAGUAAUUAGCUUAGGGAAAAGAACUAUAUGCGUGUCGAUGAAAAGCCCAACUUAUUCAAUCGAAAUUAGAACCUUAAAUUUAUGAUGUCACAACUCUUCCCCUCUUAUAAAAAUUUCGUCCUCGAAAUUUAAACCAUUACAAUCUUUAAGCAAAAAUGUGGGGGUACAAUCGUCUCAUCGACUCUUCACUCUCCCAGGUUGCUCCUUCAGUCCCGUGGUGUUGCUAGACCACUUUGACCAAUGGGAUGGUCUUUGUAUGCAGGACUUGCUCUUUUCUGUCCACGAUCUGAAUUGGGCUUUCAACAUACGACACUUGGUCGUCCACGUCCAAUUCCUCGAAAUUAAGCACGUGGGUCGGGUCAGGCUCAUACUUCCUCAACAUUGACACGUGCAAGAUGUCAUGCACUUGCGCUAGCUUCAGCGGUAAUGCAAGAUGAUAUGCCAAAGUCUCGAUACUUUCAAGAAUCUCGAAGGGACCUACGUACCUUGGACUCAGUUUUCUUUCUUGCCAAAGUGCGAAGUUCCCCUCAUUGGUGACACUUUUAGAAAAAUGUGAUCACCAACUUGGAAUUCCAAUGGCCUUCGACGCUUACGGUGUAGCUCUUCUGGUAGCUCUGAGCGGUCUUUAAUCUAUCUCUAAUAACUGCAACUGCAUCCACUGACUGUUGAACCAACUCUGGGCCUAUGAUCUUUCUCUCCCCAACUUCAUCCCAACACACUGGUGUUCUGCAUAAUGUCAUACAACGCUUCAAAAGGAGCAAUCUGGAUGCUCUGCUGAUAACUAUUGUUGUAGGAAAAUUCCACAAAAUGAAGUUGUUCUUCCCAACUUCCUUUAAAAUCCAGUACACAAGCUCGCAACAUAUCUUCAAGGGUUUGAAUUAUGAUCUUUCUCUCCCCAACUUCAUCCCAACACACUGGUGUUCUGCACACUGUCAUACAACGCUUCAAAAGGAGCAAUCUGGAUGCUCUGCUGAUAACUAUUGUUGUAGGCAAAUUCCACAAAAUGUUGUUCUUCCCAACUUCCUUUAAAAUCCAGUACACAAGCUCGCAGAAUAUCUUCAAGGGUUUGAAUUGUCCUCUCAGACUGGCCAUCUGUCUGUGGAUGAUAUGCCGUAUUAUACUGUAGUUUUGUACACAAAGCACUCUACAAGCUCUUCCAAAAAGUGGCGGUAAAUCUUAGGUCUCGGUAUGAAGUAAUUGUCACCGGCACUUCAUGCAGUGGAAUCAUGUGGCGCAUGUACAGAUCCGCGUGCCUAUCCAAACUGAAGUCCUUUCGCACUGCAAUGGAGUGAGCCGACUUCGUCAAUCUAUCGACCACUACCCAAAUUGAAUCGUUUCCUCUCUGACUCCUCGGUAGUCUAGUCACGAAGUCCAUCGUGAUAUGUUCCCAUUUCCACUCGGGAUCUCGAGAGGUUGCAGAAGUCCUCUUGGCUUACAAUGCUAAGCUUUAACCUGCUGACAUGUCAAACACUUGGUGACAUGCUUGGCUAUGUCUGCCUUCAUACUUGACCACCAAUAGUGUUGACGUAGAUUAUGAUACAUCUUAGUGCUACCAGGAUGAAUGUUGUAACUAUUACGAUGUGCUUCUGAUAAAAUAUCCUCUCUAAGUUCCACAUCGUCAGGUACAACCAAACGUCCUUGGAAAUUUAGUGUUCCUUCAUCAGAAAUCUGAAAGUCAACCUUUCUUUUCUUUGUAUCUUCUUGUAGAAUCUUCUGCACAUCUGGGUCUGUCGACUGGAGUAACUUGAUCCUGAUCUGGACAUUCGGCUCAAUCCUGAGGGUGGCCAUAAGAUGCAAAAGGUGGCCUACCUCAAAUUUGAACACUGAAUCCCGUGCUCUUUCGAUCAAAUUCCACUCCUUAAUCAAUAUAUGAGCAACUGAAGACUUCUGACUCAAAGCAUCGGCAACCUUAUUCGCCUUUCCUGGGUGAUAUAAGAUCUCACAGUCGUAGUCCUUCAGGAGUUCUAUCCAUCGGUGAUGCCUCAUAUUCAACUUUUUCUGAGAGAAUAGAUACUUUAAACUCUAAUGGUCAGUGAAGAUCUAUAAUCUUUCUCCACAUAAAUAAUGUCUCCAAAUCUUCAAUUGCGAGUUCUAAGUCAUACGUCGAGUAGUUCAGUUCAUGAGGUCUCAACUGACGGGAGGCGUAUGCAACAACUCUGUCAUGUUGCAUCAGCACGCAACCCAAUCCUCUGAGCGACGCAUCACUAUAGAUCUCGAAUCCUCAAAGACCAGAUGUAAUAGUCAGCACAGAUGCGGUAGUUAGUUUUUCCUUCAACUCUUGAAAACUAUGCUUGCACUUGUUUGUCCACACAAACUUUUCUUCCUUCUUUAGGAGUCUUGUCAGAGGCGAUGCUAAUGACGAGAACCCUUCCAAAAACCGUUUGUAACAACUUGCCAAACCCAGAAAACUUCUUAUUUCUGUCACUGUAGUCGGUCUUGGCCAAUUAAUCAUGGCUUCUAUCUUGCUUAGGUCCAUGGAGAUUCCUUCGCCUGAAAUCAUGUGACCUAAGAAAGCAACGAGAGUCAACCAAAACUCACACUUGCUGAACUUGGUGUAUAACUGAUGUACUCUUAGCGUCUACAGCACUAAUCUCAGAUGACUGUCAUGCUCUUCAUCACUUCUCGAAUACACCAAGAUAUCAUCGAUGAACACAAUCACAAACUGAUCUAGAUAUUCCUUGAAUAUUCGGUUUAUCAAAUCCAUGAAAGCAGCUAGAGCAUUCGUCAACCCGAAUGGCAUCACGGUAAACUCAUAAUGACCAUACCGAGUACGAAAUGCUGACUUAGGAAUGUCUUACUUCCUGAUCCUCAGCUGAUGAUAUCUUGUCCUCAAGUCGAUUUUUGAAAAUAUCGAUACUCCUUGUAACUGAUCAAACAAGUCAUCGAUCCUCGGGAGUGGAUACUUGUUCUUGAUCGUUACCUGAUUGAGUUGGCAACAGUCGAUGCAUAAGCGCAAUGAACCAUCUUUCUUCUUUACAAAGAGAACUUAUGCUCCCCAAGAUGAUGCACUGGGACGAAUAAAUCCCUUAUCCAAUAACUCUUGCAUCUGCACUUUCAGUUCCUUCAACUCAGUAACGCCAUCCGAUAAGGAGCCUUAGAAAUUGGCUCUGUCCCGGGUGCUAACUCGAUCAUGAAUUCAAUUUCUCUCUCUGGCGGUAAUCCUGGCAAUUCCUAUGGAAAGACAUCUGUAAAUUCUUGCACCACAGCAAUGUCUUCCAUUUUCAGCUCCUCAACUGUCGUAUCCACGACAGUUGCCAAGUAACCUUGGCAACCCUCGUCUAACAAAAAAGUUACCCCCAGCGACGAGAUCAAGGUAAUCGAGGGUCCUCCUCGAUUCCCGACAAACUCAAAGCUCUUACCCUCUAACGAUUCAAACUGAAUUGCUUUACGAUAGUAGUCCAUUUUAGCUUGUUGCUUGGUGAGCCAGUCCAUGUCAAUUAUCAAAUCAAAGUCAUACAUGGCUAGGACUAAUAAGUCUAUUUUCCCCACUCGCUCACCAAUCGCUAAUUUGCAACCAGAACAACCCAAAGCAGACAACACAUUAUCCUUUAACGGUGUAGAUAUGCUAACAAUAGAUUUUAGCAACUCAGGACUUAAUCCUAUCAAUUUAACAAAUUGCUCAACAAUAAAGCAAUGAGUUGCUCUUGGGUUGAACAAAGCAUAAGCAGCAUGGUUGUUUAGCGAAACCGUACCUGUGAUCACAUCAAGCGCGUCCUUAGCCUGACCUCUAGUGAUAGCGUAAAUUGUCCCUUGAACCGGGGGUCUGAGCUGUCCACCAUGCGAUGCGUUCUGCAGUGCAAGUCCUCUGAUCUAACCCAACGGUGGCGGUGGUGGUAACUAUUGCGAUCUCCCCUAUCUUCUUGGACAGUUCCUAACCAUGUGACCCAGUUGACCACAUCCAAAGCAAGUACCCGGCCUAGAUUGGCAUGGGGCUGAUCCGUGUCGCAUUCCACACAAGCGACACACACCAUUCUAGCUAGAUCUUGCCUUUCCAACUCCACCUUUCCUGUUGGGCGGGAUUGGGAAUUUACCUCCAGUCAUGGGCUUCUUCCCGUGACGUAUCUCUUCUCGGUACGAACCGAACCUCAAUCCAAACGAGGCGGCUUGCUCGUUUUGAUCUCUCUCGAUCAUCUAGGCCCUCUCGUAUAAGUCCUUGUAAGAUCUUAGAUUCAACAAAAUCAAUGUACUCCUUAAGUCUAGCUUGAACUCGUCCCUGAACCUUCCCACUCUAUUCGUUGGAUUCUCAAUUAGUUCAGGAGCAUAUUGCGAUAGUUCAACGAACUUCACCUCAUAUUGAUCUAUAGCCAUGAAGCCUUGGCGAAUGCGCUAAAACUCUGCCAUCUUCAUCUCUCUGGCAGUCUCUGCAAAGUAUUUGCCAUUAAAAGCCUCAUGGAAAGCGUUCCACUCCGGGACGACACCUUCUAGGAACACUACUCCCUGGGUGGUUCUUCACCAAGUAUCUGUAACUCCCUCCAAUUGGUAAGUUGCAAGGACUACAUUUUUAGUUUCAUUGCACAUCAAUAGUGCAAAAGCCUUAUCAAGUCUUUGGAUCCACAAAGUAGCAACUUCAAGGUCUCCUACCCGAGUGAACUGAGGUGGAUUCAAUUUCAAGAAUUGUUCCACCAGCUUAUGAAUUGGUCUCUCCGCGACCACGUUCCAAGGUGGAACUUCAACAGGUGCAACAAUAAGUGCAACAACAAGUGUAGCCUUAGCGGCGGCGGCAAUGGCAGCAAUAGCAGCGGCUACAACAACGGCAGCUUGGUUCUGGGCUUGCUUCCCUAUCAGAUCCCUCAUAGCUUCUACCUUAGCACCAACCAGCGGAACUAAUGGUGGCACUACUCCACUCACGCUAGCCUCAGCCUGCGCUCUACUCUGAGCACCUCGGGUACCGACUCUUGUUAGCGUUCUACCCCGAGUCGCAGGGCCUAUCGCCCUCUUCCAAGGAGUCCUCUAUGUGUAUGCUAGUAUGAGCACCUAGAGGGGGUGAAUAGGUGCGAAAACAAACUUUUGCGAAGUACAAUGUAAAACCUUAAGUUUAACUAGAGUCUGUUUAAUAGUAGACUUUAAAAUAGAAGCGAGACUCUUACAGUUAAAUAAAAUUAUGAGUAAAGUAAAAGAGUUUAGGGAAGAAAAUAAGAACACAAGGUUUAUAGUGGUUCGGCUUAAUCCAAGCCUACGUCCACUCUCCCGCACUGACAGCCCACCGGCUGGAUUUCACUAUGAAUCAAAAGAGUUGUUACAGUAUCACAUCCUUGAUUCCACAGUGUAGAUACUCUGCUACACUUCCUCAAGGUCUCGCAAAUGUAUAAACUCGAAUAACUAGAACGUCUUCCUUAUAUACUCCUUCAUGCCUUCAUACCCGUUGGCACUUUCCAAAGGAGCUCUUCCAAUCUACCCAUUGGACAUAAUUAAUUAGGGAGAUCUCGAGUUAUUUAAGGAAUAUGACAAUAGUCCACCAAUCCUGCUCGCCCAUACAAUCUGGAUCUAGGUUUUCAUAAGUAGAACUUUCCAAGUAUGCUUCGCCAAUCAACGGAUCUAAAUUACCCGAAUUGAAAUCAAAACGAAUAAUAGAUUCCAAUAUACUAUAUCCAGCCGUGAGAUCUUCUUUAGUCGAUAGAAUCAAAUCCUUGGAUCUUGAGUCUGGUGGUUCGGCGGUCUUUAGACUUUGACGAAAAAGUCUACAAGUCUUCAGACUAGACUGAUCGAAACGUUUUGUUAGCUUCAAAACAAAUAUGAAAGUUUUCUCCAACAAUCUCCUCCUUUUUGAUGGUGACAAAACUUUCCUGUAGAUUUGGAUGCUUUUGACCUGCAAGACAAUACUCAAGCAAACAUGGAUAUUUCACAAAAGAUAAUUGGCUUAGCAAAGAUAGCAUUAGAUCUGCAUCCACAUGAAAUAAGAAAGUUAGUCCUACAAAUAAACAACUAUCUUUGCCAUGAAAUACCAACAUUGCUUAAGAUACUGCAACAAACAUUCAAACGAUCAAACAAUCCAAAUCCAGUCACAACCAAACAACUAAACAAAAGUAAAAGUCAAUCAAAAGUCAAAUAAACAAGAGUUAAAUCUCAAAUUUGCACCAUCUCCCCCAUUUUGUCAACAUGAAAAAGGUAGAGACGAAAAGAUAAUGAAAUUAGGAUUGCUUUGGAACGCGAAUGAGCUAGAAAUCUCCUAUCGACUGGACAAUCCCUUCUAGCUUUUUCAAAUCCUCCUUCAAUUGAGCAACUUCUUCACCCUUGGCAUUUGCUUGAACUUGAAGAGCAAGGGCAUGGAUUUGAUCAUGUAAGGAAACUAAAGAGGCUUGACUUGCAUUAUGCAAGUUCUGAACUUCGCAUCCGAGGGCAUAAAUCUAUCCUUGCAUCUCCAUAAGAAUAUCAAGCAGUCUUCCAAAGUCUGCUGAAUUUUCAGUCAGAGUGCUUGCUUCUGCAUAAUCAGUAGGAGUAUUGGUAAAUGAUGGUAAAUUAGCAUGAUCACUCAGAUUUGGCGAUGAAACCUCAUGACCUUCCUCUGGAAAUUGAGAUGCAUAAAUGUCUUUUGGAUCUGCAGGUGAACGACUAACACCUUCAUUAGUAAAAGCAAUUGAAUAUGUACCUCUUUUCUUAGCAACUCCCCCUGUUUCAAUGCCUUCAAGCGGUGAGAAGUACUCUUCAUGCUCUGUUUCCUUUUGUUCACCUCUGCCUCUUCUUCUUUUGCAAUCCUUUCUUCCUCUGCUUCUUUUCGCAUUGAUUCUCUCUCUCCACUCCUUUGUUCGAACUCUUCUCUGUCUUGAUCCUCUCUCUCCUCUGUCACUGAAUAGAAUGAUAUAAGUUCCUCAAUGCAAGAGCAGAAAUGGUUAUAUCGUCCUCAUCAUCUUCAUCCUCCAGGAUGAGUGCUCUUAUUUUCUUGGAUGGAACUGUCAUGGACUCCUUCCCUUUCCGUUUUGCAGCCGAAGAAAUUUGGUGAGUCUUGACAGGGAUUUUCUCCUUUAAUCGCUCCAAAGCUUUAUCCAGCUCUUUUAGACGCAUUUUGGAAACCAUUUUCAGUUCCACCACCAUUUAAUCACAAGAUCGAACACACAGAUUCCUGGGAAGCUGAAUAUUCAAAUGUCUGAACAACUUUGUGACAAGCGCUGAGUAAGGAAGUUGUCUCUUAUCUUUCACCAUCGUUCUAUACAUGUGAAACAUGAUUGUGUGAGGCAGAGAGAACUUUUUUCCCAGCGUUGAUAGCAUACAUCAACUUUGCUUCCGAGUUGGAGACAUUGGUCUUUGAAGUCGAUUUGGGUCUUAGGCAAUUGAUCACGAUCUUGUGAAGCAAAAUAUUUGAGGCAUUCAUCCUCAAGUACGAGAUUUUUCCUUCUGCCAUUCCAUCACGAACAAGCUCUACCGUUGCAUGACCAACAGACACACUAAUCGAUUGGAAUGCCCCUCGCUCUACUCCAAUCACAUCCGCCAAUGUGUCCAUGUCAACAAUAUAGUCUUGGUCUUGAACACUAAAAGGAAAUCUAUUCGCACCCAAGAAACUCAGAUUAUAAUAGAAAUAGGCAGUAAGCUCUGGAUAUGCCUCUGUCGUCUCAGAACAAAAUCGCUCAAACUGAAGUCGAGUGAAUUUCUCUCGCAUUUUCACAUUCAAAGAAUCAAGAAAAUCAAAGUCCACACUUCUUCGAUUGAUUACCCCUCUUUUUAGCAACUUGGAGUAAAGUCGCUUGUGUUCCUUCGACCGAAACAAGUCUGUCCUUUUGCUUCGAAUAUUCGCCGCAACACCCAUUCUAGGCUUAAAAUGAGUGUACAUUUCGUCAUCAUCAUUCCCAUCAGGCUGACUAAGACCUCCAACACGUGGAUCACUAGGAAUAUUCACAAAAGCUCAUUCUGUCGACCCCGCAGGAGCAAUCCCCAAUCGUUCCAUUGUUCGCAAAAAGUGAGUUUCAUUUUGAUGCCUUUCGCUUUCAAAAAUGCAUCAAUAUAGUUCAAGGGAGUGCCUCCCUUCUUCAAAACAGAGUAAAGCUUACAGAUAAAAGCAGGCUUUUGAGUUCUUACUGGUUCUGCCCCUUCAAUGAUUUCUUCCUCCACUCUUUGAUCAACAUCCUGAGGUCUAGCUUGAGGAGAUUGAUGCGGUUGAGAAUGUUGUGGGCUCUGCUGCUGUCUUGGAGAUUCUUCUUUCUCGGUGAGGUCAAAAUGCAUAGGACCCUCACGCAUGUGUUGUGGUCCCCUAUUCGCGAUCCUUGAAGACUUUCUUUGGGACGCCAUUCUCACAGUUUUUGAGAGAUUUCAAACUUGAUUCACGAAAAAGGUGAGAACUUUGUAGAUUAAACUAGAGAGUAAAAAUAAGAAAGUGAUGGUCUGUGCUUUUAGGGUUUGUGAGGAAGACAAUCAGUAUAUAAAACAGUCAAAAAGAGGUAUACGGAACGACGUAAAAGGAAAAAUAGAAAAUGCCUUUUAAAAAAUAACUGCCUUUUUGAAAAAAAAUAGAUAACCGUCAUUUCAAAAGAUAACUUCUUUUUCAAAAAUGAAUGAUUGCAAUAAUCGCAAAAACUGGGAAAGAUAACAACAAUCAAUUACAGAUUAAUAGAUGAUCGUACCUUUUCGAGAUUUUAUCCGACAGAUAAAAUUCUAAAAUAGAAAUAACUUACAGUCGUGAAUCUUGAUUGGCUGAGCCUGAAUAUCUUUAGACUUUUAUCCCUGAGUCUGAACUUCUUCAGACUUUAAGAUAUUGAGUCUGGAACGAAUAAGCUCGUAUUGACUUUUCUCCAGAGGCUUUGUGAAGAUAUCCGCUAGUUGAUUCUUUGAGUCAAUGCAUUGAAUUGAGAUUUCUCCAUUUUGAACAUGAUCUCUAAUAAAAAUGAUGUCGAACCUCUAUGUGCUUUGCUCUCGAAUGAAGAAUUGGAUUCUUGGUGAGAUUAAUCGCGCUGGUAUUGUCGCAUUUGAUCUCACUACAUGAGUCUUCAAUUCCAAAGUCUCUUAGCUGUUGCUUUAUCCACAAAAUUUGUGAACAACAACUUUCAAGAGUCACAUAUUAUGCUUCUACUGUUGAAAGAGCCACAAUACUUUGCUUCCUUAAAAACCAAGAUAUUGUCCUGUUCCCAAGUAAUUGACAAGUGCCCGAGGUGCUCUUUCUAUCAACUCUGCAUCCUGCUAGGUCUGCAUGUGAAUAUCCAAGGAGAGUAAAAUCUCAUUCUUUACAAUACCAGAGACCAAAAUUUGAAGAUGAUGCAACAUAUUUGAUGAUGCGUUUUGCAGCACUUAAAUGAGAUUUUUUGGGAUCUGAUUGAAAUCUAGCAAAAAUACAAACACUAAACAAAAUGUCAGGUCUAGAAGCAGUAAGAUAAAUAAGUGAACCAAUGAUACUCCUGUAUAGCUUUUAGUCAAUUUUCUUCCUUCCUUCGUCUUUGUCUAGCUUCAAGGAUCUUGACAUUGGUAAAUUAGUCUUUUUGCAAUUUUCCAACCUGAACUUUUUAACAAGUUCUUUAGCAUAUUUUUCUUGGUGGAUGAAGGUUCCUUCCUUCAAUUUUUUUACUUGAAGUCCGAGAAAGAAGGACAAUUCACCCAUCAUGCUCAUUUCAAACUCAUCCUACAUAGUCUUGGAGAAUUUCUUGCACAGAUUUUCGUUAGGUGAUCCAAAAAUAAUAUCAUCAACAUACAUUUGAACAAGUAAAAAGUUUUUGUUUUCUCUUUUGAUAAACAAUGUAGUAUCUACUUUACCUUUAACAAAGCCAUUUUGAAUUAAAAACUUACUUAACUUGUCGUACCAAGCUCGAGAUGCUUGCUUUAAACCAUAUAGUGCCUUUUUCAGUCUGAAUACAAAGUCUGGUUUCCUUGGGUCUUCAAAACUGGGAGAUUGUUCCACAUAGACUUCUUCUUGGAUAAAUGCAUUUAGACUUCUUCUUGGAUAAAUCAAUUUAGGAAAGUGCUUUUGACGUCCAUUUGGAAUAAUCUGAAAUUUUUAUAACAAGCAAAAGCAAGUAAUAAUCUAAUUACUUCUAACCUUGCUACUGGUGCAUAAGUCUCAUCAUAGUCUAUCCCUUCUUCUUACGUAUAUCCUUUGGCCACGAGUCUUGCUUUGUUCCUUACGACUUUUCUUUUCUCGUUCAUCUUGUUCCUGAAAACCCAUUUAGCUCCAAUGAUAGAUUUACCUUUUAGUUUAUGAGUCAAUUCCCAAAUAUCAUUGAUACCGAAUUGCCUGAGUUCUUCUUGCAUAGCUUCAAUCCAGCUUUCAUCAAUUAAAGCUUCAUCCAUGCUUUUGGGUUCUAUCUCAGAAAUAAGAGCCACAGCACUAGACUCUUCACGUUUUUUGGAUCUUGUACGAAUUCCUUCAUUAAUGUCACCAAUAAUGAGUUCUUUGGAAUGACUAGACUUGUGCUUCCAGUUGCUGGUUGAUUUGUCAGACUAUUGUUCUUUUUCUUCAGUUGAUUCUUCAACGAUCAUUCGUUGCUGGUCUUCUGAAGUCUAAGCUGCUUCUGGAGAUUUAGACUUUGUAGAGUCUGGAACAUAUUCAGAUUCUUCAGGUUGAGUCUAAAUCGAUUGAUUUUGCAUAAAGUCUUGAAAUUUGACAUUCAUCGAUUCCUCCACAGAUUGAGUAUUUUUGUUGUAUAAUUUGUAAGCUUUGCUGGUAGUUGAAUAUCCAAGGAAGAUACAUUUGUCUGAUUUUUCUUCAAACUUACCAAUUCGAUCAUUUGCAUUUUUCAAUAUAAAACAUUUGCAUCCAAACACAUGAAAAUAGGAAACAAUUGGCUUCUUUCCUUUGAACAACUCAUAGGGAGUUUUAUCCAUAGUAGGUCUUAAGAAGACUCUAUUUAUAAUAUAGCAUGCUGUAGAAAAUGUUUUCCCAAUACACACGGUGUACAUAGAUCAGAUUUUUGAUAUGUCAGGUUGGGUAGUCCUCGAACAAGCUUCUUUGCAGCAAUCUUGGCUAUUUGCUUCAUGUUGAUGUGCCCAAGUUUUCUGUGCCAGAGAUUAGCUUCCUCUUGAAUUGAAAUUAGACAUUGGAAUUUUUCUGGAUUGAUAUCCAAGAGAUAUAUAUUUCCAUGUCUUCGCCCUGUGAAUGUCUGAGAGGAGUCUUUACUGGUUCCUGAACAUAUUCUUUCUUGAAAGUUGAUUUUGUAACCUGUGUCGCACAGUUGGCUGAUACUCAACAAGUUGUAGUUAAGUCCUUCUACUAAGGAAACAUUACCGAUUGUGAGACUUCCAAUCUUUACGGUUCCGUAUCCCACAAUUCUGCCUUUGCUAUUUCCUCCAAAAGAGACUUUUCCACCAUUAACUUGCACAAACUUUGUGAAACAAUUUGAGUCUCUUGUCAUGUGUCUUGAGCAUCCACUAUCCAAGUACCACUUAACCUUUUUCUUGAUAGUGACCUCGAUUUCACUGUCUGAGUCUAAGUCUAUCUUAGAGUCUGAAUCUGAGUCUGAUUGUGCCAUUAGACAAAUAUUAGCAUAAUCAUUAUCACUCUCUUAACACUCGGUAUCACUCCAAGUUUAUGCUUUGAGAGCUUUUCUGUAUUUCUUAGCUUUUCCUUUCUUUUUCUUCAGUAAGGGACAGUUAGGUCUGAUGUGUCCCUUUUUCUUGCAUUAAAAAAAAAAUUACAUCUUUGUUGGAAUCAUCAUCCUCAGCUAAUUUAUUUUGAAACUUUUGAGAACUUUGUUUCUUUGAAUUGAAUCUUCUUCCCUUCUUUUUCAGUUUUCUGAACAUUCUUAUCAUGAGAGCAAGCUCUUCAUCGUCCAUAUCGUCUUCAGAAUCUGUAACAUCAGAAUCAUCAUUAGAUUUUAAUGCAAUAGAUUUUUUACCUUUAAGAUCCUCAUCUUCAUUGAUUUGCUCCACUUCAUAAGACUGAAGAGUGCCAACCAAUUCGUCAACAGAGAGUGGCAUGAUUCUUUGUGUCUCCCUUAUUGAGGUCUUUAUAUGAUUCCAAUCUUUGGAAAGUCCACGUAGUAGCUUGUUAACCUUCAUGGGUCCAGAGAUUGGUUGACCUUGAUACUCAAGACCAUUCACGAUUUCUGUAAAACGACUAAACAUGUCAGUGAUAGAUUCUCCUGGUUUCAUCCUGAAUGCUUCAUAUUGACCGAGCAUAAAAUUGAUUCUGGUUUCUUUCACUCAAUUGGUUCCUUCAUAAGUAAUGUGUAAUCUAUCCUAGACUUCUUUAGCUGUUUCACAAAAAGAUAUUAUGUUAUAUUCAGUAGGAGAUAAUGCACAAUAUAAAGAAUAAAUUGCUUUUGCAUCAAAAGCUUGUCUCUUGAUUAUCUCUUCUCGAGUCAUAUCACUGGACUCAACGGCUUCUUUUUCCCUUUCUGAGACUGUUGUAGUUUUAGCAAUAAUUCCUUUAUCUACUACAUCCCAUUCAAGAGGGUCUUUCGAUCUCAGGAAUGCCUUCAUUUUGUUUUUCCAUAUGUUGUAGUCCUUCCCAUCAAAGUAUGGCGGUCUGGUGUUGCUUUACCCUUCAACCAAGCCUAGAGCCAACAUACUAGUCAUGGAUCAUUAACUCUAAAGUAAAAACUGUUGGAGAAAUCUUCUUGAAGUGUUUUGAAGCUGACAAAACGUUUCCAUCAGUCUAGUCUGAAGGCUUGCAGACUCUGCUAUUUAAAGUCUGAAGACCUCCGAACAGCCAGACUAAAGACUCAAAGUCUAUCCUCAUUGACAGUCUCUAAUCCGUUGAAGAAAGGUUAUCCAGAACUGGAUGUUUCAUUAAGGAUAUGACCUUAUCAACCGGAGAAGAUCUCUUGGCUGGAAAAGACACAACGGAAUCCUUUGAUUGAUCGACAUUGACUCGAAGAUUAAGGAACCGAUGAUUGCCUAAAUAUUCUUGGAAGGUUCUAUUUAUGGAAACCGAGAUCCUGAUUGUAUGGGCGAACAUGAUUGAUGGGCUAUCGACACGUUCCUUUAAUAGCUCGAAUAAUCUUCCUAAUUGAUUCCGUCCAACGGGUAGAUUGGAAGAAUUCAUUUGGUAAGUGCCAACGGGUAUGAUGGCAUAAAGGAGUAUAUAAGGAAGACGUUCUAAGUUGUUCGGGGUGUGCGCGAUAGAAGAAUUCCAAAGUCUGAAGCUCCUUGUUGUUUAGACAAUUCCUUUGAGCGAAACCUUGUAUACAAAAGAGAGUUUAUAUUUGUGAGAAACCUUGAGGAGGUGUGGUAGAACAUCUACACUGUGGAAUCAAGGAAAAGCUGUGCUGUAAUUUCUCUUUUGUUCAUAGUGAAAUCCAGCCGGUGGGCUGUCAGUGCGGAAGAGUGGACAUAGGUUUGGAAUAAGCUGAACCACUAUAAACCUUGUGUUCAAUUUUCUCUUCCUUACUCUCUUUACUUUGAUCGUACUUCAUUUUGUGAACUCCUUUCUAUCAGUUUCCUAGAAUCGCUUCCGUAUCUCGAUAAAUUAUUUGUGCACCUAUUCACCCCCCUCUAGGUGCUUAUACUAGCUAUCUCAAAAACACUUCAAUUUAAAUAAGUAUACAGGCUCUGAUACCAAUUGUGAAUGCUAGUAUGAGCACCUGGAGGGGGUGAAUAGGUGCGAAAACAAACUUUUGCGAAGUACAGUGUAAAACCUUAAGUUUAACUAGAGUCUGUUUAAUAGCAGACUUUAAAAUAGAAGCGAGACUCUAACAGUUAAAUAAAAUUACGAGUAAAGUAAAAGAGUUUAGGGAAAAGAAUAAGAAUACAAGGUUUAUAGUGGUUCGGCUUAAUCCAAGUUUACAUCCACUCUUCCGCACUAACAGCCCAUCGGCUGGAUUUCACUAUGAAUCAAAAGAGUCGUUACAGUAUCACGUCCUUGAUUCCACAGUGUAGAGACUCUGCUACACUUCCUCAAGGUCUCACAAAUGUAUAAACUCUCUUUUGAGUACAAGUUUACGCUCAAUAAUUGAAUUGACAAAGAACAAGGAGCUUCAGACUUUGGAAUUUAUCUAUCGUGCACACACUCGAAUAACUAGAACGUCUUCCUUAUAUACUCCUUCAUGCCUUCAUACACGUUGGCACUUUCCAAAUGAGCUCUUCCAAUCUACCCGUUGGAUAGAAUCAAUUAGGGAGAUCUUGAGUUAUUUAAGGAAUAUGACGAUAGCCCACCAAUCCUGCUCGCCCAUACAAUCAGGAUCUAGGUUUUCAUAAGUAGAACUUUCCAAGUAUGCUUCGCCAAUCAACGAAUCUAAAUUACCCGAAUUGAAAUCAAAACGAAUAAUAGAUUCCAAGAUGCUAUAUCCAGCCAAGAGAUCUUCUUCAGUCGAUAGAAUCAAAUCCUUAACGAAAUACUCAAUUCUGGAUAAGUCUUCUUCGACGGUCUAGAAACUGUCAAUGAGAGUAGACUUUGGAUCUUGAAUCUGGUGGUUCGGCGGUCUUCAGACUAGGUCGAAAGAGUCUACAAGUCUUCUGACUAGAUUGAUGGAAACGUUUCAUCAACUUCAAAACAAAUACGGAAGGAUUCUCCAUCACUCUGCUCCUGGUCACUCAUUGUACAGGCUCCUUAUGGACACCUGUUUUCCAAUUCCAAUCCCAAGUUAGAAUUUGAGUGAACAUACAAUCAAGCUUCCAAUCAGCUUUCAAUCACAAGCAUCAUAAGAAAAGCCUUUCCUACUAACUAUCCCCCGAACUCAUCGGUCCUUAUCACUCCAUACACAAACUUGCUUUAAUACCACUUAAAUGGGGAUGGGGGGCCCCGAUCCUAGAGCAAGCGCACGUCCCGCUGUAGCCGAUGGAACUAAGACAUUCCCAGAACACGUCGCUGAGCUUUAAUUUUUAUACACAUGCGGAAGUGAAUCAAGACCCCCAACAACAAACAUCAUGGGAUAGGAAAGCAGGGCAAAUUUCUCAAANNNNNNNNNNNNNNNNNNNNNNNNNNNNNNNNNNNNNNNNNNNNNNNNNNNNNNNNNNNNNNNNNNNNNNNNNNNNNNNNNNNNNNNNNNNNNNNNNNNNCAAGCCACACAACACAGAGGACUUCCCUUGCCUCAGUUCCUUCCUGCACGUUAGCACAAUUCAUAAAGAAUCAUUAAAUCACAUCAAUCAAGAAUUCUAAUUGAAUCAUCGAUCAAUCGACUUAGUCGAUUACGUAACAACGAGACCUUUCCCUGGUCAUCUCACUUACUCAACCCCAACGCUAAAUUACGGCUCAGCAAGCACGGCCUACUAAACCUUUGGCAGUAAUGCUGAAUUACGGCUCAGCGGCACAACCUAGAUUAUGUGGUACUACUGAAUUACGGCUCAGCGGCACAACCUAGAUUAUGUGGUACUACUGAAUUACAGCUCAGUGGGCACAACCUAAUAGGUGGUAAUGCUAAAUUACGGCUCAGCGGCACGACCGAUUCCAAGCUCGGUGGUAAUGCUGAAUUACGGCUCAGCUGCACAACCAAUUCCCAAUUCGGUGGUGUCUUGAUCUAACUCACAACAAUAUGCUAGUCAACUCUCAAAAGCCCACAAUGGCACAAAACAUCAUUCAAUCAAACAAUCGACAGCCAAUUGCAUAAAUCACCUAAUUCACAUAAACAACAUGCAAUUUCAUAACUCAUCAUCAAAUGACCAAUCCAGCAUUCAAUUCUAAAAUCUAACCAUAACAUAGCAGUUAGAGUGCAUUUCUAACGAUCGGUCAUCCCGGUCGAAUUUCCAGAAAAUUUAAUUAAUUAAAUAAUUAAAUAAAUUCCGAAAAUUAAUCUAAUUAAAUAUUAAAUAGUAUAAUUAAAUAAUAUUUAAUUUAAAUAAAUAAAAUAAUUAAUUAAAAGUAUAAAUAGGAUUACACUAAUCUAAUCUCAUAAUUAGACUAAUUAAUCCAUCUGCUAAACUAAUCCAGCCCUUAAUCUAAUCCAUACUUAAUUAAACUAAUCUAACCACCUAAAUAUCAUUAGGCUAAUCUAAACACCCCUUAAGUAUGAUUAACCUCUUAAGCAAGGUUUAGUGAGUAAACUCACCGGAUUUGCGCACCGUUGAGUUCACGGCAACCAUGACGCGGAGGUGGAGCGAUAAUCCUCCUAACGACGACACUAACGGAGGACGGGAAGGCACCUAAAAUGGGCCUUGAAACCUCAAGACCCUUAGUGGUCUUGGCUACUGAUCUUGAACCGAAAAGCCUGGAACCGUCAGCGAUUGAGGCUGAACGGCGAAGGAGGAAUCGGCGAUGGCAACAGCUGGUCCAAGCGGCUACAUGCGGUGGCUUCGGCGGCCUUGGCGACGACGGGUAGCUGCUGGCGAAUGGCGGGGGAGCAGCGAAGUUGGACGCGCGGGCGAGUAGCAAAUGCGGCUAGCAUGCGGGUGAGCUCUAGUGGCUUGCGGCAGUCGGACAACUAUGGGAGCUACUCGAUUGGCUUGCUGGCUUCUUCCUCUGGUUUUACAAGCUUUCUCUCCUUCAACAACAAUGGAGAAAGCCCCCAAAUGAGGACGAAGAAGGCUGCUGAAGAGGGGGUCCCCUUGGUGGCUUCUAUGGGCUCAAUACAUGUUAAUUCCUCCUUUCUCUUGCCCCCACCAUCGCCGGCCCAUCCCUUAGCCAUUCUCUCUCCUUAGCUUUCUCCAUAAGCUUGCCAAUAGGUCCAAAAUGUUGUAUACCCCAUGGCAUACGAAUUUUGUGACGUUGCCCUUCAAUUUCAUUCAAUUUCUCUUCCAAUCGAGUCAAAUUGAAGUCCAUAAAUUUAACCAAUGUAACCAUACUUGAUUCCAUAUUUUUCCUUGUCCAUUGAACCAUCUUGGAUGUCAAAAGCGCAACCAAAAAUGGGCCUAAGGAUUUUCCCGAUCCAAUUUCGCCAAAUCUUGAUUUUUCGCCGAAAAUCUCGAUUUGUAGAAAAAUCUUCAGAGGAUAAGUCAACACUCCUAAAAUGACUUGUGACAUAACAGAACUCUCAAUUUCUAAAUUCGGGUUCGAUUUUGCGGUUAAUUUCAAUCUAGCGCGAUUUUAGUGCGUCCUAAUCUACCGGGUAGUUUUUAGGAACUUUUCGUGCAAUUGACCUGUGGUUGAUUGUUUUCGAGCCAUAAAGUGCAUCUUCGACACAUUAGCGACUCUCAAUUAUCGUAGAAAUCUCAAGGUUUCAAAUAUGGACAUAGGGUACCAAAACGACAGAGAAAUCGGUCUAGUGCUGAUCGACAAGAUUUGUGCGAUCAGGUGGAGUCACCCACACUUAAUCACAUGCCUUUGUCGAGUCGACCUAUCUCUGGUCUCUAAUCGGUCUGUGCCAUAAUGACCUUUGCAGAUUAGUACGAUCGAGCAGUCAUUUCUUGGUCAAAUUCUCAAGUCCAUUGCGUUUAGAUUCCUUAACAGCUUUACCUGAUAGACUAGUUAUCCCAUGAGUGAUCAGCUUAGGGAAAAGAACUAUAUACACGUCGAUGAAAAGCCCAACUUAUUCAGUCGAAAUCAGAACCUAAAAUUUAGGAUGUCACACGUCUUGGAUUUGACUAAUUUCUGCCUAAAAGUUCCAUCGCAAAGAUGAUUAUUAGUCUAGUGCAAAUUUAAGCAUAUAUUAUACUUUUAAGUGCACUGACACAAGAUACAUCAUUUAUCUAGAUUUUCUUAAUAUCUAAAUAAGGACAAUGUAAUGAAUUCGGUUCAUCAUCCUUAAUGACGGGAGCAAUUCCUGACUUGCAGUAAUGUAUGUUGAAUAUUUCCAACAAAUGUCCUCUGAGAUAAAUCCUAUAUAUAUGGCGAGAACAAUCCUGACGAACCUCAGUGUAAAGGACAAAAGAUGCCUCAAGGUCAUUACUUGUAAACAAAAUAUCACGUACAUAGAGUAUGAGAAAAUAAAUUUCCUCCCACUGACCUUACAGUAUAUAUAUAUAUAUAUAUCUGUGUGUGUGUGUGUGUGUGUGUGUGUGUGUGUGUGUGUGUGUGUGUGUGUUGAAUUACUGUGUUCCUAACUGAACGAAAAGAUAACACUAUGAAACUUUAAUAAUAUUAUCUAGAAACUUGCUUAAGACCAUGAAUAAAACUUUUCAGUAUACACACAAAUUUAUUUAAAUCAUCUACUGCAAAAUCUUCUAGUUGCACUAUAUAGAUUUUGGAUCUAUUUGGCGUAACUCUAUAUCAAAAUACACUAUUAAUGCCACAUUCACUCUGAAAGAAUCUUUAAAAAUACUAAGGGUUAAUACCUUAAAAACCCUAAACUGGUACACUUGUGACAAAUUUACCCCAAACUAUUUUUUUGACCAUAAAAAACCCCAAACUGGUAAACUUGUGACAAAUUUACCCCGACUGAUUAUAAAAAAUCCUAAACUGGUACAUUUAUGACAAAUUUACCCUAAACUAAUUUAUUCGACUACAAAAAACCCUAAACUGGUAAAUUUAUGACAAAUAUACCCUAUGCUAAAUUGGAUUAAUACUACAAAAAACUCAUAAAAAUUGUAAACUGUGACAAACAGAACGUAAAAUCCUAAAUUGGUAUACUGGUUAACUGUCACGUGUCAUUUAACUUAAUAAUUUGAGAAUAAAAUUUAACGAAAACUAACAUAGAGUAAAUUUGUCACAAGUGUACCAGUUUGGGAUAAAUUUGUCAAAAGUAUACCAGUUUGGGGUUUUUGGUGGUCAAAAAAAUAGUUUGGGGUAAAUUUGUCACAAGUGUACCAGUUUGGGAUUUUUUAGGGUAUUAUCCCAAAUACUAAAAAGAAAUAAUUAUUUCUUCACUAUUAACUAUCCACCCCUCUUUCAGAGUGAAAAAUUUAGCUACUAGUUUAGCUUUAAACUCCACAAUCUAUAUUUGAAUUAUUUUUAGUUUUGUACGCCUAUUUGCAACUAAUGAACUUGUGAUCUUUUGGCAAGUCAGUAAGUUUCCAAACACCAUGAUAUUUCAUAGAUUGCAUAUCGCCUUUUAUGGCAUCUAAUUAAGGAUAAGAAACAACAUUUAUAUAAGUAGUUAAAUCAACCAUGUAAUGGAUAUUGCAGUCAUGCUCUCAUAGAUAGACUAUAUAGCCUGAUGGUAUAACUGAUCAUCUUUCCCUAACAAAUAACAAAUCUCCUGAGUAAGGUACAACCACUUCAUUCUAUACUUGAGAGGUUUGAAAAAUUUCAUCACAAACUAUAUCAAUAAUAGUACCUUGAACCUCAACAAGUUUAGUCUAUGGUACAGAAGAUUUCACAAUUGUCUGUAUAGGCAAUAACAAAGACACAAUAACCUCCAUCUUACUAUUAUUCUUGAUAGUCUGAGAGCAACUAUCCUCUACAACUAUGUUGAACUCUAGAAAUUUUACUGUUUGUAAUUCUAUAAUUCUUGUACCUUCAUUAAGGUCAUAAAAUCAAUACCCCUUUGAAUAAUUUAGGUAAGAUACAAAAUAAUUUCAAGUGGAUCUGAAUUCCAACACACUUAAUAUUGGAUUAGAUAACUUCAUUUCUACAUGACACCCCUAAAAUUUAAUAUGAUUCAAGUUAAAAUUUACGUCUAGUCCAUAACUCAAAAGAAGUUUAGGAAAUAACUUUGGUAAGAAACACAUUUUGUAUGUGAAAAUGUUGCUUUCAAAAUAUCAACCCACAGAAGAUUGGAUAAAUUAAUCUUACGCAUUAUACUCAUCACCAUGUUAAUUAUGGUGCAACUAUGCCUUUCAACCAAAUCAUUUUGUCAGGAUUUUCAAGCAUGGUAAAUUACGUUACCACCCAAGAAUUUACCAAGUAUUUAACAAAUGACCCUUUAAGCUAUUCCGCAUUGUCAUACUUGUCAAAAUACUCACUGCCACUAUUAAGCCUAACAACCUUUAAGACUAAUUCUAACUGUUUUAUUAUUUAUCUCGGUCAUUUUACUUCCACAAUAUUCUAUAGUAAUCUUUAGAUAACCGUUAAGAGUAGACAGAAUAUCAACAUUAUCACAUUUUCUACUCUUUCUUUAGACAUGUGUGAGAUUAUUCCUUAAACAAAAAAAUUUUGGAAACAACCUUUUCAACAUUAUAUGAGACGUAUAUAUCAUUAGGACUUAAACACAAUCUUUGCAUAUGUGUCUUAAUUUCGGUAUUAGACAAGACAUAAUUUCAAGCCACUAAGGCUUCCAUCAUCUUUUAGGAGUACAGUCAGUUGGUAAACCACUUUUCAAGUAUUCCUGAAUGGAACACUUCAUGGACAUUAAGCAAAUUCUAUUGUAUUUUUCCUAAGCGGCAGAUCAUAUGUCCNNNNNNNNNNNNNNNNNNNNNNNNNNNNNNNNNNNNNNNNNNNNNNNNNNNNNNNNNNNNNNNNNNNNNNNNNNNNNNNNNNNNNNNNNNNNNNNNNNNNUCAUAUAAUCACAUUUGGGCAGAAUAUAUAACAUGCAGUUGUACACUCCUUACACGAUAGCGGUUAUGAGAAUAUAUUCCAAUAUUCGUGAAUUCAUUACCUUUGGGCAUAUGAACCACUAGGACAGUCAUUCUUUCACCACACCAUCAUGUAUCCCUCCAUGAACUAAUACACAAUCACCUUAUUUGGGAGUAUGACUAUGCAUUAGACCAUGAGACAUCCCAAUCAAUAUACGAGAUCGAAAUUUCUCAAACCCAAUCAAGCGUGCCACUUUGGCAGUCACUACUCAAUUGAAUCUUUGAAACUCUUUCAUACCAGGGAUAUAAACUUUACUUCUCACAUACACCAUAUACAUGUGAUUUUAACUUUAGUGAUAGGGGCAGUAAAUCACUAAAAUCAUAUAUCAUGCUAAUUACACUGCUUUAUUCAUUAACAAAAAUCAAUCAUACAUAUAUAUAAAUGACCUGAAAGACAAACUCCAUUGAGAUCACCGAUCACAGCAACACAAGAAACUUCUCAUAACAUAGAAGAAAGCAUCUCUUGUGCACCUUGAUUGCAGAUUACCAGAACAACAUCAAAAGAAUGCCAAUCCAAAGGAUCUCUCACAAGUUAACAUCAAUAGCAAUACAUGGUACUCCAGAUUGACUAGCUUGACAACUAACUAUUGCUUAUGAGUUUCAUAAGAUAAACUAUGUCUCCAAGGUCAACAAUUGAUUUAUUAGCCAAUAUUAAGUACCAAAUUAUCAUUGUAUCAACCAGUGACUUAUUAAUUGAGUCAAACCACAGAAUCAUGUAUCUAAACUACAACAGUAGAUACUAUGCUCUGCGUAAAUGUUAUCAUACUUCUUAACCAUUAACAAAAAAAAAAAAAAAAAAAUCUUGAUAGACAUUAACAAGUGACCAGAUGAGUUUAGGUACAGUAUCCAAUAAUUUAACUAACAUGAAUUACUCACAUUCAGCAGAUGUGUUAAGUAGUACAAUCAGUUUGGUCACAAGUUUUAAGACGUCCAUCAUUCAAAGGUUACCAGCGUGUAAAGGAGUAUGCUUGAGCAACAAAAGUUUCAUAACCUUUUACUGUUUCUUAUCACAUCAAUACAUAGUUCAAUUACCAUCUCACAAUAGUUUUAUCUCAUUAAGCCAACUUCAGUUCACAAUAAAGUUUAAUUUUUAUUAAUGAAUCACACAUUUAUAAUGUUUAUGUGAUAACAUACCAGUAACCCAACACUUGCUUUUCCAAAAUCACUGAAAAUACAAGAAAAAUACACUAAAAUACACUAAAAUACACGUAUUUAGGGUUUCAUAUGUAUUUUCACAUCCAUAAAAUCAUCAAACAUGUAAACUAAAUAAUCCACAAGACAGAGGAUGAUCAUACGAACCCAACGCCGCCAGCCACACGUCGAUCUAAGGCUCCAUGCGCCCGCACGCGCCGCCUGAGUGUGCGGCGCGUGGAGCUCACACGCAGGCGUAUCUUGACUGAUCAAAACUAGUCUGACCAGUUCCCGGCUUGACCGUUCGGUCCAGCCAUCCAGUUUGACCGGUUGACUGGUCCGGUCAAUAGUUGAUCGGGUCAGGUCGGCUACGAGUUGCUGAUGUCAUCAUGACGUCAGCACCGCGCGUGUGACGAAUGUGCGAGCCGCGUCUCGUGCGUGGGGGCGUGUGAAGGCACGUGAGCAUUCGCGAGGCACGUCUAUGAUGCCUUGGCGGCGUGUGGCCGCGCGUGGGGGCGUGUGAAGGCAUGUAGGGCUCAUCUACAACGCUCUGGCGAUGCGUAGCCGCAUGUGGGGGCGCGUGUGGCAUCCCCCGACGACGCUUCGCCCAUGGAUCCACUCAUCUCGACGAGCCUAGUCCGAAUUUAUGAUUUAAUUUGAUUUUAUUGAAUGAAAAAUCGUGAAAAUCUCAAAAUUAGGGCAAAAAUUCUAUGCGUUUGAAUUCUAGGGUUAUAGUUGCUUUGAUACCACAUGUUGGAUGCAAAACGUUCAACCACAAGAUCUCCAUAGCCAGAACAAAAACACACAUAACUGAGUAGAAAGAUUAACGCACCUAUUUUGGGAUCCAUCGUUCUUGAAGCAGAAGCGAAAAUCGAUGAUCCACGCGCAAGUCCUUCUCCUCUAUUGCCUUCUGUAUCACUAGCUCAAAGAGAUGGCCCCCUCACCCUUUAGCGUUAGGUAAACGCUCCUUAUGUGAGGAUCUCGUGAAAAUUAGGGUUAGAGGAGAGACUUGAACACUAUUUAUAGAGUUCCUAACCAGACCCCCUUAUUACAAGACAUGCUCAACUCAAUCCACACUAGCCAGCCUCAUACUAGACUAAUUAAGAAAUCUUCUAUCUUACCUUAGACCAACCCCAUUUUACGGUAACUGUAAAAUGGUAAAUUACAUUAUCAAUUAAUGUAGUCCACAUUAGGAAAACUCUUACAACAUCAAUAUAAUUUACUACAAUGAAUUAAACAAAGAAAAAACUAGUAAAUUUUCCACAUUCAAGCUUCAAAGUUUCGGAUCUGAGCCUCCCAUGGCCGAAUUUUGGAUUUAUCAAGUUUAAGCCCAAAAAACUUAUCUUAAUGCAACAAAAGGAUGCUAAAACAUAUUUAUAACAAUACCCAUGCAACGAUUUACAACGAACAUCAAUCAAUUGCAAGUAAUUUGAAAAUUCUAGAACUUUUUCAUGCAUAAACCCUAUAAUCUCAAAUUUAAAAUUCUCUCUCAAUUCUCAACGAAAUAAUACAAAUUAUAUAUGGUUGGAAAGAUCUCGGCAUGUAGAACAAAAGCCCUAAGGUUUCAGAAUCAAUCGAUCAAAAAAUCCACAUGAAAAAAUAAUGCCCAUAUUCGGCUCAAAAAGAAAAAUUUCGAAUUUGUUCAUAAAAAAUAAUUUUUGGUUCUACAAUCAUAUAUGACAUGCUCUGAUACCACAUGUUGAAAAUUAUUUACAUAAACAACCUAUUAAUCAAGAAGAAUUAGAUUCAUAUAUAACUGUAAAACAUCGAGAACAAUAAGCAUAGCAGAAUUAAAGCAUACCUGUUUAAGCAAUUGCUUCACUUGAAUAAAAAUAGAUCACUUUGAUAAUAAUAGAUCUAUCGGAAUGGAAAAUCUUCUUUUCUAUGACAUAUUUCAGUAUAGCAGCUUUCAAUAGGAUUAAGCAACCGAUAUGUAUAACCUACCAUUUUAUAAGCUAGAGAGGGCACCUAACAAACUCUAAUCAAUAGUAUGUCAACUGAGCUCCUCUCAUUACGAGCUUCAAUUAAACACAAUUGCCGACACUUUGCUACUCAACUAGGCCCGUUAUUAAUAGAUGCCAAAAUCCAGUUCAAUAAAAUCACUUAAAGGUUUAGCAAAUAUUGAAAUAUCCAUUAAAUUAAUUAUUUAAAAUAGAAAAUCAAUUAAUUAAUGUACGCCCAUAUUAUAGGAAAUUUCCAACAAUUCAAUUAAUUAGAAGUGGAUUCAUUGCAAAAAAGUUCUCAUCCGUGCUCUCUAUCUCUGAUUAUCUACUUCUUUUAUCGAUGCAUAUCAUCAUCUUUUCUGAUCAUGAUAAUAUUUUUCGAAGAAUUCACAGCUGAAUCAAAUAUAUACAUCUAGACAUUUAAAUCUAAAGGAUUAAGUUAAAAAAGGAUUCUGUCAAGUUGAAGAACCUAAAUAUAUUUUGAUAGAUGUAGCUUAAGAUGCAAUAACCUUCUAUGAAUUUUCUAAUGGUAAUUUUAUGUCUGUGCUUUAAAUUUUCUCUUCACUGAGAAUAUACAUUAGUUGUGGCUAGGUGGAUGGGGUUGGAAGUGUAAAUUCUUGUCAAAUGUGGCUAAUUUCUAGAGAGCGUUUGGUUCAGUAUUUCUCAAUUUGAAACCGAGUGAAAAACAAAUAAAGAGAAGGCAGGGGUAGUUGGCAGAAAUUAACUUAUGAGGCGGGAGAUACCUCGUUUGGUCCUAUUCUCAUUCUAGCAUUCUUUUGUCCAUAAUGGGACCCUUGGUUGUAUGAACGCCACCCCAUUUUCAUUAUUUUUCUCAAUGAGGCCUACAUUUGAGAUUUCUAUAAGUGUCAUAACAUAUUAAUAGCAUAUGCGUGCCGACAUUUCAGGUUAGCACUGUGUAUUUUCCAAUAAAAAUGACCUUUCUUUUCCAAGUGCCAAUUUUCUUCUUCCCCUAAGAAUUGUGAUUAUGCUUCGCAAUAUUUCAUUAACGUUGUGGGUUCUUGAAUAUCAAUCUUUAAGUUGACUUUCUCAUCGUUGAACGGAUUUGAUACCUGUGGAUGUUAUUAUUUUCUUGGAAGUAAUGCUCUACUGCCCCAAGAAUACAUAUACUAUAUGAUGGUGUGCGCUCUCAUUGCCCUGAGAACAUGUUAGAUUGUCAUACUAUCUAAUGGUCUAGAAUGCAAAAGUCACAAUGUAGCCAUACGCAGUAUGGUCAUUAGCAAUUUCUACAUGUAAUGCAAAAAAAAAUAAAAAAUGCUUUCUUUUAAUUAUAUUAUUUUUAUUGAAAAUUUAAGAUACGGAUGAUAUAAAGUGUCUACAACAGCCAGGUUCUCAACCUCUCAAGGCCUGUUUCUAAUGCGGAAAUUCGUGAGUCCUUAUUCUCCAUUUCAACUGGUAAAGCAUCGGGCCCCGAUGGCUUUGGCGUGGAAUUCUUUAAGCAUUGCUGGGAUGUUGUUGGCCCUCUGGUUACUACUGUGGUUAGUGAUUUCUUCACUACUGGAAAGCUCCUCAAGGAAUCUAACAACACUAUUCUCACCCUUGUGCCGAAAUGCCCAAAUGCUACUACGGUAAAUGAUUUCAGGCCGAUUGCUUGUUGCAACACGAUAUACAAAUGCAUUACAAAGAUUAUUGACAACCGUAUGGCUGCCAUCAUGCCUGCUGUCAUUAGUACUGCUCAAAACGCCUUUGUUAAAGGAAGACGAAUUAGUGUCAACAUAUUUAUAGCUCAGGAGCUUUUUGCGGGGUUCCACCUCAAGCCACAUAAGCCUAGGUGAGCCAUCAAAGUUGAUUUCCGUAAAGCUUAUGAUACACUCAGUUGGGACUUUCUCGAGGUAACGCUUCAAGCUUUUCGCUUUCCUCUCCACUUUAUUAACCUUAUUAUGAGCUGUGUUCGGUCGCCUCAUUUCUCGAUCUCCCUUAAUGGCGAACUCCAUGGAUUCUUCUCUAGCGGUAGAGGCAUUAGACAAGGAGAUCCCAUGUCACCCUACCUCUUCACGUUUGUCAUGGAAGUUUUUAUAGGCAUCCUCAUUAAGCAAAUCAGUCAACCAUCGUUCCAAUUUUUUUGGAGAUGCAAGGCGAUUAGACUUACUUAUUUGUUUUUUGCGGAUGAUGUGCUGCUGUUUGCGGAGGCGUCUAUGCCAGCCCUUUCUCUUCUUAAGGCAGGCUUGGAUAGUUUUUCCACAUGGUCUAGCCUCUAACCGAAUCUACAUGAGAGUGAGAUUUUUUUCUCAGGGGUCACCCCUGAGUCUCGCGGCGAUUUCAUCUCUAUUUGGCUUCCAAGAGGGAUCCAUGCCUUUCCAAUAUAUGGGGGUUCCCGUUCUUUCUUCUAGACUUCGUAAAGUUGAUUGUGCUACACUGGUUAAUCUCAUCACUUCAAGGGUGCAAUCUUGGACACAACGUUUUCUCUCAUUUGCGGGUCGCCUACAACUUAUCAGGUCAGUGCUCCAUUCCGUUCAAGCCUAUUGGGCGAAUGUCUUCAUUCUUCCCAGAUUGGUUCUGGAUGAUAUUGAGAGGAUUUUGAGGCAAUUCCUAUGGAAGGGCCCGGACCUUGGUAGGGGUGGUGCUAAGGUCGCUUGGACUGAUGUUUGCCACCCAAAAUCUGAAGGGGGCUUAGUAAUUUGAAGACUCAGGCAAAGCAACACCGCGGCCAUGCUAAAACACAUCUAGUUGUUAUUUACAGAUAGAGAAUCCCUUUGGUACAGAUGGAUACACUCUGUUUUCUUGAAAAAUGUUAGUUUUUGGCUGGCAUCUAAACCUACCUCUUGCUCUUGGUCUUGGAAAAAAAUCUUGGACCUUCGUGUGAAGUUUCGCAAGUGCUUUCACAGGCGAGUUGGAAAUGGCUGCUCGACUUCCUUCUGGUACGACAACUGGCACCCCAAAGGGCCGUUGAACUUAUUAUUUUUCAAUGCAGACAUUUACCGUUCUCGGUUACCCAAAGAAGCUACAGUCAUUGACUUUUUCUCCUGUCCUAACCCAUCUUCGGGUGUUCUGGAUGUGAUCCCCUACCUAAACUCAAUGAUGAAGAUGAUCAUUUUCUUUGGCUGGGCAGCUCGAAUGGCACUUUUUCUGCUGCAUCUACUUGGGACACUUUUCGGCCGACUAGCCAUCCGGUACAGUGGGCGCCCUUCAUUUGGAACAUUUCAUUAGUACCCCGCUACCAAUUCCUGCUAUGGUUGAUUACAAAAAAUAGACUACCGACUCAAGUACUACUCCUUACCUAUGGUAGAAUACCAUAUGGGAACUGUGCCUUUUGCUCCUAUCGCCCAAAUUCAAUUGAUCACUUGUUUUUUGGAUGCCCCAUUCCUGCUGCCUCGGCCACUUUUUGGGCUGCAAGAUUUAAUUAUGCUUGGCGGAAUAAAUCUUGGAAGGAAAACUUGCUUUGGGCAAUCAAAUCUCUCUCAGGACCCUCUUUCCGCUUUUCUCUUGCUUGCUUUGCAUUUGCUGCUUUAUGCAACAUCACUUGGAAGGAGCGUAACAAUAUACUGUUCCGGGGUAGACCUCCCUCCCAUUUGGCCAUGAAAAGGUGCCUUGAACAGGUUAUAAAGGACAAAGCCUUGUCUUUCCAUCAAGUCCCUCCCACUGCGGCUAACAGGAGAUUAUUGCAAAGCUGGUCGCUCAACCCCUCCAUUUUGGCGAGCUGAUGGAUUUCACCCUCCUCCUGGCUUCCGAGAUGACCCCUUACCAACCUUAGAGCUAUGCUUGGUUUCUUUUGUUGGUAGUGCUUUCUCUUUGCUGUUUGUGUUGGUUUAGGCUUGCUGGUUCUGUGCCGUUGUUUGGCCUUUUUCCUUCCCCUGCUCUUGGCUUGGUUUCAUUUACCUUGGCCCCCUUUCACUCUCUCUGACUUGUUGUCUACGUGAGUGCAAGUUUCUGGGACCGAGUUUUUGUUGUAUAGAUAUAUAACUCUUUGGUUUAAAGUCAAUAUAUUUAUUACCUUCACCAAAAAAAAAAAUGAUAUAAAGUGUAACUGAGAAAAAAACUCCCCCAAAUUUUGCAAAGUCAGAGGUACCGCUUAGACCCAACGGUGGGGGUGGAGUGUCUGCACUAGCUCUAUACAUACAUACCGCUAAAUCUCUGCUUGGAAGUUACCUAAUUUGUUUUCUUUUCUCACCCCCUAGCUCUAUACACAACGACCGGGUCGUGACCGUGUGAAUGCUUGACUAAAGCCUCCCCCCUUGGGCCCGUAUUUUCCUGCAUUUUAUGUUCUUAUUACUUUUUCCUCUAAAUCUUUGCUGAAGAUGUGGUCAUUGCGAGUCGCUGCUUGCAUUUUCUUUGCUGUGUCCAAUUUUGACCUACUUUUUUUACCCAGAAUUCCCCGAUUUCCGGCUUUUCCCUUCGGUUCCUCUUCGUGUUUUCACACGGCCAAUUUCCUUCGUUCACGCGCAGGAAUACCGCGUGGAAAGUGGGCUCAACUCGACCAUUUCGGUCACCCAGAAGGAGGGAGCGGUGAGGACUUAAAAUUCCCGUUUAAAUUCGCUGCGGAAAAUUCAGGACCGGGUUGGGUCGUGUAACUGGUUGGUUCAUAAGAAUUCGCGGGGUCUGUAAUUUUAAAUGCAAAAGAAUGCCGUCGAGAUCGAGAUCGGAGGAUUAAAAAUGUGCUUUUAUUAGGGGUCAAAUUACUGUUCAAUUUGAUGGCUGAAUUUCAUGAAAAUGUGGAUACAACCUUUGGGAGAAAAUUUAGAUGUCAGUAGUAAUUUUCCUUGAAAGUCGGUAAGUUACUACUUCUCUUUGAAUCAUCUCUUGGUUGAAAUUUUUUCUUUUUUGGUCUAAUGAUGCAGACUGCAUAUGAAUUGGUCUCAUGAAUUAAUUAGUGUAGGUAAAAUUCUAAAUUUGAGUCAAGAUUUAUGCUAAGUAAAUAAGCAGCAGUACUUUCGAGAGGUUUUCCUUGCAAUUUCUAGAAGCAAAAAAAGAGAAAUGCUAUUCAUAAGAAAACUAGACAUUUAUAUAUUAAGAUGAUGGAGUAAUUUUGGUGUCAAUAGUAAUUUUUCUUAAGUUUUUUUUUUACUCUCGGCUGCUUUGGAUUCCCUCUUCGUUUUCGUUUCCUUUUGUUUUUUUCUCCUCAUUUUAUAACCACAUCCUCACCAUGAUGAGCCUUCUCUCUUUUGUCCCCUAGGUCUCCCCUUUUCUUUCUCACAAGUCUUUUCUUUUCUUGCUUUUUUUAUUUGUUGGUUCUCCGCCGAAACCCUUAAUGAAGACUACUAAUUGGUGUUUAGUUUUCCAAAGUGUAGCAUUAUUGAGCACCAUCAUCGACCCAUCAAGUUCGCUAAACUCAGUCAUCAAUGGAUUGACCAUUCUUUUUUGAACAGGAGCUACACCAACGUGGCAGGAAAAUGAAAACCAAAAACGCAUGCAAGAACUCAUUGAUUUUCUAAGACUUGGUCAUAAGUAUUGCUGAAGAGAAACUUUGAUACCGCUGCAUUGAGAAUAGAAGCACUCCCAACAAGUAAAUCCAGGUGAUUGAAUUCAAUUACACGACGGAAUCAACUCAAUGAUUUAAGUUCAAAAGUCACUCUAUAAUGAUCACGAUAGCGAUACGGUAACUUUGAGCGUCGCAAUAAGAUGUCUCAUGAUGCAGUAGAAAAAUCCAAUCUAGUCAUGCAAAGGGGCGGCAACAUGACCACAACGCCAGUAAUAUUGGGGUAGCAACGGCGCAUCAACGAGGCUUACCGUUAUUGAACCUUUUUUCUUUCCUUUUUAUGGAUAUAAUAUGAAUUAGAUAAUAGAUCUCUUACUAAUAAAUAGAUAAUAGGGAAAUCCAAUUCUCCAAUUCCUAUUUGAAUUCAUCAAAUGGGCAUUUUUUUUUCAUUUACUAAUUCAAUUCUAUUACUUUUUUAUAUUAUCCCUAAAAUUUUAUUAGAUAAUUUAAUUUACCGUCAUAUCAUUACAUGACAAUUCAAAUAUGGAUGUAACUANNNNNNNNNNNNNNNNNNNNNNNNNNNNNNNNNNNNNNNNNNNNNNNNNNNNNNNNNNNNNNNNNNNNNNNNNNNNNNNNNNNNNNNNNNNNNNNNNNNNNNNNNNNNNNNNNNNNNNNNNNNNNNNNNNNNNNNNNNNNNNNNNNNNNNNNNNNNNNNNNNNNNNNNNNNNNNNNNNNNNNNNNNNNNNNNNNNNNNNNNNNNNNNNNNNNNNNNNNNNNNNNNNNNNNNNNNNNNNNNNNNNNNNNNNNNNNNNNNNNNNNNNNNNNNNNNNNNNNNNNNNNNNNNNNNNNNNNNNNNNNNNNNNNNNNNNNNNNNNNNNNNNNNNNNNNNNNNNNNNNNNNNNNNNNNNNNNNNNNNNNNNNNNNNNNNNNNNNNNNNNNNNNNNNNNNNNNNNNNNNNNNNNNNNNNNNNNNNNNNNNNNNNNNNNNNNNNNNNNNNNNNNNNNNNNNNNNNNNNNNNNNNNNNNNNNNNNNNNNNNNNNNNNNNNNNNNNNNNNNNNNNNNNNNNNNNNNNNNNNNNNNNNNNNNNNNNNNNNNNNNNNNNNNNNNNNNNNNNNNNNNNNNNNNNNNNNNNNNNNNNNNNNNNNNNNNNNNNNNNNNNNNNNNNNNNNNNNNNNNNNNNNNNNNNNNNNNNNNNNNNNNNNNNNNNNNNNNNNNNNNNNNNNNNNNNNNNNNNNNNNNNNNNNNNNNNNNNNNNNNNNNNNNNNNNNNNNNNNNNNNNNNNNNNNNNNNNNNNNNNNNNNNNNNNNNNNNNNNNNNNNNNNNNNNNNNNNNNNNNNNNNNNNNNNNNNNNNNNNNNNNNNNNNNNNNNNNNNNNNNNNNNNNNNNNNNNNNNNNNNNNNNNNNNNNNNNNNNNNNNNNNNNNNNNNNNNNNNNNNNNNNNNNNNNNNNNNNNNNNNNNNNNNNNNNNNNNNNNNNNNNNNNNNNNNNNNNNNNNNNNNNNNNNNNNNNNNNNNNNNNNNNNNNNNNNNNNNNNNNNNNNNNNNNNNNNNNNNNNNNNNNNNNNNNNNNNNNNNNNNNNNNNNNNNNNNNNNNNNNNNNNNNNNNNNNNNNNNNNNNNNNNNNNNNNNNNNNNNNNNNNNNNNNNNNNNNNNNNNNNNNNNNNNNNNNNNNNNNNNNNNNNNNNNNNNNNNNNNNNNNNNNNNNNNNNNNNNNNNNNNNNNNNNNNNNNNNNNNNNNNNNNNNNNNNNNNNNNNNNNNNNNNNNNNNNNNNNNNNNNNNNNNNNNNNNNNNNNNNNNNNNNNNNNNNNNNNNNNNNNNNNNNNNNNNNNNNNNNNNNNNNNNNNNNNNNNNNNNNNNNNNNNNNNNNNNNNNNNNNNNNNNNNNNNNNNNNNNNNNNNNNNNNNNNNNNNNNNNNNNNNNNNNNNNNNNNNNNNNNNNNNNNNNNNNNNNNNNNNNNNNNNNNNNNNNNNNNNNNNNNNNNNNNNNNNNNNNNNNNNNNNNNNNNNNNNNNNNNNNNNNNNNNNNNNNNNNNNNNNNNNNNNNNNNNNNNNNNNNNNNNNNNNNNNNNNNNNNNNNNNNNNNNNNNNNNNNNNNNNNNNNNNNNNNNNNNNNNNNNNNNNNNNNNNNNNNNNNNNNNNNNNNNNNNNNNNNNNNNNNNNNNNNNNNNNNNNNNNNNNNNNNNNNNNNNNNNNNNNNNNNNNNNNNNNNNNNNNNNNNNNNNNNNNNNNNNNNNNNNNNNNNNNNNNNNNNNNNNNNNNNNNNNNNNNNNNNNNNNNNNNNNNNNNNNNNNNNNNNNNNNNNNNNNNNNNNNNNNNNNNNNNNNNNNNNNNNNNNNNNNNNNNNNNNNNNNNNNNNNNNNNNNNNNNNNNNNNNNNNNNNNNNNNNNNNNNNNNNNNNNNNNNNNNNNNNNNNNNNNNNNNNNNNNNNNNNNNNNNNNNNNNNNNNNNNNNNNNNNNNNNNNNNNNNNNNNNNNNNNNNNNNNNNNNNNNNNNNNNNNNNNNNNNNNNNNNNNNNNNNNNNNNNNNNNNNNNNNNNNNNNNNNNNNNNNNNNNNNNNNNNNNNNNNNNNNNNNNNNNNNNNNNNNNNNNNNNNNNNNNNNNNNNNNNNNNNNNNNNNNNNNNNNNNNNNNNNNNNNNNNNNNNNNNNNNNNNNNNNNNNNNNNNNNNNNNNNNNNNNNNNNNNNNNNNNNNNNNNNNNNNNNNNNNNNNNNNNNNNNNNNNNNNNNNNNNNNNNNNNNNNNNNNNNNNNNNNNNNNNNNNNNNNNNNNNNNNNNNNNNNNNNNNNNNNNNNNNNNNNNNNNNNNNNNNNNNNNNNNNNNNNNNNNNNNNNNNNNNNNNNNNNNNNNNNNNNNNNNNNNNNNNNNNNNNNNNNNNNNNNNNNNNNNNNNNNNNNNNNNNNNNNNNNNNNNNNNNNNNNNNNNNNNNNNNNNNNNNNNNNNNNNNNNNNNNNNNNNNNNNNNNNNNNNNNNNNNNNNNNNNNNNNNNNNNNNNNNNNNNNNNNNNNNNNNNNNNNNNNNNNNNNNNNNNNNNNNNNNNNNNNNNNNNNNNNNNNNNNNNNNNNNNNNNNNNNNNNNNNNNNNNNNNNNNNNNNNNNNNNNNNNNNNNNNNNNNNNNNNNNNNNNNNNNNNNNNNNNNNNNNNNNNNNNNNNNNNNNNNNNNNNNNNNNNNNNNNNNNNNNNNNNNNNNNNNNNNNNNNNNNNNNNNNNNNNNNNNNNNNNNNNNNNNNNNNNNNNNNNNNNNNNNNNNNNNNNNNNNNNNNNNNNNNNNNNNNNNNNNNNNNNNNNNNNNNNNNNNNNNNNNNNNNNNNNNNNNNNNNNNNNNNNNNNNNNNNNNNNNNNNNNNNNNNNNNNNNNNNNNNNNNNNNNNNNNNNNNNNNNNNNNNNNNNNNNNNNNNNNNNNNNNNNNNNNNNNNNNNNNNNNNNNNNNNNNNNNNNNNNNNNNNNNNNNNNNNNNNNNNNNNNNNNNNNNNNNNNNNNNNNNNNNNNNNNNNNNNNNNNNNNNNNNNNNNNNNNNNNNNNNNNNNNNNNNNNNNNNNNNNNNNNNNNNNNNNNNNNNNNNNNNNNNNNNNNNNNNNNNNNNNNNNNNNNNNNNNNNNNNNNNNNNNNNNNNNNNNNNNNNNNNNNNNNNNNNNNNNNNNNNNNNNNNNNNNNNNNNNNNNNNNNNNNNNNNNNNNNNNNNNNNNNNNNNNNNNNNNNNNNNNNNNNNNNNNNNNNNNNNNNNNNNNNNNNNNNNNNNNNNNNNNNNNNNNNNNNNNNNNNNNNNNNNNNNNNNNNNNNNNNNNNNNNNNNNNNNNNNNNNNNNNNNNNNNNNNNNNNNNNNNNNNNNNNNNNNNNNNNNNNNNNNNNNNNNNNNNNNNNNNNNNNNNNNNNNNNNNNNNNNNNNNNNNNNNNNNNNNNNNNNNNNNNNNNNNNNNNNNNNNNNNNNNNNNNNNNNNNNNNNNNNNNNNNNNNNNNNNNNNNNNNNNNNNNNNNNNNNNNNNNNNNNNNNNNNNNNNNNNNNNNNNNNNNNNNNNNNNNNNNNNNNNNNNNNNNNNNNNNNNNNNNNNNNNNNNNNNNNNNNNNNNNNNNNNNNNNNNNNNNNNNNNNNNNNNNNNNNNNNNNNNNNNNNNNNNNNNNNNNNNNNNNNNNNNNNNNNNNNNNNNNNNNNNNNNNNNNNNNNNNNNNNNNNNNNNNNNNNNNNNNNNNNNNNNNNNNNNNNNNNNNNNNNNNNNNNNNNNNNNNNNNNNNNNNNNNNNNNNNNNNNNNNNNNNNNNNNNNNNNNNNNNNNNNNNNNNNNNNNNNNNNNNNNNNNNNNNNNNNNNNNNNNNNNNNNNNNNNNNNNNNNNNNNNNNNNNNNNNNNNNNNNNNNNNNNNNNNNNNNNNNNNNNNNNNNNNNNNNNNNNNNNNNNNNNNNNNNNNNNNNNNNNNGUCACUUGGGGGUUUACGGCGCGGCUAUCGGCUGCAAGCUGGUUCCUCCCAAUACCAAAAUAUAUAUAUAGAAUCUUACUAAAUUGAAAUGCUAAAUAGAAAAUGGAAAUAACCAGAUUAGAAUCUGACUUGACAUUCUAGAAAAACGGGAAUUAUUUCUAAUAAUCUUCAACUACUAACCAAAACAUGUAAUGUUCUGACAAAAAAAAAACCAAAACAUGUAAUGUGUUUCUAGCUGAUAUCUCCUUCCGUUUUCCUCUCUCGCCCACUAGCUCUAUAAGUAAUGACCGGGUCGUGAUGGUGUGAAUUCUUCGCCGAGAGUCUCGACUAAAAGCCUCCCUUCGGCCGGGAUUUCCCUUCUUUCUACCUUUCCUUUUUACACUGAGCCUUUGCUGAGGAUAUGGUCAUUCAUCAUGAGGGUGUGCUGCAAUUUCUCCGCUGCUGUGUCCUUUUUGACCACGUUCUCCUCAUCAGAGCAAAUCCACCUAGAAUUCCACUUGCGCUCCUUUUAUCUUUAGUCUUUUUCAACUUUCUCUCUUUCGGUUCCGCAUGGCCCGGCCAUGUCCCCUCGUCCUUAUCUUGGUGUUCAAUUAGUCAACACGGUUCCACCGUAUCGUGUCCCACCAGACUUUGCUCUCCAUUUUUGCAGAAUUUCAGCUUUCCCUUUCUGUUCCUUCGUGUGUUUUCACACUGCCAUUUCCCUUCCUUCGCACUCGCAUGAAUCCCGUGUUGAGAGUGGCCUCAAGUCGGCCAUUUCGGUGAACCAGGAGGAGGGAGCGGGAAAGACUUAUAAUUUCCGUUUAAAUUCCCCGCGGAAAAUUCAGGGUCGGGUCUUAUAAUAGGUCAGUUUACAAGAAUUCACAAUCUUAUUAGAAAGGGUCUGUAAUUUUUUUUUGGUGAAGGUAAUAAUCAAGGGUCUGUAAUUUUAAAUGUGAAAGAACGCAAUAGAGAUUGAGAUCGCAGGAUUACAAAUGCAUUUUUAUUAGGGGUCACAUUAUCAAUGAACUUGAUUGUUGGAUUUUAUGAAAAUGCAUAUAAGACAUUCCGGCGAAAAUUUAGGCAUCAACAAUAAUUUUUCUCAAAAGUUAAUACGGACGCGUUUGAUAACCAUUUUGUUCAUGGGAAUAAUUUUUUCUUAGAAAUGAUUUUUUUAUUUAUUUUGUUCCUAGGAACAAUUUCUGAGCUUUUGAAGGCGCUUGGUAAAUGUCUAAAAUUUUUAUUCCUAGAAUAAGAAUGUGUUUAGUAUGACUCUUAAAUAUGUUUUUUUUCUUUUAAUUUUUUAAAAUAUUUUUACUAUAUUUUUCUCUUUUUUCUUCUUCAUUUUCUCUUCUGAUUCCUCCAUCUUUGUGGCCGGCCACCAGUCAUGGCAUGCCAAUGACCGCCGGCUUGGCGAGGUCUAAAGAGCUCACUGGAGGCUCGCCUAGCCACCACAAACCUCGGCCUCGCAGAUUUGGGCGAGGCCGAGCCUCGCUAGGCCUUGCCAAGUCAGUCGUCGAGGCCAAGCCUUGUUAGUGGCUAUACGAGCCUCGCCCAACCCAACGAGCCUCGCCUGACCAUUAGCUAAGCUCAGCCUCGCCUAGCAGGUCGUCGGCCAUUAUCGACGGCGGCAAUAGAGGCCGAUGACUUGCUAGAAGGAAGAAGAAAAGAGAAGGAGAAAAUAACAAAAGAAAAGAGAAAAAAGAAAAAGUUGAUUUGAAAUUGUUUUCGGAAAUAAAAAGUAAUUUUUUUUCUUUUUCUUGAUUUUGUUUCAAAUCUAUUAUCGGGAAUAAAAAAGGGAUUUUUAUUCAUGUAAACAAAAAAUUUAACAAGUGGAUUUCUAUCUUUUUUUGUUUCGGGGAUCAAAAGAAUAGAAUCAACAUUAUUUGAAGGGUUACCAAACAAAGUCUAACUUACUAUUUCUCUUUAGGGAUAAUACCCUAAAAAACCCCAAACGGGUACACUUGUGACAAAUUUACCCCAAACUAUUUUUUUGACCACAAAAAACCCCAAACUGGUAUACUUUUGACAGAUUUACCCCAAACCGGUACACUUGUGACAAAUUUUUCCUAUGUUAGUUUUCGUUAAAUUUUAUUCUCAAAUUAUUAAGUUAAAUGACAUGUGACAAUUAACCAGUAUACCAAUUUAGGAUUUUACGUUCCGUUUGUGACAGUUUACAAUUUUUAUGAUUUUUUUGUGGUAUUAAUCCAAUUUAGCAUAGGGUAUAUUUGUCACAAAUUUACCAGUUUAGGGUUUUUGCAGUCGAAUAAAUUAGUUUGGGGUAAAUUUGUCAUAAAUGUACCGGUUUAGGGUUUUUUUAUAGUCAGUCAGGGUAAAUUUGUCAUAAGUUUACCAAUUUUGGGUUUUUCAUGGUCAAAAAAAUAGUUUUUGGUAAAUUUGUCACAAGUGUACCAGUUUGGGGUUUUUCAAGGUAUUAACCAAUCAUCCCUUCGUUGAAUUUUUUUUUUCUUUUUGGUCUAAAGAUACAUAUUGCAUACGAAAUUGAUCUCAUAAAUUAAUUAGCGGAGGUAAAGUUCUAAACUUGAGACAAUAUAUAUGGAUAGUAAAUAAGUAGCACUAUUUCUGAGAUUUUCUUAAUUAAUACAAUGUAACUCAUUCCUAGCGGGAAAAGAAAAAGAAGAAGCAAUGCUAGACAUAAGAAAAUUGUGUGUGUGUGUGUAUGUGUGUGUGUGUAUAUAUACAUAUAUAUAUAUAUAUUAAGACGGAUGGAGUAUGAAGAGGAAAAUAGUGUGGUGGCCUUCUUAGGUAAGUUUUGUUUUUAAUUUGGGUUAAUACCCUGAAAAACCCCAAACUGGUACACUUGUGACAAAUUUACCCAAAACUAUUUUUUUGACCACCAAAAACCCUAAACUGGUAUACCUUUGACAAAUUUAUCCCAAACUAGUACACUUGUGACAAAUUUACCCUAUGUUAGUUUUCGUUAAAUUUUAUUCUCAAAUUAUUAAGUUAAAUGACACGUGAUAGUUGACCGAUAUACGGAUUUAGGAUUUUAUGCUCCGUUUGUCAUUGUUUACAAUUUUUGUGAUUUUUUUAUGGUAUUAAUCCAAUUUAGCAUAGGGUAUAUUUGUCACAAAUUUACCAUUUUGUGGUUUUUUGCAGUCGAAUAAAUUAGUUUGGGGUAAAUUUGUCAUAAAUGUACCAGUUUAUGAUUUUUUAUAGUCAGUCGGGAUAAAUUUGUCACAAGUAUACCAGUUUGGGGUUUUUCAUUGUCAAAAAAAUAGUUUGGGGUAAAUUUGUCACAAAUGUACCAGUUUGGGGCUUUUCAGGGUAUUAACCCUUUUAAUUUUUCAGAGUUUGGCAAUUAAGUGAACCAUAUUUUAACGUACAACAAUAGUUUUCCAUCUCAUUUGGUACACUGAUUUUUUAAAAUCUUCAUAAAAUUAGUACUGUUUCGGAUGGCAAAAAGUUAAGAUAAGUGGUCUCAACAUUUUGUUGGGAGCACAUUCGGGUGAGUUUCCUCACGGCCGAAAGCUGAAAUUGACUCAAAGGGAACGCGUUUUCUUGAGUACGACCGUCCAUUCAUUACGGGGACAAUGACAUAGGAAACAAUUACCCUACACUACUCUUCAUGCUCCUCUGGAUCCAUGCUUAAUGUGUCAGGGCUGCCUGAGAUUCUCCUUGCAAGGCAGGUUCUACUUCUUACAUAACCGAAAAUUUUUCCUCUUGUUUUUCGAUAAGUAUGAUUUAGUUUUCCUCUUCUAAUUUCCUCUGUGUAGAUCUAGCGUAUCUCUCUACUUGCGCUUUUGAUCCUGGUGAAAUAAGGAGGGGGAUCUCUACACUCUGGGCAUGCACAACGCAGGUGGUUUGACUCUGUUAGGAGGAUUCUUCAGUUUUGCAUCGACAUCAAUUCUAUCUGGUCAGCCGACUGUGAACAUCACUUAAGAAUCUUUUAUGUUUCUAUAUUCUAAUUAUUUUGUUCACGUGUUCUUUCUCAUGGCUGCUCUUUCUCGAUUCCAAUAUGGAUUAGAUUACAGAUAUCUUAAUACUUAAUAGAUAAUAAUUCAUUUUUUAAUUCAUCAAAUGACAUUUUUUUUCGUUUUUCUUUACUAAUUCAAUUUGAUUACUUUAUAUAUUAUCACUAAAAUUUUGUUAAAUAAUUUAAUUUACUGUUAUAUUGUAUGCAUGUACUUUAAUUUUCUUUUUACUGCGAAUACACAUGGAUUGUUGAUAUGGUGGAUAGGGUUUGAGAUGUAGCAUCUUGUCAAAUUUGGUUGGUUUCUAGAAGUCCUCAGCUUCAAGUCGAGCGAACAACAAAUAGAAGGAAGAGGAGAGUAGUAGGCAAAAAAUUGACCCGUGAGGUGGGCGACACUUUGUGUGGUUCUAUGGACAACGCCCGGUUUUUCAUAUUAUUCCCAGUGAGACCUAUUUUUGGGAUUUUUAUAAAUGUUACAGGAAAUUAAUGAAUUAAUUUUACAGACAUUUUAGAUUAGUACUGUUGUACAAAAAAAAAAAGAUUAGUACUGCGUCAAUUUGCCAACAGUUAUGACCCUUUCUUUUUAAAGUCGAGAUUCUCUUUUGCCCAUAAGAAUUGCAUGAGGUAUAGAUUAUGCCUCACCGUAUUUUAGAAAUUAUUUUCCUAUGCGUGCAAAUUUCUGCGUGUUAAGGUCAUCUGCAUAAGUAUAGUUUUAGGUUUGAUCGAUUCAUGGGAGCCUGGAUGAUGUUCCAUGAUCUUCUAGGUAAUCGGAUUUUCUGUACUUAUGUCAUAGGGGUAAAAAAGAAUCAAUCUUCUGCCACUUCUGAAAUUGGAAAAUUAGAAAGGGAUGAAACUGAGGAGAAUAGCUCUAAAGUGUGGGGGAAUUUGGCGCUGCGCGUCAGCUAGCUCUAUCUAUUUGGAUAAUAAUUCAGUUUUUGACAACAAUUUUUUCCCCGAGUUGCUCGCGCAUGUCUAGGAAAAAAAUGGAAGAAAAAAGAAUUAUACUGUCCAUUUUUUUUUAAUCCGAACCCUCCAUGUUAUUGACAUCUUAAUCUUUAGUAAUCGAAAUUAUUUUGGGUAUAUAACUGCAAUAAAAUCUAUACUUUGCAAAGGGUAAAGUACAUGCUCUUCCAUGGUUACAUUGUAUGUUUCAAUUGAUUUGCGUUUUUCUCCAUGACAUUAUACGUUUGUUCUUUUACGUAACAAAUCGAACAUCACUGUAGUGGAUGCAUUAGUGUGACACGGAAUUUUGGAUACAAAAAUAAAAGGGAAAAGUAAGUAGUUUAUCGGAGCAUUUUCAAAAUGAUGCAAUAAAUUCUAAGUGAUUCUUUUAGUUAAUAGACUUACUUGAAAGCUCAAUAAGAUUCCGUCUUGUCAUUUUACAAAUCAUUUUGAUGUAUCAAAUGUAUAAUAUUAUACUAAAUAAAUCACUCUAAAUUCAACUAGACCAACUAUGAGGGAGUAUCUCAUUGAAUUAAUAAGAACUUGAGUUCACUAAUGACUAUAAGAUACAUUGGUAAAGAGGAAAAGAAAAAGGCAAAGAAAGGGAUAAAUGAAGGAGAAGAGGGUUUGGGGAAGACAAUCGUCUCGUUUGAUUUCUCGAAGAAAACACAGUACGGAGAGAGACCGAGAAACAGAGAGAGAAGGGGCGAGAAGAAAGGGGGGCGGAAGAGCGACUUCGGUGGAUCGAAAUGGUCGAGCUAUGCGAGAAAUCUCCAUUUUGUUUUAAAAGUUAAUGUCUGGAUCUAGUUUGGAUUUUGCUUCACCGGCGACGAUUCGGUCAAAAUCCAAGCAUAUUUUGAUUCCCCAUUUCUCCUUCUAUUUCUAGAAUUGAUUAUUUUCUUGAGAAGGUGGUCCGCAAUUUCUAAGUUGUUUUUGAGUUGAUUGGGUGUUUCUUGUCUCAAAUACGACAAGUUAUUCUUGGGUCUGUUAAAUAUUAAUCUGUAGUUUGGCUUUGCCGCUCUAGCACUCGUAGAAGCUAUUGUUUGCUUGAGAAUAAUGCUAUGUCCACUAAGAAAAUAUACAAAUGAUUUGUAUGCUAUAUGACCGGGUGCGGUCUCUUUGCCUGUAGGUUGACUAUCAAGACAAUAAGAUGCCGCGAGUUGAAGAUAUAGCCUGGAAAUUCGUGAUUAGACAGGGCAAGAAAUGGCGUUGUCCUCACUGUCAGAAUGAAUACUUUGGAUCAGUUACAAGAGUGAAAAGUCACUUUCUCAAACAACCAAAAGGAGGGAUUGCCUCUUGCACAAAAGUGCCAGAGCACAUAAGCACGCUAAUGGAAUUGUUACAUAAUCAGGUGGCUUUGGUACUUGUGGUAGCUACAUUAUCUGCUUGAGAAUUAUGGUAUCCGUGCCAAGAAGAUACAUAAAAAAUGGGAUGAUAUAUGAUGGGGUGCGCUCUAUUUGCUUGCAGGUUCAUAAUAAAGAUGAUAUAGCCUGGAAAUUCGUCAAUAGACUGGGGGAAAACAAAUGGCGUUGUCAUCACUGCAGGAAAGAAUUCUCUGGAGACCUUACAGGAGUGAAAGGUCACUUGCUUAAAGUCCCAAUUGAAGGGACUUCCGUUUGCACAGAAGUGCCGGGCCACGUAAGAAAUCUAAUGCGGUCGUUACUCGAUGAGGUGGCUGAAGAAGAGAGCAGAAAAGCCAAUGGUCAAUCCUCCAUAGAACCACAAUCACGUCACAUGCCCGCUCAAGCUGAGGUGGCUGAAGAAGAGAGCAGAGAGGCCAACGGUCAAUCCUUCACGGAACCACAAUCACGUGACAUGCCGACUCAAGCUGAGGUGGUGGGUGAAGAAGAGAGCAGAGAAGCCAACGGUUCCACGGAACCACAAUCACGUGACAUGCCCAUUGAAGCUGAGGUGGCUGAAGAAGAGAGCAGAGAAGCCAAUAGUCCAUUGUCCAUGGGGGCUUUAUUCUCGCCAGGCCUCGAAUUUAUUAUGGAACAGUUCAACUUCAACCAACAGGGUGUCAUUGGGUCAAACUCUGACCAACAAUCACAAGCAGAGCGUCAGUUUCAUCCGAUUUCAACAGUGCCAUUAUUGGUGCAAAGUGGCCAUGGUAUGUCCAUGUGAAGUUUCUUUACAUUCUUCUAGGCGUGGAGAAAAAAACAUCAUUAUAUUUUUCGUAUUAUUAAUCCUCUCUAGAAUAACUCAAAUUCAUCUAUUUCCAUAUCGUAUCGAUUCCAAAUUACAAUGGUAUCAUUACAUAUUCUACAUGUCUGAUGUCACUAUCUUUUUACUGCACAGCUCAUUAUUUUCAUUAUAGAUAUCUAUUUUUGUGAUCAAGUUCUAGAGGUUCGUUUUACUUGUACCCAUGGCUUGAUUUGAAGGUCCCAUUGUUGAUUGAUCUUACGGUGGAAUAUUUUAAUGCAACCAGCUUUGGUGCCCCCUCAACAUCGAAGUGUUCUACAUCAAUCCGUUGAUCAUGAGAUAAGGGAUACGCAACAGAAUGCAACCAUGCCUCUGGAUAAUCGAGAUACCACCCGGCAACCCGAUCUUCAUGACUCUCCGCCAGAGAAUCUUGUUGAAUCUCGUGAUGCAAUUGUAAACACUCCUGAGGAAAUACAAACGAAUGAAGAACAUAAUCCAACAAUGGGAUCAUCAUUACGAAACGAUUUAUCCGUUGAUGUGGACCAUACAAAUCAUUUACAGGAUUGGAGUCAACAGUGUGUAGUGGAAGGGGUUCCCUUACUCAACAAUACAAGUCCGACCAACGCCGUCGAGCAUCCCUAUCAGCUUGACCCUAGGUGUGAUAAGGAAGAUGGAAAUGAUACCCGUUUGUUCCGCUCGCCAACUCCAAUGGACAUAGAUCAUUCAAUUGAAUUACCGCAUUCAAGUGACUCACCCAAUUUUGAGUCAACAAUCGAUGAUUUGCAAGUUCCAGAGGUGGCAACAAAUGCAACAGGCCCAUCAUCAUCACAAGGUGUGUCCGGAUUAAUCUAGAUUUUUACUAUCACUUCUUUUGAUCCUUAAUUAUCCCCUCGUUAAUUUAUUGGAAUCUAACUUAUGUUUUUUUUAUAAAUUAGAAAUGAACAGGGGUUCUCCAAACUUGAAUGUACGGAGCAUCUAUGCCAACGAUGAAGAGAUAAGAAACCUGAAAAGAAAAGUGGAAGAACUCGAGGACAAAGAAGCUGUGAUAAAGGAGCAGAUGGAGAUGGAGUCUGCUGCUUCCUCAGUUCGGAAGAAGCCGAGGAUAUUGGUUGAGAGAUGGCUAAGAGACACGGAAAGAGCAAGAAAUAAUUUCCAAACAAUUGGCCAAGUCAAUGCGGAAACUUUGCCACCAAAGGAACAGGUGGAGACAUUGACGAGAGAAGUGGAAGAACUCAUAAAUCAAACGCCACAGACGCUACCCUUAAAGGAUAGAGAUGCCAAUGGAGUCAAAUUUUUGGAACGAAAGCUAACAGGAAAAGCGACUUAUAGGAACAUUAAGUGGAUUUUAGACCGUCUCAAGGAGAAUCAUGCAUGUAUAUUGGGUAUUUAUGGAAUGGGUGGUGUUGGGAAGACAACUAUUAUGAUGCACAUACAUAAUAGUCUUCUCAAUGAUGCAACCUUCGAUGGUGUGGUUUUUAUCACUGUGUCCCAAGAUUUUAGCAUUUAUAAGUUGCAGAGUGAUAUUUGGAAGGCACUAAAACUUGGCAUUAUGGAGGAUGAGCAUGAGAAGAAACGAGCAGCAAUGUUGGCGGAGCAAUUAGAAAGAAAGAAGAAUUGUGUAUUGAUUCUUGAUGAUGUGUGGGAACGUAUUGAUCUCGAAGAGGUGGGAAUCCCUUUUGGAGCAGAUGGAUUUAAGUUGGUCUUAACCACUCGAUCCUUUGAUGUGUGCAGUCAAAUGCAAUGUCAAGAAAAUAUAAAAAUCAAGCCUCUCUCUCAAAAAGAAGGCGAGAGUUUAUUUUUGGAGGAGCUUGGAUCCAAAGUAACACUUAAUUUGGAAAUCAAAACAAUUGUGGAGUCCAUUGUCAAAGAAUGUGCAGGCUUGCCAAUUGGAGUCAUCACGAUGGCAAGAAGCAUGCGAGGAGUGACUGAUGUGUUUGAAUGGAGGGAUUCCUUGGUGAAAUUGAAAGAAUCAAGUAUGGGGCAAACAGAUAUGGAGAAGAAGGUCUUAAUGAAUCUAAAAGUCAGUUAUGAUCGCCUUGGUAAUCAUAAUAUCCAACAAUGUCUCUUAUCUUGUGCACUUUAUCCAGAAGAUACAUUAAUUAAAGUGGACGAGUUGAUAGAAUUCUUUAUUGAUCAAGGAUUGAUUGGUGGAUUGAGUACGAGGAUGAAGCAAUAUGAUAGGGGGCCUCACCAUACUGAACAAAUUGAGAAAUGUUGGCCUAUUGGAAGAUUUCCGCAGGAUCUGGGUGAAGAUGCAUGAUCUGAUUAGAGACAUGGCAUUAUACAUCAUGGGUGCAACUUCCAUUGUAAAAGCAAGAAAGGAAUUGAGGAAUAUUCCAUCUGAGGAAUAUUGGACGGAUGCUUUGGAGAAAGUUUCUCUUAUGGAAAACAAAAUUAGUGAAAUUCCAUUGAACAUAUCACCAAAUUGUCCAAAACUAUCAACUUUACUACUGAAUGGAAACUUGUUGCAGGAUGUGGUCAUCCCCGAUUCUUUCUUCGAACAAUUAUGUGGGCUAAAGAUUUUGAACUUGAGUGGAUGUGAUCUAAGAGAACUUCCAAAUUCCAUCUCAGACUUGGUAAAUUUGAGAGCACUAUUGCUUAGAAAGUGUAGGAAAUUGCGCCGCAUUCCUUAUCUAGGGAAGCUCACAUCUUUAAGGAAGUUGGACACUAUAGGCUGUGAUAGUCUUGAAAUGCUCGAGGGUCUGGAAAAGUUGGUCAACUUGAGAUACUUUGCCCUCACCAAAACACCUAGGGAGAGAGUACCCAAAGUAACACUGGAUUGUUUACCAAAGUUGCAAUUUCUUGACGUUUCUGCGAUAAUUGAAGAAAACAUCACAAAAUUAUGGGCAAUGGAGACAUUUCUAUGCUACCUUAAAAAUGUAGAUGAUUUCAACGAGUGUGUGAGGUUUAUUGAGCAGAAGCAUAACCCUUGCUAUUAUGAACUCGAAGUGGCUUUUGAAGGAUCAAAGUUUAAAGUGAAAGUAAGUGAUGGUGCUCAUUUUUGGAACCAUGUGCAGGGGCAGGGGAGGCAUGUCUUCAUUUCGGGGUGGAGUCAUGCUAUUGUGAGCGUGAGAGGGGAAUGCACUGGCAUUUUUAUUUUGAUUCCCCCAAAUGUGAAGACAAUGUUAAUGAUAAAAUGCAAUGGUAUAACAAAUUUGUCUGACAUGGGUCCGCUUGAAUACCUUUUUCACCUAUCGAUAGAUGGAUGUGGAAAUUUAGGGGUGCUCUGUGGAAGACACGAUGAAGAACUAAUCGACAUCCUUCACUCCCCUGCACCAACCCCUUCCCCUCUCAUCUUCCCGAGCCUUAGGAUCUUGACGAUACGCCAAUGCACAAAAUUGAAGUAUCUCUUUGGGCAUGGCUCUAAACCCAACCUUCCGCAUCUACAAAAGAUUUUUAUAUGGGAAUGUGGGGAAAUGGUGCGGAUAAUAGCAGCAGUUACAUCCCCACCACCAUCUCCGCUCCCAACCUUCCAUAGACUAGAAUAUAUUAGUGUUUCAUACUGUGAUAAAAUGAAGAGGGCAUUGGAAUUUGACUGGAUGCCCCACUUCCCUAAUCUGAGAAGACUCAAAGUAUCCGGUUGUGGGAACAUGGAGGAGAUAAUUGGAGGUCCUCCCCCAUACGUACCUAUUGAAGAGAUUUCUCUCGAAUUUCUUACAGUAGCACGUUGCGAUAAGAUGAGAAAGCUGUUAUCGCAUGAGUGCCUGCCCCAUCUUCGAAAGCUUCGAACUAUCAACGUCGAAUAUUGCAAAGGAAUGGUGGAGAUGACAAGCGGAGCGGGAGAAGGCCAAGAAGGAAGCAUAAUGACUCAUGUAAACAACCCCCCUUCAUCCUUCCAGCCUCCAAUCUCUCUCCCAAAGCUGAAGCACUUGUUCCUAUACAAUCUACCCCAGCUAAAGAGCAUAUGCGGAGUCCCAAUAAGCUGUGAUUCCAUGGAAGAAUUGAGAGUACAUAGAUGCCCAGAAUUGAAGAGGAUUCCUUUACAACUGCAAUUACGUGAAACUAAGGAGCUUCCACAUAUUUGGGUGGAAGAUGAGGAAAAGUGGGAGACGCUGAUCUGGGAUGAUCCCAAUGCUCAAACUACUCUUGAACCUUUUCUCCGAAAAGGGGAACGGUGUAAUGAUAGACUUUUUCCUAGAGAAGCGGAAGACGUUGAUAUGAUUUAUUUUUAUCAGAGGAUGUUGUAUUCUCCAAAUGCUAUAGGUUAUGAGUUACUUGAUAUACGAUUGCUUGACUUCUUAAAAGUCCUUACAAAGAUGUAGCUUUUCUGUCUAUAGUCAUGUAGCUUUCUAACAGUGGCCUUUUUGCAGAAUUGGACGCCGAGGGAAAGGAUCCCCUGUGAUGCCGCUCUUGAAGAAAGCCCUGCUGCUCGAGCAUGCUUUCCUGCAAACUCAUCUCAAGUUCCCAUAUAAACCGACUUUUUUUCGUGUAGCCAUACUUUGUGUAUCUUGAACGCCGGCGCAUGCUUUAUUGACUACUGGAAAUAAGUAAUCUCGGAGGACUAGUGAAGAGAUGAUGCUUUGUUGUGCAGCCCUCUCAUUAUAUUUUCCUUGUCAGACUAGAUUCUUGCAAGCUGUUGGUUUGGGUGAAGACCACUUAUAUUCCAGAAAUGUGGUGUCCCGACUUUUCUGCCGCUAACUUAUGAGCGGAAUGUCUUUUAAAAUCUUUAUGUGUCUUAUCUAUAAGGUUAUGAUCGCUAACUUAUUUUUUCUGUCUUUUAUUUUUUUUUUAAAUUUCUGAGAAAUAAUUCAUCAUUAUUAAAAUAGAAUUAACUUUAAAAUACCUUAAAAGUCUAGACCACUGUUGCAAUGAGUACAAUGCUUCUGACAAAUGCUUCAACAUCAAAUAAAUAAUAUUUAUUCUCAUUCCGUUUUGUACUGAAAUAUGGAGAUUUUAACUCAUAACUUAAAAAACUUUAUAAAAGGAUUUAAUCGUUUAAUCUAACCUGAUUUAGUAAAAACUAAUUAAUUAUCUAAUGACAUCUAAGCAUUAUGUUCCAUUACGUUCAUGUUAAUAAGCACAAUCUUAUAAGUUGAAUCUUCAAAUGACAUGACAACAUAUCAUCUUAUGAAUAAAAAUUUGCAUUUUAAAGUACAUAUAGAUAGAUGUAUUGCUCUAUGUGGUUAAAUAAAAUGAUCCGUGAGUUUGAGUCAGGAUCUACGAUUUGCUAAACUUGAAUUGUUCCAGUUUUUCUUUUAUUAGUUUUAUUUUCUCAGCAAGAAAACUCUUUAACAAAUUAAUUAUAGGCUAAAAACCUAUUUCUCAUUGUGAGUUUUUAUCAGUAGUUACUUUUCAUAAUUUAAUAAUUGAUAUAUUUCGUAUAAAAGGAUUUUCUUUAAUUUGUCAAAUUUAAAUAUCAAUUUCUUGUAUUAGACGGGGGUAUGUGUAUAGUUGCUAGCAUGAUAAAUAAAAUGCCAUACAUCUUGAUUGAAGAAAAGUACUCGCCUGUAGCAUAGUCUCUAUUCUCUAAUUUAUUCUCUGUUUCUGGUAUUUGACUAUCAAUAUGCAGAUUGGCUUUCUUAUUGAAUGGGUUUAGUAGUGUUGGUUGCUUUUAUUUGCUUGAGAGUAAUGCUAUACAUUACUCCCGAAGAAGACAUAAAAUAAAAAAAAAUAAAAAAAAAACUGGAUUACUAUAUGAUGGGUGCGCACGUUUUGUUUGUAGACUAAUAACCAGAUAUCGCGAGAUGAAGAUAAAACCCGAACAUGUAAACUAGAGGGUGAUGAACAACAUUGUCAUCAUUAUAAGAAAGAAUCCACUAAAAACCCUUAGCAAAGUGAAAAUAUGGGAAAGUCACUUUGCUUUCACUUCGCUGGAGUAAAAGGCGACAAAGAUUGCCAUCGCACUGGAAUCCCUAACCACAUAAGAGAUCUAAUGCAAUUGUUACUUAACAAGGAGACUGAAGAAAGGAGCAAGAGGACGACUAUUUGAAAAGUUCCUCAAGCUGCUCACUUGUCACCGAGUCUCGAAUUGGUGGGAUGGUUAUUGCCAAGGCAAGGGCGGCUCACAUUGCAAACUUCACCCUCUAGGGAUUAAGUUAAAAAAUUGUGUUUGGCACUUAUGAUGUUUUUACUUCAUAAUAAAUGUGUUAAUUAUUUUAUCAAUUAAUCUACCCUGAACAAUAUGCUAAUAUUAGAUUAUAUAGUUUGUUAAUUUGGCUAUAACUUAAAAUAAGAGACAAUAACAAUAUAAAUUCAAUACCAAAUACUUUUUGUUUGAUUUUUUUUUCACUUAUUAGUUAUUCUUUUAGCAAUUACCAAAUAACAUCAUUCAAACCAUGUAACGACAUAUCUAUUUUUUUCAAUUAGUUUACACCUAAAUUGUGUGGAUCAACAUAUAUAAUUUCUCUGACCAAAUAAAAAAAAAACAUAUAUGAUUUCACCACAAAACAAAUGAAAAUCAUUCGGAAUAAAAAAAAAAGAUUGAAAAAUGGCUCUCAUAUUAGUACCAUUUACACAGGUAAUGCAAAUUAAAACCAAGUCUUAUUAUUAUUUUUUUAUGUGUAUUAAACAUUUCCAAUUACACAUAAAAUGCAUAGAAUAAACAUUCAGAUAAGAAGGAAGAUAAGAGAACCCUUAAACAAAAGAACAUCUCUGUCCAUCGUAAGAUAGAAAGUACACAUCAAAUUUAAACAAUCCCACUUUAAAUACUUAUCUAGCAAGAACAUUCAUAAAAAUAGAACAUAAUGUAAGACUAAACAAUCAUAAAAUGAUUCAUUUAUAUGAAGUGUCAAUAUAACAUAAUGCAAAAAGUUUAUACAUGCUAUAUAGGUUCUCAAUAAAUGGAAUUUGAAGAAGUAAAUUUCUGAAUCUGUGCAACUCACAGGUCUUUGUUUACUACACAUUCUAAAAAAAUAUGCAAUCAUAAGCUACAAUAUGAUGGAAUCACCCACCAAUAUACAAAGUUCUAUUCACAUCAUAGGAAAUGUCAUCUAGCAAUCGGAUGGCCUGGAAUAUUUUGGGGGCAGAGAUGGACACAUAUCAUUCAUAUGAGGGUAUGGUCCAUUGUAUUGUAUCCUAGCAGCUCCAUUCAAUAUCUACCUUGUAUUUGACAGAAUGGAAGCUCAACGGCAUCCCUAUCAUUGCACCACUUAGGCAAGUGGCUUGAAUUAUUCUCAAAGAACCUAAGUGAGUUAUAGUUCUCAAUCUUUAAAGAAAGUGAUAUCCAUCUCUAGAUAGUAAGUUCAAGCAAGUAGGUUUAGAAAGAUAACCCAAAUCAGAUCGCACUUACAGUGAACUCUGCAACUUGAAUGGAGCUAGAAACAAGAACAAAAGCUACACAUGAGGUGGACUUCCCGUCACUGUAUACCCAAUUGUCUUGCUCUAGAAUUGUCAGCAGUUCAGCAAAAGAUGACCCCCUCAUUUCAGUUUCGACUAUUAGAUCAGGAAGAUCCAAGCCCUGUAUGCAACACAAUUGUAAAGUAGCCAUAAAGUAAAGUGUAAUUACAACUGUAUAACAUUUGUUAACUGAAUGUCAUUCAAGAGACAUUAGAUUCCAGUUGCACCUCAGUGUGCAAAACAAGAUGCAUAAUGUCACACAGACAAUUGCAAAUUGAAUGGGAUGGUACCUCUGUUCCUAGUCGCUUGUUGAGUGUUUCAUUCCACAUGUUCACAGCAUAGACUGGUUGCAUUUGGUUCCAUACUAUCAUAACAUAAGCAACCUACGAUAAAACAAUGCUUUCUAUAAAACGAGUGAACCGCACUCCCAUCACGUGGAUAAAGCACUGCACAUGGUGAGCAUAUUACAUGCAUCGUCAGCCAGGCUAAUAGCAACUCUUAAGAAAAAAUGAACAAAGUCUACCAUUUUGCUAUCUCAGUAUCAUAUAGGAGGCCAUAAAAAAAGAAUAUUUGUCAAACCAAGUCAGAUUCUUUUCCAUAAUGUUAGCACUCAAGAGAGUCAAAUGCUAAUAUGCUAUUUGGAGAGAUAACUGUUCACUUUUAGCCUUUUGUUUUGUUCAGUUGAAUUCAUUUGAAAUCAUGGCAUGAUUGUCUAAUUCCAACUAGACCAUAUUGUUACGAUCUAACACAUGGUGUGACAUCCUGAAUUUUCAACCCUAUUUCGAUUAAAUGAAAUGGGCUUUUCAUCGAUGCGCCUAUGAUCCUUUUUCUUUGAGCUGAUCACUCACGAAAUAACUAAUCUAUCAGGUGAAGCCGUUAAGGGAUAUAAACGCGACAAAUUUGAGAAUUCGAUUAGAAAUCGACUGCUCGACCGUGAUAGUUGGCAUGGCAUCGUUAUAAUCGAUUAGUGAUCGGAUAUAGGUCGAUUUGAUGGAAUGGCGUGAUUAAAUUGUGGGCGUCACCUGAUUGCAAAAUUCGCGUCAAAUAGCACUAACCCAAUUUUCUGUCAAUUUUGUACCUAGUGCUCGUAAUUGAAAUCUUGAGAUUUUUAUGUGGCACCCCCAAAACGGCCCCCGAUCCGUUAGGGUUGCCACAAUUACAUUCUCUUGUAGCAUACUACUCUGAGACCAAAGAAAUUUUAACAUAACUUAUAAUACCUGGGGGUUUUCAUUUGUUUUCUUUACCGGUCCCUGCGCAAAUAAUAUGGCGGAAGCAUAAAUCGACUACCCUUCAUCAAAAUAUAAAGUGAUGCACACCAUACUAAAACUUUCAUAAUUUAGGCCGAACACUUUUAUUUAUAUAAGGGAUGGACUAUGAUAAUUGGUACAACAAAACGCCGAGGUCUUUUUGUGCCUGGCGAUUACCCAAAAGAAAACCAACUUCUAUCCUUGGAUAUCAUCUGCAUCCGUCCAUCACCCAUGUUUCGGCAUCCCCAAAAAUGCAUCUCCUGCUACCCUCGACUCUAGGUCAUAUCCAGUCAGGUCCAUUGGCUGGUGGUGGUGGCAGCACCCUCAGAAAACGGCCAUCCAUACGGACAAGAACUGAUAUGAACUCCUGGUGAGUAGGCCCUGCAGAGAGGCCUACCUCAAAAGUCAGCAAAAUCCUCAUGCGCUCGAAUACCAACCCGUGCACCCCAGGAUGACAGUGCUCUGACCACUCCCACUGUAGGUCAAUCAAGAGUCCAUAAAACAUACCAGGAGUCGCAUGCAGCAGCGGCAUUUUUCUUUUAGUCUGAAAUGUUAGUCCCCAAGAGGGGUGAGUACAACCACUCAGCAAUAAAAGAUCCAUUAAACUAUAUUAUGUAGAAACUCUAACUAUCCAGAUGCAUGCAAAACACAAAUGUCAUAUAUAUAUAUAUAUAUGCAUGCCAUCAAGGGUUUAUUUACCUGCACCACAUUCAUAAAAACAAUUCAAUGCCAUAACGAAUGCAUUUUCAGUACCGGAUGAAGCCAACUCAAUUUCAUAGACAAAUUCUCAUAUCAUGCCACAUGCACACACAUGCACUCCUUUAAUGUACCGGAUUUUAGAAUUCAAAGAAAGGUUUCAUUCCCCGGGGACCAAUCUUUGCAUCCCUCCGGGCUUUCGCACCCAACUUGGCAUCAUGAGACCCUCCGGCACAAACCUCCGGGCAUCCAGAGCGUGUUCCGUCACACCCCUGGGCAUCUUGCACCCCACCUGGCAUCGCGAGGUAUAUCUAGGGCUCGCCAUGAAAAUGGAUGCCCCUUCCCUCCGGAUUUACGUACAAUCCCUACAACUGGGCAUCCCGAAACUCUCGAGGACCCUCCGGCACAAACCUCCGGGCAUCCAACAGCGUCGACUCACUUGACCCUUGGGCAUCCCGACACUCCCGGGGCAUUGUCGGCUCACACCUCCGACGGUAACAUCCACAUCAUAUAUAUACAUCUCCUUACAAAAGUACAUUUUGAUGCAAUGACGUCAAGAAUUCCAUGGAUCUAUAAGACUUUAUCAAAUUUUCCAAUGUCAUGUGAUAUGCUGAAUGUCAUUGCAUCUAUCAAGUGAAUAACAACUCAAGAUACAAUGACUCGUAGAACAAAAUGAACAGUUUCAUAGUAAAACAGUGUAAAGGCCAGAAUGCACGCUUUCAGUAGAGAUUUCGAAAUAACCAGCAAAUGACCAUGAAAAAUUCUGAAAUUUUAACACGUUAUAAUUGAGAGCUAGAGGAAAAAUUUUCAUUAAGGACACUAAGUCAGAUUCGUUAUGUAUAAUGAGUAGUAGUUCACACAACUCAGUUCAGGUUUCUUUUAUCACAGAAUAAAAUUUGACAGAAAGCAUUGCAUAUUAAAAGAGGUUUAAGCCAUCAUAUUGAUUCCAAGAAGUUCUGAUAAAAAUAUAUACUCUAUCUCAUGCAAUUCCUCACAACUUCCGUGAAGAAAUCGGGAUCAAAUUCAUAUUAGAACUCUUCAUAAAAUUUCACAAAGUUACAGGGUUACACAUGAAAUUGCACUGGAUUAAGCGAAUCCCACAAAAUCUCACUUCCACCGUAACUAUCUUACUUCCACAAGUCUACUAAAAGUCGGUCUUUCAUCAAUAAAUCAACAGGAUCAAAAUGUACACAAAACCAAAGUAAUUCCUCAAUCUCAUGGUCCCGCUCUACUUCGAUUACCUACAAUUUAAUGUUCUACUUUCAGAACUCAAUUGUUUCCAAGUAUAUUGCACCAUACUGGACAAUAACAGCAUCACAUUAUAUAGAUUAAUGGACUUUCACUUGCCUCAAUGUCCUAUGGUUCCACGGCGUGUGGUGAGACGGUGAGGAGUGCGCGGCUAGACGACGGCGGCAACGCACACGCACGGCAGGGACUAAUUUCCUUCCUUCCCUUGCCGACUCACUCUCUCACUGCUCACUCGCAACCUUUCUCGUUCACUCUCUCUCGAUUACUCCUGGUUUUGCUCACUCUCUCGAUUACCCACUUUCACGAGCACAAGAUCACUGGUUUUGCUAAAACUAGUCAACAUAAGAGAGGCAUGUUUUGGUGGUUGCAAGGGGAAUGGACAACUGGAAUGGACGUGUCUUCAGCAUGCCUCCCCAUGCAUUUCGCUGGCUAUCCAUACGCCAGCAACGUGGCAUCAUCCAGCCAAGCUUCAGUCAACAUCUCUUCCAAUUAGUUGACUUAAAUGUCGACUAUUAAGGGGUCUUCGGGUUGUUUUGGGCUAGUAGAUUAGUGGACGUGCGGUCCUUCAAUAACAAGGCCCAAUUCAAAAAAAAAAAAAAUUGAUCCUUAAACUUGCACAAAUAUGGAGCAUUCUUAGUCCCAUGGUCUUGGUGGUUCAAUAAUUUAUCAAGUGUACUUAUUCAUGACUCAGAUUCUUGUAUAGAAGAAGAACGAGAUUGCACGGUGUUUCAAUUUCUUUUCUUAUCUCAUGUGCACUCAAGUGGUAUAAUUGUGUCGAGUCAUCAAAAGGAAUAUAUAUAUACACAUACGGUCAGCGAAGUCAAUAGUCUAUUCAACAAUCGGACCCUUAAUAAACAUAAGAUAUCGGUCCGUCAAUGGAAUCAAACAAUGCUCAUGCAAAAUACUAAUGAUACCAUUCGGCGAUACUUUUAUUGAUCAGUCACUGCCGUCGCACAUCACGAUUUGCGAAAUUCUCGGGUGCCACAUUUUACGACAACCAAGAGUUGUCGAUGAGUCGAGGAUGUACAAACGUGGAUUGAAAAUUAUCAACCACGAGUCAAAUGCGUUAAAAUCCCUAAAAGCUACACGAUAGGUUAGGUCACGCUAAAAUCGCGUCCGAUUAAUUUUAACCAUGAAAUUGAACUCAGUUUCGGGAAUUGAGCAUUCGAGCGUGUCACAAUUUAUUUUUAGGAUCUCGUCUCAUCUUUUGGGAAUUUUCCGUCAAGCCCGGAAUUUUGGCGGAAAAAUGGAUUUUGGCAAAAUUAAACCAAGGAAAUUCGGAUGGGCAAAAUUGAAAGACUUUUUAGCCUUCAAAGUGAACUAGUUUGUGAAGGAAAUUGUGGGAAUUGGUAUGAGCAACCUCCUCAGCAAUUUUGGCCAUCAAAUUGAAGUUGUUUGGUGGGGAAUUGAAGAAGAAAAUCAGCAAAUUCGUAGGGCUGUUGGGCUGCUGAUUUCUAGCCUUCAAAUUGGCUUGAAUUGUGAAGAAAUUGAAGAGAAAUCAACCAUUGGUGCUUGCCUUGACCUUAGGAGGGCUGAAGACUUUGUGCAUAUGUGAUCAUUGCUUAAAUAUUUUUCCUUGGAAGCCCAUUGGUUCAAGCUUGGACUUCUUGUCCCCCUUGUCCCCUCUUGUUCCCCCUCCUCCUUCCUCUUGCUCGACCAGCCCCCUGCAGAAGAUUUUUUGCUUUCUUCUUCACUUCACCUUCUUCAUCCUUCAUUUCCUUGCUGCAACUUAGAGCUAGUUAGUCACCUAGCCGCUGCCCCGACCUCGCUUGGCCGCUUGCCACCGCGUCUCACCGUUCCUCACUCGCCUGUCCCCGUCCGAGCCGUAUGCUAGCCUUUGCUCAACUAGCUGCCGCCAGCUUUGCUCAACCACCAGCUCGCCAGCUUGCCACCACCUUCGACCUGUUCCACCAUCGCUGCCUCCACCCACCCUUGGCUAUGCCGUCUCCGUGUCCAGCCGAGCCAAGCCGCGACCAGCAACCCUCCAAGACCGAACCGAGUCCAGCGAGUAGAACUAGUCUUCUAGCUCCAAGCCGUGAGCUACAAGGCUGUUUUUAGCCCUUUCCGGCCCUCCUUUGGAGUCCCUAUAGGCCUGGGUCUUGGUCGCCGUCGCGCCGCCAUCGCCAUGGGCCCAUUAUCUCACUAAACCGAUGAGUUAACAUCCUAACCUCUAAUUAUGGGGUUAAUUGCACUUAAGGGGGGGAUUAGUUAGGCUAAUUAGGGAUUAAUGGUAGUUAGUUCAUGUAACUAAGUUAGUUAGGAUUAGUUAGUUAAGCUAGUUAUUUAGUUAGGUUGUUAGUUAGGUGCUUAGUUAGUUAAAUUAGAUAAUGUAGUUAGUUUAGUAAAUUAGUUUAAUUAGCUUAAGUAGAUUAGCCCGGUUAGCUUAUGUAAAUUUAAUUAAGUGUUUUAAUUUAAAUAAUUUACAAUUUAUUUAAUUAAUUUUAAUUAGCGUAAAUUAUACCCGGAUAGCCGGUUAUCAAAAUUCUGCGCUGAUCGUCGUAGUUGUAUUAGUUUGUGCAAUUGAUUGUUAGAUUUUGCAAUUGGAUGCUUGGUGAUGAUUUUUAAUUAUUAUUUCAAAAAUAUGAAUUUUUGGUAUUUAAUUAGAAAAAUACCGGGUGUCGGGUUUUGACGCGAAAAAUAUUUUUAUGUACUAUAUAAAAUCGUGAAAUUUUUAAAUGAGAGAGUGUCAUGUUUUGUGGAUCGAUUUGAUUGUCUGACCACGCAUAAUUAUUUUACUUGGUAUUUUUAAUACGUAGAAAAUAGGCCAAGUCCAUCAUUUGAAAUGGAAGUAUUUGAGUGCAAAACAUGAUGUUCUUAGCCAAACAUGGAUGUGCAUGUGAUCGCUAUCGGAACCCAUCACCCGAUGAAAGUCGGGGAGGUGAUGCUCCUUCGAGAAUGCCCUUGACAACGGAUGCUAGUCGCAGUGGAGGCUGGACCGAUGCUCCUUCGGGAAUGACAUCUAGAUGUAGACGUUGUGUGACAUCCCAGAAUUUCAACUCCGUUUUCCAUUGAAUAAAUCGGGCAUUUCAUUGACGCGCCUAUAAGGCUAUUCUCCAAGCUAAUCACUCUCGAGAUAACUAGACUAUCUGGGGAAGCCAUUAAGGAUUUUAAGGCAAACAGACUUGAGAAUUCGACCAGGAAUCGGCUUCUCGACUGUGCUUAUCUUUAGAGGUCAAUACCGCACAAUAUAAAAUCAAUUUGAAAUCAGAGAUAGACUGGUUCGAAUGAGAUGUGUGGCUAAUCGUGGGUGACACCACUAAAUUAGAAAAUUCCCGUCAACCGGCACUAGACUGAUUUUCCUAUUGUUUUGGGACCCUGUGUCCGUAUUUGGAUCCUCGGGAUUUUCACAACAAUCGAGAGUUGCCAAUGAGUCGAGUGGAUUCAUAGUGGCUCGAAGAAAAUUGAUCACGAGUCAAUUGCACUAAAAAUGCCUGAAAAUUACCUAGUAGCCUAGGUCACGCUAAAAACGCGCCAAGUGAAAUUAACUAUGAAUUCAAGUCUGAUUUCAGAAAUUGGAAUUUCUGUCAUGUCACAAUAAAUUCUAAGAGUGUCGACUCAGUCUCAGAAGAUUUUUUUGACACCCGACACUUUUUGAGAAAAAGUUGUCGUGUGGCCAUUUCGUUUAAUUGAAGCCAGGAAUUAUUUUGUUGGUGAAAUUGAGAAGCAUAGGGGAUUCUUGGAUAAGGAAAAAAAAUCAAUUUGAUAAAGGAAAUAUCAAUUGAUUUUUGGGAUAGUUAUUUGAGAGAAAUUUAAGAGAGAUUUUGGAUGCAAAUGCAAGUGUAGACCAAGUGCUUUAAUUUGGAUUUUCCUUGGUUAUCUAGGUGCCAAUUCAAAAGAAUUUGGGAUAAGAAUUUCCUACUUGAGGAAAUUCUUUUAUUUUAUUUUUUCUUCCCAAUUCUUUCCUUUUUUGGUCAAGCAUCCAAGCAUCUUUCUCUCCCCCCUUUUUCUUUCUUUCUUUCUUUUUCUUUUUCUCUCUCUCUCUUUCCCCCUCUCCCCUCCCCUUCAUGCGAACCCCCUUUCCACCGAAUUGUGGGCUGUCUCCCUCUUUGCUUUUCUACCUUUGACUUUUCAAACCCCCCUUUCUCUCUUAUUCUUAUCUCUUCUUCUCUCUGUUCUCUGUUCUCUCUUCUUCUCUCUCCCUCGACACACUCUCUUCCCCCCCCCCUCACCAUUCGAACAAAACCAGAAGCGGUAGAAGAAGCCGAGACAGCAGCGGCAAGAGAAGAAGACCGAAGAGCUCGCCAUCGCCGUCGCCGCCGCACACCGCCGGGCCGCCGUCCACACCACCCACGCGACGCCGCGUGUUCCGCCGCCCGCCCCUCGUGUCCAGGCGUCCUCCCCCGUGCGACCUCACCUUUGUCCAGCCGCGUUCAGCCGCCUCCGGCCACAGUCUAGCUUUGUUCGGCCACCGUCCGACCUCCUCAGAGUCUCGCUCGCCCUCCUCUAGCCUCACCUUACCGUUUCAGCCACCGGACUAGCUCCGAUCCCAUGUCAGCAACACGAGUGGGUUUCCAGCCCCCUUUGGGCCCGCUUUUGGGCUGUUUUCGGGCCCCGAACCCGAGCCUUACUUUGGGAGGAAUCGUUCCUUGCGCCAUCCCCGUCGGAUUGAUUCAAUUUGCGCGCGAUUCCGGUGAGUAAUCUCACUAAUCCUUGCUUAGUGGACUAAUUACACUUAAGGUUGUUUAGUUUUAAUUAAUUAGGUUUAGGUGGUCAGAUUAGUAUAAAUUAGUAUUUAUUAGAUAAUUGUGAUGCAUGUUAGGCAAUUUGAUUGUGCAAUUAGCAAAUAGACAUGUGCUAUUAAUUAUUGAAUGCAUCUCAGGAUUUUUCCCAACCCUUAGCGAGCUUCAAUUAGGCAAUACAAGCCUAAAUUGGAUUUUUUGUAAUUAAUUAUUAAUUUUCGAAAUUAAUUAAUUAUUUAUUUAUUUUUUGAAAAUUAAGGCUGGGUUAGCCGACGACCGAAAUUUUGUGAUGAUCGUCGUGGUGUAGUCCAUUUAUUUAAUUGAGCUUUAUUUUUUGCUGAAAUGAAUUAAUUAUGAUUAUAUUAUUAUUUUCCUGGAUUAAUUAAUUUGUAUAAUUAAUUGGAAAAUAACCGGGUGUCGGUUGACAGCACCAAAAGUGUUUUGGUGGACUACAAAUAAUGGUGGGAUUUGUGGAAAUGAAAUUAUAAUAUUUUGGCUAAGGCUGACCGUGUACUCACACACGAAUAUUUUAUCGAGAAGGAUAAAAAAGGUGAUUUGAUUAAAUGAUUAUUUUCGGCAUACUAUAAGAAUAUGGCUGGUAGCUUCUUGUGAGCAUAUUAUUAUAUUGGAUCAGUGGAUCUGGCAGCUUCUUGUGAACAUAUGGUAUACUAUAUCGGCCUUCGGGCGAUAUGUCAACUUUGGGUGAGCAGUAUACCGGUAUACUAUAUCGACCUACGGGCGAUAUGUCAGCUUUGGGUGAGCAGUAUACCUUAUUAUCAGCUUUGGGCGAGCAAUAUAUUAUCAGCUUUGGGUGAGCAUAUGGUAUACUAAUAUCGGCCUUCGGGUGAUAUGUCAGCUUUGGGUGAGCAGUAUACCGGUAUACUAUAUCAACCUAUGGGCGAUAUGUCAGCUUUGAGUGAGCAGUAUACCUUAUUAUUAGCUUUGGGCGAGCAAUAUAUUAUCAGCUUUGGGUGAGCAUAUAUAGUAUACUAAAUUGGCCUGAGGGCCCUACUUUAUCAGCUUUGGGCGAGCAUAUGUAGUAUAAUAUAUUAUCAGCUUUGGGCGAGCUAUACUAUCUAUUUGUCAGCUUUGGGCGAGCAUAUACGUAGUAUAAUAUAUUAUCAGCUUUGGGCGAGCUAUACUAUCUAUUUGUCAGCUUUGGGUGAGCAAUCCUGAUUUGAUAGGACUUAUAGAUAGUAUUGUAUGUGCCGACUAAGCAUGGGUCAUGAUGACAUGUAAUCAACUAAGUUGAUUGAUCGAUGAUUCGAUCUGAGUGUGAUUUGAUGUGAUUCAUUGCCUUGAUUUGAUGUUGUGAAUUGAUCGAUUGAAUGGAAGUGACCGUGAGUGGUCUUGUUGCCGUGUAAUCGACUAGCUCGAUUGAUCAAUGCUUUGAUCUAUUGUCGUGAAUUGAUUGAAUGUUUGAUUGACUGUUAUGAAGCAUCUAUAUAUAACCUUGAAUUGCAAGUUGGAACUGAGGCUAAGGUAAGUCCUCUGACUCGUGUUGUGCUUAGGCAACCAAGUAGUGUAUUGGUUCCCUAAUUGAGUCUUAGUGGGGUAGAACUUGCUGAGACGUAGUCUCAUCCCAAUUGUGGGAUAACAUUUCAGGCCCGUAGAUGAGCCUGUGAAGAAGGAACCAGAAGAGGUCGAUGAGCCGGUAAAAGAUGAAGAGCUUGAAGGAUGUGAGCUUAGUGAAGAAGAGUCUAAAGAGGAUCAGGAUGAUCCUGAGUACGACCCGGAUGAGGACUGAAAUCCUAUUCUCUUUUGUGAAUCUUGUCUAAAUGUGAAUAGUGUGAAACUAGAAUGUUAUGAAUAGUUUUGUGAAUAGACUUUGAAUUAUGCCAUGUAUAAAGGUUUGGUUGUGGAUUUCAAUGUGAAAAUAUGGCCUUGCUUUUCUAUCCCAUUGUGUUAUUGUCUGGGGAGUUAUAAUUGCUUCUGCAUGUGCUUAAUAAACGAAAGGGUCGACGAUACUUAGUUCUGGGAUAUCGCAUUAUAAAAUCAACCAAGUAGAAGGAUGUGUCCGUGCCCGAGGAUCGGGGCGAGACACAUUGCCGUGCCCAAUAAAGCGAGACGACGCUCAGUUAUGCCGGAUGACCGCUGAUUAUUGAGUUGGCCAUGGCCAUUGGGUCGUAAAUAAUUAGGACACGUUUGAGUGAUUGAGAUAGCCACGCCUGAUUAUGAACGAAAUUGUGUGGUAUGGAAUGGGACAUAUCAUAACGAUUUGGCUUUAUAAUUGGGACCCCUGUAAUUGUUUGAGAGUAAAUUGAUGUGUUCCUAUCACGCCCCGAUCCUCGAGCGCGUGCCCAUCCCUCAAUGGUCGAUAUAAAUUUUGUGACUUUCUAGGACGAGUCGCCGACCCUUUCAUUUUAUUGCACAUGCGGAAGCAAAUAACAAAUCCCCUGACAGUAACCAUCUCAGGAUAGAAAAGCAGGACAACCGAUUUUUAAACAAAACAUGCCUUUAAAUACACACCGAGUCAAAUACAAAAGUCUACGAUCACAAGAAUUCAAAUGAUUGACUCUAAAAAAAGAAACUGUCAUAUCUGACCUACACUUCAGAUCACCUCAGCUCGGCUCCAGAUUCUCCACUUUACGGUCCUAAAAAAUGAAGCCCACGACGGGGUGAGAUAUAAAUCUCAGCGAGUUCAAACUCUAAACCUCGAUUAGGAGGGUAAUAUGCCUAAGGCGUCCUAACCACACAAUCAUACAAUCACAGAGACUUACCUUAUCUCAAAUCCUCCCUGCAGGUCAGCACAGUUCAUAUCACAAUCAUGUGUAUAUAGCAAAGGCACACACCAAUUUGGAAUGUUCAAACCAAUCAUUACUCACACGAGCAAGAAUUACAAUUUAACCAUUGCUCACACGAGCAAGAAUUACAAUUUAACCAUUGCUCACACGAGCAAGAAUUACCGAUACACAUUAAAGUAAGAAUUACAAUUAAAUCACUACUCACACGAGCAAGAACUACCAAUACACCUCAAAGCAAGAAUUACCGACACACGCCGGUCCAUCAAUUCAACUCAAUAUGCGUUCCAAUUAAUUAACUAAUACUACCCAUACGAGCAGUUUUAUCUGACACACGCCGAAGAAAAAUAAUAACUACCGACACACGUCGGGGAAAGAUAAUAACUACCGACACACGCUGGAGAAAGAUAAUACCCACCUACACAUGCCGGGGUAAGAAUAAUAUCCAUCGACACACGAUGGGGAAGAACAAUAACUACCGACACACGCCGGAGAAGAAUAAUAACUACCGACACACGCCGGGUUUAGGUAAUAUCCACCGACACACGCCGGGGAUGGGUAAUAUGUGGCAUCCGGAAAUUUAGACGACCCUCAAAUAUGCAGCGGCCAUGAGUAAUCGACGGGAGUAUUGUCGGUACCACAUUCGGCCUAGUUUCAUAGUCACUCGACAUCCCGAAACAUUAACUUUCGGAGAAAAAGAAAUUUUCCUUGAAUGGCCAUAUGAACAAUCCCACCAACGGCCACGUUCUCUUUCAUCUCUUGGACCGACCAACCACGCAACAAGAGAAGUCUUUGGACACUAAUCUUAGUCACGUUUCUUUUUGAAGUUAGUCAAGUAAGGAGGAAAUAUUGACUUGUAUGGGGACGUACAUGCGUGGGAUUAUCUCGGCCCAAGUAAACNNNNNNNNNNNNNNNNNNNNNNNNNNNNNNNNNNNNNNNNNNNNNNNNNNNNNNNNNNNNNNNNNNNNNNNNNNNNNNNNNNNNNNNNNNNNNNNNNNNNGCACAGCCACGUUGCUCUUCAUUCGGUGGCCAGCGCAGGAGGAGAGAUCGAGCAAAGGAAAGCCACGCCUCCACAAGCUGUCUUUGGUUCCUGCUGCCAUCGAAAGAAUUCCCAUGCAGUUGACUAAAUUGUCAACAAAUUGAGGAACAAAAUGCUCGUACACAGAGGGGAGGAGAGAGAAUGAACCGAACAGAAACUUGAACAGAGAGAGUGAUCGAGAGAGAGUUUGAGCAAGGGAGUUUGUGAGCGAGCAGCGGGCAAAGGUGAGAGAGGAGAGAAGGAUCAUCCUCGGCCGUGCAUGCGCACCGUCGCCAUCGACGCCGUUCGCAAUCGCCGCCGUUGGGCCGCGCCCGAGACCUCGAGCUUCUGUUUUGGUUGCCGAUCGAGCUAUAGGACUAGAGGCAAGUGCAAGUCUACUAACCUAUGUAAUGCAAGGCUGUUAUUUCUGAAGUAGUGCAAGUGGACUUGAGGAUGUCCGAAUUUGAAUGUUGGAUUUUGAGUGAUUGUAGUAGAGUAGGAUUAAAGAAUUGGGGAAAUGCUUUAGAUAUCUCUAUACAUUCUGAUUUUGUUGAACUAUGAUGGAAAGAGAAAUCCGUGGUGAAAUUUUGAAAUGAAAUAGCCGUGGUAUAGGUGCGGGAUCCUACUGGGUUCGUGGUAUUCAAAUUAGACCAAGUGUAAUUCGGUAGUUUUGGAGAUUUUUAGGGACAACUCUGAUGCGAUUCUGGCCCCGCUUCCUUCAUGAAAUUUGUGAAGAAUGGUUUAAUCUAGAACAUAGGUUUUUGGUCAGAUUUUUCGGAAUCAACAUAGUGGCAUAAACUUCUUUUAAUGUGCAAUGCUUUCUGCCAAAUUUCAUUCUGUGAUAAAAGAAAUCUAAAACCGUGUUGUGUGAUUUAUUAUUUUUUAUACACAACGAAUCUGACUUAGUGUCCAUCAUGAAAUUAUUUUCUUUAGAUCUCCUCUAUAACAUACUAAAAUUUCAGAAUUUUCUGAGUUCGUUUAGGGGUUAUACCAAAAUUCUUACUAAAAUUGUGCAUUAUGACUUUUGGACUGUUUUAUUCCGAGUUUGCUUAAUUUAUCUCAAGGGUGGAUGCAUCUUGAUUUAUCAUUUGACAUGAUGGUGUUGGCAUUCAGCAUAUCAUUCAAUAUUGAAAUUUGAUGAAGACUCAUGGGACAUCCAAUGUCAUUGCAUUGGAAAUUGUUUUUGAUAUUAAAAUGUUAAUUGCUGCUGUUGGACCCUCGGGUCAACGAUGCCCCGGGAGUCGAGAGGCCCGAAGGCUCGAAUGAGUCGAUGUCCUUUGGAUGCCUAGGGUCCGUAGUGCCCUAGAGGUUUUUCCCGGGAGCAUCGGGAUGCCCGGUGGUAUGUCGAUACGUAAUUCCGGAGGGUAGGGGUAACCAUUUUCAUGGCGCGCCCCAGAGAUUCCUUGUGAUGCCAGGUGGGGUGCAAGAUGCCUAAGAGGUGUAACAAAACACGCUCUGGAUGCCCGGUGGCCUAGUGGCUGAAUGCCGGAGGCUUUCGCGAUGCCAGGUUGGGUGCAAAAUCCCAGAAGGACGCAAACAUUGGUCCUCUGGGGGAUGAAACCUUUUGAAUGUUAAAAUUGAUGGUUCUACUAAGUGUGUGUGUGUGGUCUGGUUAUGGGACUAAAUUGUAUGGUAUGAAAUGGGACGUGUCAUAACAGUUUGGCCUUAUGAUCAGGACUUGUGUGGCUGGACGUGAUGCAUCUUGAUCUUUUGAAACUACAUUUGCCAUUGCAUUAGAGAAUUUUAUGGUUUUGAUGCAUACUUAUUCUUUGAUUACCUGUUUUAUCUAUCUUGCAUGAAAUUAGAUUAUGAUGGUUAUGCACGAUAUAGUUUAGUGGAUCUUUUACUGCUGGGUGGUCGUACUCAUCCCUUUUGAGGAAACUAACAUUCCAGACUAAACAAGAUGCCUAUGCUACCCGUACCUCCCGGCACAUUUUAUGGACUUCCGGUCGACCUGCAAUGCGAGGUGUCAAAGCAUCACCAUCCCGAAGUGAGAGGGCUUUUUAUUACUCGGGUGCGAGUGUUGAUUUUGUUUGAUGUUGGUCCUCCUGCCGGCCCCGUACUACAGGAGUAUCUAGCCAUUUUCAUCAGCCGAGAUGGACAUACGCUGAGGCUACUACCACCACCGCCAACUGAUGGACCGGAUGGAUGGGUGUGACUGCAAGCGAAGGUUAGCAAAGGCAGCAUUUUUGGACGCCGACACUAACUGAUGGACUUAUGUAUAUGGCUAUAGGGAGAAAGAAAGUCGGGUAUCUUUUGAUAUGUAGCUGGGUAUAGAAAACCGCAGCAUUUUUGGUGUACCAACUGAAUGAUGUCCAUCAGGUUUAUGUAAAUAAAAGUGUCUGACUUUUACCUAUAAAAACUUGUAGUUAGUGUGCAUUAUGUCUAAAUAUGGGAUAGGGAGAUGUUGAAUAUGCUUCUGCUAUAUUUUCUGCGCAGGGACCGAUGUAAGAAAUAUAAACCCCCAAGGCUCAUGAACUUCUUGAAAAUAACAUGGUAUCAGAGUAAUAGACCUUCAGGUAAAGAGAAAGGACGUGAUUUGUGGCGACUCCAACGGAUCGGGGGCCGUUCAAGGGGUGCCACAUAAUAUCCACCGACACACACCAGGGAUAGGUUAUCUUAACUUUUAACGUCCACCGACACACACCGAGGACGGUUCUCAUAACUUUUAACGUCCACCGACACACGCCGGGGACGGGUCUCUUAACCUUCACACAAUCAUCAAGCAUAAUCUCUAGGCAUGUCACAAACCCACCAACAUAGAGCAAUCCAUCUCAUGACCUCACACAUAAGUUCUCAGCAUGCCACCAAUCCAUCACAUCACUAAAUACACCUUAUUUAGCAAGCACAAUGUCAAGAUCAACCACAAAAUCAUAACCGGUCCUAAUUGGCAUAAACCGGGCCACUUGCACGUCUCCAAAUUUAAUUCCAGAAACCUACCUAAAUGAGCUCAAAAAAUUCUCAAAUUUGGAUAUGUUGUAGAAGACACAUAAACAAACAUUUUUCAUGAUACACCUUAACCCAGAUCCUUCUAGAUUCAGCCCAGUAAAUCGCUCAAUCCAGCACCAAAAACUAGGUAUGUUCAAGAAAGUCUGUUUUUCAAAAAUCAGUUUGGUUUGAGAUCCAAAACAUGUCCGUUUGAUUUGAAAUUUCAAUAUGUUAAACUAGAAGAUGUGAAAAUAAUUUUUGUGAAGAAACCAUUUUGAAAUUCGAACCCUAAGAGUUGAUAAAAACCCCUAGAAUCCUAAAAGGUCACCAGUUCCAACGAAAACUGAGCCUCUGUUUGAAAAUGACGGAGCCGAUAUCUCCUUCUUUUAAAUCUCUAAAAAUCUUGAGAAAAAUGUACGUUGUAUCCGAGGAUGUCUAGACCAUUUCUCAAAAAGGCAUCAACCUCAAAUUCGUAGCCCAUUUCGAUCUACAAAAAUGGCAAAGAUUGAGGUUCUAGAAACCAAAACUGCAGGAAUUCCACUGGAUUCGACUAAACCAUCAUCAACGUUGCAAAUCUCACUAAUUAGUUUACACUAAUCCAUUCUAAAGCCAAUAUAACCAUUCUAGCUUAUCACUAAUCCAUAAUUAAGCUAAUCUAAACAACCCUUAAGUAUAAUUAACCUAUUAAGUAGGGUUUAGUGAGCAAACUCACUUGUUCGACGAUUCGAUCGGAUCAAACUGACAAAGGUGCGAUUGGGGACGAUCCCCUCCAAAGCGGGCUUGGCUUUCGAGGUUGGGAAGCGGGCCAAAACGGGCCAAACCCUUGGCUGAAAACCCACUUCUUCAACUUCUAUUUGGGGUUGAAACAGGUGGAACCUGUGGCUAUUUAGGCUAGAAACAACGAGGGAGGGCUGCAGCGGUCUUGGCGGGCCUCCAGGCUGCUCCGGCGAUAGCGUACGGUGGCUAGCGGGACCUUUGGAUGCACAGACAAGCAGGGAUGAAGCAACUGGAACGCUGGUUCGCGCGGAGGACUCGUGGGGCGCGACAGGUGUGCAACGGCGCGCGAGAGGCGGUCCGGCAGCUUGGCGGGGCUACUCUGGCAGCUUGCUAGCUAAUCUCCUCUGCUCUCUACAAUUUUUGAAGCUUGAAGAGGCUGAGGGAAAGGGCUGCAUGACUAGAUAGGGAAAGGGGAAGAGAGGGGGGACGAAUUGGCUUGGAGGGGGCCUACCACUUGCCUCAUCCUCAUCUUCUUUGUUCCCUUGACUAAUCCACCAUGUGUGCUGUCUUCCACAGCCCAUUUUCAGCCAAAAAUGCCCUCAUCUAGAAGCUUGAAGUGGUCCAAUUGUUGGGCCUAAGGGGGUGUUACGAAUUUUGGUGGAGGUUGAUUCAAUUUGGACUUGAAUGGCUCUUGAAUCAACCUUAUUUGGCCUCUAAAAAUCCAACCAUCAUACCCUUAAUCAAAUUGGCAUUUUUCCUCGCCAAUUGAACCCACUUGUAUCCCAAUUUUCACGAUAAAAAAUGGUCCUCUAAAUUUUCUAGACAAAAACAACCCUACCUCGACUUUUUUUUCCAAAAGGUCUGAAUUUGUAGAAAAAUCUUCGAAAACUGAGUCGACAUUCCUAAAAUGACUUGUGACAUGACAGAACUUUCAAUUUCUGAAAUCAGAUUCAAAUUCGCGGUUAAUUUCAAUCCGGUGCGAUUUUAGCAUGAUCUUGACUACCGGAUAGCUUUCAUAAAUUUUUAGUGCAAAUGACUCGUUGUCGAUUUUCUUCGAGCCAUAAUGUACCACUUUGACACAUCAGCAACUCUCAGUAGUCAUGAAAAUCUCAAGGUUUCAAUUACAGGCACAGGGUACCCAAAACGACAGAAAAUUGAUCCAGUGCCAAUCAACGAAAAUUUUGCAAUCAAAUGGAAUCACCCACACUUUGAUCACACAUCUCAGUCAAAUCGACCUAUCCCUAAUCUAUGAUCGAUUUUGACAAUGCUGUAAUGACCCUUGCAGAAUAGCACGAUCGAGCAGUCGAUUUCUAGUCGAAUUUUCAAGUCCAUUGCAUCAAAAUCUCUUAAUGACUUCCCCAGAUAGUCUAGUUAGCUCACGAGUGAUCGACUCUGAGAAUAGCAUUAUAGGCGCGUCGAUGAAAGGCCCGAUUUAUUCAAUUAAAAGGUGACUGAAAAUCCAGGAUGUCACAGUUCUAAUUAUUGAAUAUAUUGUUGUAUGCAUAUGAUAUUUGAGAUGUACUAACGUGCAGGGAGGUGCUGAGGCGAGGUAAGUCCUAUAUGGUGCAUGUUUAGGCUGCCUCUAGGUGAAUUCUCGUCCUAAUCAGGGUUUAGGGUGCAGACUCGCUGAGACCUUAUCUCACCCCAUCGUGGUUUAAACCGUUUCAGGUCCUUAGAUGGAGGUACAUCAUGUACGUUAUGGGGUCCCACAGGAGGUAGACUUUCAGCACUCUUAUUUCCCUAUUCCCGAGACCAACCAGACACGUGAGCUAGUUGAGUCCACUAUCUGGGUCAAUGAGGGCCUACCUCACUUAGUACCUCAUUGUUUCAAGGCGUGGUGUCUCCACAAGCCCAAUGGGGUUCGGGAGGGUCCUACGGGAGGUUUUGACGGGCCUGCCGUCUGGACCAGGGAGUGGGAAAUAUGGCAUCCUAUGGAUAUUGAUACCCCCGAUGGUGUCAUGAAGGAUCCAGAGCCCGAGAAUGGAGAGUCAAGAGCUUAGGUGGCUCAGUAGUUCUUUUUGAUCUAGACUCCUGUACAUAAACCUUAGGUUUUGCUUGACUUUAUAUAAACUUGAUGUAUUUUUAAAGUGUGGCUUGUGUUAAUUGAUUGUCCUGCUUUUUUCUAUCACAUGUUUGAUUGUUGUCUAGAGUUCAUUAGUUCGCUUUUGCAUGUGCAUAAAUCAAUUGGUUCGGCAACACGUCUUGGGAACGUCACAUUUUAGUCAACCACCGAGGGAUGUGUGCGUGCCCAGGGUUCAGGGCAUGACACAUGGCAUCAUUAUAUUUCAGGGUCUAUCAAAGUAAGGGUAAAUUGUCGUUUAGCAGUCACGUUGAGAAGCAGAAACUGUUUCAUAUCCAGCAUCUAAGAAUCUCAAGGCAUCUAUAGAUAUACCAUGGAAGUAACACAAGACCUUAGUGCUAGAAAAUUGUCUAAGACAAACUGAAUGCACCCACAAAAUAUAUAUAAACACAUAUGCACAUGUACAAUCUCUGUACCACAUGAGCGUCCAAUGGCGGUGGAUAAUUUGCAUCGAUAGUGUCUAUCCAGCUAAAAAGCAUGUCGUGAUAACCAUAUGGUUUCCCAUUCAUACUCUGUGCAUACUCCCAUGCAGCAGUCUCGUUAAAUUUGGCUCGCAUAUCAGGAUGCAGUGGAAGCAAUGCAAUGUGGGGAUUUAAGUCGUCUUUGUUAAGCUCAAACUCCCACCAUUCAUCCCAUGGUAGCACAUCGAUGACAUCUUCUCCCUGCAAGGAUAAGAACAAAACAAAAAUUGCAUUAUAUCCAACACUGCCGGACUUCUGAAGCACCUGACCCCUCUACCAACGCAAAGGAACAUAGCAAGUAGCAAUAACCCAAUUAUAAACUUACAUUUGUUAAUCAAGGAAUGCCUCAAGAAAAGGAUGUCAUUUCAUUGCAUUCUAACCAUAAUCAUCAUCAGUAAGUUGCCGUGUUGUGUGUAAAGAUGGUCUUGAAGUUCAAUAGAAACAGUUCAAAGACACUGUAUUUGCUAUGUUACAAACAUGAUGAUGCUACAUCAUGAACCUGAAGCAGCAUGUCAUCGUUUACUUACUCAUCCUCUCUAAAAAUCAAAAGUUUCUACAAGAGCACAGAAAGGAAAGACCUCUCUUAUUGGAAAAAAAAAUAUUAGCGAGGAGAUUUAAGGACAUAGGGAUGUGACUAAAGCGCAAUUAAUAUGCAUAAUGGAACAAUUUCAUUGGAACUGUAUUUGUAAGAGAAGAAGUCCAUGAUUUGACAAAAGUUACAUUUAUACAAUAAUAGCACUAGAAUCCAAUGCCCCAAAAACCUAAGGAUUCACCCUAGGACAUGUUACAGAAACACCGCAGGGAGCCUAGUUGUCCUUCUCAUUUUGUAUGAGACAACCCUUUUAUAAUCAGAGUACUUUUAAGCAGUGUCAUAUGGGUGUCUUAAAAAUUUAAUGGCAGAUGAACACAAGGAAUGAAGGAGGAGACGCAAAAAUAAUAACUCAAAUAAUUGGUAGGGGUGUUUGAGAUGUUUGAAGUUUGUCUGUUGGAUAUCCCAAUAUAACAACAAUGUGAACAAUUCUAGUGAGAGACUGGCACCAACUGACCGCCAUGUUACUAUUGUGUCUAUGCAAUUGGUUUAAAAAUAUACUCACAAUUACAAUUGCAAAGACAACAACAGGCAGAAAGAUUGGAUGAAAUGUCAAAAUUCAAAAAUAUAUACAUCAAAAGCAAUCUGUCAUGUAUGAAAACAAAGGGAAAAAAAGGAAUAGAUAAAAUGCUUUAAAAAAAAUCGCAAAGCAAUUUCUUUCCUUAAAAGGCUUUUUCUCCACAAGUCAAUAUAAAAAUUAGCCCUUCAAACUGAAAGAGAAGUAUGCCUACGCGUAUGACCAACCCAUGGCCAUUGCCAAGUUACCUGUUCAUUAUCAUGUCCAGAUUCACCAACCCAUAGCUUUCCUUCAGAAUCCUUUAAGCACACACCUGUGUGGCCAGCAUGAGCCCCACUGACCCAUUUCUCUAGAGUCUCAAAACCACCCCACCUCCCACGAAUUUUUGAAAUUGCAAGGAAAUCUCUAGAGUGGACCCAUAUGCUUCUUGACCCACAGUGCUUGAAGGGUCCCUAGCAUCCCGACUUGCAUCAAAAAGAUUGACACUCCUCUACUUUUCACCUGUAAUCAAAGUAAUGGAAAACCAAGAGUAACAACUCACCAAUAUGCAUAUGCAAGAGCAGAAGAGAAAAAGAUAAUUGCAGCUUACAUAUUCAAACUCAGCUUUUCCUUCCCACUCUUCAAACUCAAAUGUGGGCUCAGUGCUCACGGGAUAAAAGAUAGUAGUCCCAUGUCACACGGUAUGGGGUUGCAAAGACAUAAAUAUCCAUACAUGUCCAGCUAUGGGCUUUCCUGACCUGGAUGAGCAAUCCAAACUCAUGGUUACAAGCCGGACACCUACAACUAGUCGUCAGUUUCCAUAUGCAGCAAAACCAUGCAAAAAUAAGAACUAUCAACAUGAGGCAGAAAACAAUGGCAGUACCCACCCAGCUUGGAAUUGCCUCCAUAAGAUGAUUUUACAUCAAACGAAAUGACCACACUUGUAUGAGCAACCGAAUCCAAAUCACUAAAUCCUUCUUCAACCGCUUAAAACCUUGACACGAAAAACUCAAGUGACCAACCAUGGUACUGCCAAUUCAUGGAGCUUAAUCAAGUACAAACAAGCGGAUGAAAGGAAAAGAAAAGAAACCUCAGCAAGUGACAAAAUCCACUAGAAACAUGUUGAAGUAAGAACUGAAAAUUCCAACAUAAAUAAGCAGAAAGAGAAAAGAGGAACAGUUGGGAUCAAGCAACACAUCAAAGGAUAUUCUCCAACAUCCUUUAAAUAAUUAAUUUUCUUCACAACUCUAUACAUAAUGGUAUGACUGUGCACUUCAGUUGGUAAGAAAAAUACCGUAAGUAGAUAGAAACUCUAUCCAGUUCAGAGCUUUAAAUCCAUUAGAAUAAAUCAACCUCAAAUUAACCAAGAUAGAAAGCUCAAACUAAGUACCAAGAAUUAAUCGGAAACUGCGAAAAGCUAGCAAACGAUGGCCAUUAGCCCCCAUCAACAAACCCUUACAACCUCGCAUCUCCCAGAAUUAUCACACAAUCGAACUGUAGCGAAUUGAAUUAAGCAUUAACAAUUGACUAUAAAAACUCAAGAGCUAGUGAACAGUGACCAUCUCUCCACAUUACCAAAUUGCCGCAAGAUGAAACCUCCCAGAAUCUUCCAGAAUCGCACUCAAACACAAGGAUUUCCAUUCCAUUCCGUUUCUCACAAUCACCAAAGAAAAACCAAGACUUAAAAUCAUCACUCCAGUCCAUUCCUUUCCUCAUCAUUUCCUGAUUUCAUUCCAUUCCACCGUACCAAACUCAACAUAAUAGUUGACCAGAAUACCUUUUGUGAUUAGUGGCCACAAGCUUAAAAGCUAAACCCCCCCCCCCCCAAAAAUCUUCCAGAAUCGCACUCAAAACCAAACAAAGACAAAGCCAAAGCAACGUGGUAAAACUAAAGGACGGACCUUGAUGUGAAUCAUGCCUCCGCCGAACUCGCUCCUGGUCUCCCAAGCCGUGUUCUCGUAGAGGCAAGCUCCUUUCCCGAGGCGGGACGGCGAAGGUUAUUGAGGAUGGGCCAGGACAGCUGCCUUGGCAGCAGAGGGAAUAUGUCCACCGGGUGGAACGGUAGCUUCGCGGCUUGAGAAUGCGGGUUGAGCAAACAGAAGAUCGUGAAGAGAAAGAGAAGCAACACAAAUGGCUGAAGAGAAGCCAUGGAAAUUGGGGGAGAGAGCGACAGACAGACAGACAGACAGACAGAAAUCCUGAGGAAUAUCCCAUCUCCCCUUCUUAUGUACAACUUUUAGAGAGAGGGAGAGAAGAAUUUUUCUUGGCCACUUCCAUAACUCUUCCAACUAUACUUUUGGAGCUUCCUAAUGGAGCAACAACAAUUAAAUAAUUUUGAUUAAUAUGGAAGGCAAGAACUCAAAUUUACUAAAUAAUUGAUGCCCGACCAAGCUCACCGUCAAACCGCAGCUAUGACAUCCCGAAAUUUGGCCCCUGAUUUGGAUAUAUGAAAUGGUUGUUUCGUCAACGCACUUAUGAUUAAUUUACUCAGAACUGAUCACUCACGAGUUAACUAAUCUAUUAGAUGAGGCCAUUAAGAGAUAUAAACGCAACAAACUAGAGAAUUCAAUUGGAAAUCGACCGCUUGACCAUAAUAAUCAGUAAGGGUCAAUACGAAACCGUUAUAAAUCGAUUAGUGAAUGCACAUAAGUCGAUUCGAUGGAAUUACGUAGUCGAAUUGCGGGUGGUUCGGCACAAUUGCGAUAUUCGCAUCGAACGGCAAUAACCCGAUUUUCUAUCAAUAUUAUAUUCAUAACACGUAAUUGAAAUCUCGCAAUUUUAUGACAACCGAGGGUCGUCUUUGAUUCAGAAAUGCACAAACAUGGAUCGAAAAUUAUCGACCAUGGGUCAAAUGCGCUAAAAUUCUUAAAAGCUACUCGAUUGGUUAGGUCGUACUAAAGUUGCGUUUGGUCGAUUUUAACCACGAAAUUGAAUUUGGUUUUGGCAAAUCAGACGUUCGAGCAUGUCACGAUUCAUUUAUAGGACUUCGUCUCAUCUUUCAGCGAAUUUUCGUAGAGUCCGAAAAUUUUGCGGAAAAAUGAUUUUUGAACAAAAAGGAAAAUAAAAGGAAAUUCGGAUUAAUAGGAAAAAUGGGAAAUUGCUGCCCAAAAUGGCUUGGUUUGUAAGAAAUUAGAAGAAAAUUAGGAUUUGAUAACCACUUGACUUUGACGGCAUGAAGACUUUAGAGGUAAAUGUGAUGAUGGGUUAGAUAUUUAGCUAGGUUUGUGAUUGGUUGUGCCUUUGACUUCUUGGUUCUCCUUCUCUCUUCCAUUUCCCUCCAUCUCUUUCUCUCUUGCAUUCAUCCCCCUUGCAGCCGACCCUCACUUCCUCUCUAUUUCCCUUUCUUUUCCCUCAGCUUCAUCUUCUUCUCCUUUCUGCCGCACGUCUGCCACUAUUCCCCACGCUAACUUCAUUUCAUCUUCUUCAACCCAUCAUCUCCAUCAGCCACCUCCAUCAUCAUCCCAUCUUCACCCAACAUCAUCAUCAUCCCUCAUCCACCAUCAGCACCCCCCCUUUCAACAACCAGCGGCACAGCACGCCAACACCGCCACCUUCGUUUCACGCCCGCUGCUCCAUUUUUCCCUCACGCCUGCACCAUCACGCUAUCAACCCAGCAACCCUCCACGUUCCGACCAACCAUUACCGCACCACCUCACACCCGCCACCAGCACCCAGCAGCCACCUUGCAUCAGCCCACCUUGCAUCAGCCCACCUUGCCGCCAGCACUGAGCGGCCCCGCCACAACCGCAGCUCCACCGCAGCCCAUCCCACAUCCGCCUCAUUGCCCGUCCGUCACCAGCCUGCCAACAGCCGCGUCCAGCCAAGCUGCAAUACACCCAAGCUGAGCCAAGCUCCCUUUGGCCGAGAGCUUGUAGGGUCGUAACAGCCAUCGUCGAGCCUCCAUAUGAGCCAUGGUUGUCUCGAGUUUUCGUCGCCGUCACAUCGCCGUCGCCGCGAGCCCAUCGUCGCCGAAAACCUUGAGUUAACUCCCUAAUCCUUGAUUAGGUUGUUAAUUGUGCUUAUGGGAUGUUUAGAUUAGUGCUAAUCAUGAUUAGAUUAGUACUAAGAUGGAUUAUUGUUAAUCAAGCAUGGUUAGGUUUGUUUACCUUAGUUAGGUUAGUUUACUUUGGUUAAGUUAGUUAACCAUGGUUAGCUCGCCGUCAAACCGUGGUCAUUGAUAGCUUCAACUCCACUUAUAUUGCUUACCCACCCUCUUCUAUCGCCAUGACGACUUUCACUAUCCCGCUUUUUCAGGACUUAGAUAACAUCAAACAUCCCCAUCGCUGGAUAAAAGUGAAAACAUCUUAAAGAAGCCAAUGCUUUGAAAAACUCUUCCUUAUGACAAAAUCAAGAGUAUUUCAUCAAUGAUGUACUUCUUAAUUUUGUACAAAGAAAUGUGUUUGUCAUCAAUAUGGAUUUAACAUUUACCUUUGAGAUAGCUAGUAUAAGCACCUAGAGGGGGGGUGAAUAGGUGUAAAAAUAGUUUCUCGUGAUAAGUGAGCAAUACUAAACAGACAAUCGAAAGGAAGUUCUCCUUUUGUUAACAAAACGAAUUAUGAUCAAAGUAAAGCAGAGAGUAGGGAAGAGAAAAUGAAUACAUAAAUUAUAGUGGUUCGGCUUAUUCCAAGUCUACGUCCACUCUUCCGCACUGAUAGCCCACCAGCUAGAUUUCACUAUGAACAAAAGAGUUGUUACAGCAAAGCUCUCCUUUGAUUCCACAGUGUAGAUACUCUACCACACUUCCUCAAGGUUUCUCAAGAAUAUAGACUCUCUUUUGCGUACAAGAUUUCGCUCAGUAAAUGAAUUGACUAAGAACAAAGAGCUUUAGACUUUGGAAUUCUUUUAUCGCACACAUACUCGAACAACUGGAACGUCUUCCUUAUAUACUCAUUUAUGCCAUCAUACCUGUUGGCACUUACCAAAGGAAUUCUUCCAAUCUUCCCGUUGGACAUAAUCAAUUAGGAAGAUCAUUCGAGCUAUUUAAAGAACAUGACGAUAGACCAUCAAUCAUGCUCACCCAUAUAAUCAGGAUCUCGGUUUCCAUAAGUAAAACCUUCCAAGUAUACUUCGCUAAUCAUCGGAUCCUCAAUCUCUGAAUCAAUCUUGAUCCGAAUAAAGGAUUCAGUUAUGUCAUAUCCAGCCAAGAGAUCUUCUUUAGUCGAUAAGGUCAAAUCCUUAACGAAACAUCCAGUCCUAGAUAGGUCUUCUUCGACGGACUAGAAACUGUCAAUAAGAAUAGACUUUGAGUCUUGAGUCUGGCAGUCCGGAGGUCUUCAGACUUUAAAUAGAAGAGUCUGCAAAUCUUCAGACUAGACUGAUGGAAACGUUUUGUCAGCUUCAAAACACUCCACGAAGAUUUCUCCAACAAUCUCCCCCUUUUUUAUGGUGACAAAACUUUCCUAUAGAUUUGGAUAACUUUGACCUACAAAACAUUACUCAAGCAAAUAUGGAUAUCUCAUAAAAAUAAAUGGCUUAAUGAUAACACUAGAAUCUGCAACCAUAGAAAAUAGGUUAGUCUUGUAGAUGAGUAAAGUCAUAAGAUAUCAAUAGUACUUAAGAUAAAUAAUCAAUCCCAAAUCUCAAAUCCAGUCCACAGCCAGACACAAAAGUCAAGUCAAAACAAACAUCAAAACAAAUCAAGAGUUCAAGUUCAAAAAGUUCAAAGUUCAAAUCUGCAUCACAUCUCUCCCCCUUUUUGUCAUCAUUAAAAAGGUAGAGAUGGAAAGAGAAUGGAAUCAAGUAUGCUUGGGAACACGAACAAGCUGGAAAUCUCCCAUUGACUGGACAAUGCCUUCCAGGUUUUUCAACUCUUCCUUUAGUUGAGCCACAUCUUCACCCUUUGCAUUUGCUUGAAUCUGAAGAGCAAGGGCUUGGAUUUGAUCAUUCAAAGAAACUGAAGAAGCUUGACUUGCAGUCUGCAAAUUCUGUACUUCGCAUCCCAGAGCAUAUAUUUGACCCUGCAUCUCUAAGAGAACAUCAAGAAUUUUGCGAAAAUCUGCUGAAUUAUUAGUUUGCAUACUGGCUUCUGCACGAUCAGAUGGAGUAAAGGCAGACGAUGGCAAAUCAGCAUAGUCACGCAAAUUGGGCGAUGAAACAUCAUGUCCCUCCUCAGGAAAUUGAGAGGCAUAGAUAUCCUCUGGAUCUACUGGAGAGCGGCUUACUCCUUCACUAGUGGCAGGAUAUGAGGACAUUCCUCUUUUCUCAUGAUCUCCCCCUGUUUCCAUGCCUUCAGGUGGAGAAGAGUGUUCCUCAUGCUCUGCUUCCUCUUGAUCUCCUCUCUCCUCUUCUUCUUCUUCUUCAAUUCUUUCCUCCUCUACAUCUCUUUCUUCUGCUUCUCUCUCCUCUGUUUCUUUCUCCUCUGCUUCCAAAAUUUCUCUUUCUCCAGUCCUCUGUUCUGUCUCAUAUAUGUCUUUCUCUUGUUGUUUCGUUGAUUCUGGAACAGAACGACUCACGUUCUUCAAUGUCAUUGCAGAAAUGGUGAUGUCAUCCUCAUCUUCUUCAUCCUCAAUGAUGAGAGCUCUUCUUUUCUUGGAUGGAGCAACCAUGGGCUCCUUCCCUUUUCUUUUUGCUGCCGAAGAGAUUUGAUGAGUUUUAGCGGGGGUUUUCUCCUUGAAUUUCUCCAACGCCUUGUUGAGUUACUUCAUAUGCAUUUUAGACACCAUUUUCAGUCCCACUACCAUUUGAUCACAAGUUCUAACAUAGAGAAUCCGGGGAGGCUGAACAUUCAAAUGUCUGAAUAACUUGGUCACAAGAGCCGGAUAAGGAAGUUGACCCUUGUCCUUCAUCACUGCUCUACACAUGUGGAACAUAAUAGUGUGAGGAAGAGAGAACUUUUUCCCAGCAUUGAUGGCAUACAUCAGCUUUGCCUCUAAGUUUGAAACAUCAGUUUUUGAAGUAGAUUUUGGUUUGAGGCAGUUAAUCACAAUCUUGUGAAGCAGAAUGUUGAAUGCUUUCAUCCUCAAGUAGGAAAUCUUUCCCUCUGUCCUUCUAUCCUUAACAAGUUCCAACGUAACACGAGCAAUAGACACAUUGAUAGGUUGAUAUCUCCCUCUUUCAACCCUAAUCACAUUAGCCAACAUAUCUACAUCCACCACAUAGUCCUGAUCUCGGACACUAAAAGAGAAUCUAUUCGCAUCCAAGAAACUGAGAUUCAAAUAGAAAUAUGCAGUGAGUUCAGCAUAGGCUUCUGUAGAUUCAGAACAAAACUGUUCAAGUUGAAGAAGACUGAAUUUUUCCCUCAAAUUAAUGUUCACAGAGUCAAGGAAAUCAAAAUCCACACUUCUAGGGUUUAUCACCCCACGCUUCAACAACUUAGAGUAUAGAUGCUUGUGUUCCUCCAAUCGAAACAAGUCUAUCCUUUUGCUCCGAAUUUUUGCCGCAACACCCAUUCUCGGUUGAAACUGACUAUACAACUUGUCAUCAUCAUUCUCAUCUGGCUGAUUCAGCCCUCCAACACAUGGAUCGCUUGGGAUAUUUGCCAUUGCCUCUUCCGCCGACCCAGCAGGGGCAAUCCCCAACCGUUCCAUUGUGCGUAAAAAGAAGGUUUCAUUUUUAUACCCUUUGUCUUUCAAAAAUUCGUCAAUGUAGUUCAAAGGAGUUCCACCCCUUUUCAAAGCACGAUAAAGCUUGUAGGUAAAAGAGGGCUUAAAAGUUCUUAUGGGUUCUGCAUCUUCGAUUAUUUCUUCCUCUUCUUAAUGAGUAACAUCCUGUGGUCUAGAUGGAGGAGAUGGACGCUACUGAGAAUGUUGUGGGCUCUGCUGCUGACUAGGAGACUCUUCUUCCUCGGUGAGAUCAAAGUGCGUAGGCCCCUCAUGCAUUUGUUGCUGUCCCCUGUUCGCAAUCCUCGAAGACUUCCUUUGAGACGACAUCUUUCACAGUCUUUGAAAGAUUCCAAACCUGUUUUUCCCAAGAAAGAUAACAACUUUUCGAAGAUUAAACAAGAGAAGAAGACAGAAGUGGAAGAUCGAUGCUUUCUAAGGUUUUUGGAGUAAAAUGAAGAGAAACUGACAGUAUAUAGGACGGUCGAAGAGAGGCAUACAAAACGUCGUAAAGGAAAGUAAAAAGAUGCCUUUUAAAAAAUAACUGCCUUUUUCAAAAAUUAGAUAACUGUCAUUUAAAAUUAACUCCAUUUUCGAAAAAGAAAGAUUGCAAUAAUCACGGAAAUUGAAAAUAGCAAAAAUCAAUUAUGGGUAGAUGAUCGUACCUUUUUGAGAUUUAUUCUGAGAGAGAAUAAAAUAACUUACAGUAAAAAAUCUUGAUUGUCUGAGUCGAGAGUCUCUAGACUUUUACUUCUUCAAACCUCAAAAUAUUGAGUUUGGAACGAAUAACUUCAAAUUGAUUUUUUUCCAAAGGCUUUGUAAAUAUAUCCGCCAGUUGAUUCUUUGAGUCAACAAACUGAAUCGAAACUUCUCCAUUUUGAACAUGAUCUCUAAUGAAGUAAUGUCGAAUCUCUAUAUGCUUUGCUUUUGAGUGAAGAAUUGGAUUCUUAGUGAGAUUGAUUGCGCUGGUGUUGUCACACUUAAUCUCCGUGCAUGAAUCUUCAAUUCCAAAGUCUCUUAGCUGUUGUUUUAUCCACAGAAUUUGUGAACAACAACUUCCAAGAGCUACAUACUCUGCUUCUGCUGUAGAAAGAGCUAUUGUAUUUUGCUUCCUUGAAAACCAAGACACUGUCCUGCUUCCAAGUAGUUGACAGGUACCCGAGGUGCUCUUUCUAUCAACUCUGCAUCCAGCUAGGUCUGCGUCUGAGUAUCCAAGAAUAGUAAAGUCUCCGUUUUUAGGAUACCAAAGACCAAAAUUUGAAGUUGAUAUAAUGUAUUUGAUAAUACGCUUUGCAACACUUAGAUGAGAUUCUUUAGGGUCUACUUGAAAUCUGGCACAAAUGCAAACAUUAAACAAAAUGUCAAGUCUAGAAGCAGUAAGAUAAAGAAGUGAACCAAUGAUACUCCUAUAUAGCUUCUGGUCAACUUUCUUUCCUCCUUCAUCUUUUUCUAUCUUCAAGGAACUUGACAUUGGUAUAUCAGUCUUUUUGCAAUUUUCUAAUCCAAACUUUUUGACAAGAUCAUUAGCAUAUUUUUCUUGAUGAAUAAAAGUCCCUUCCCUCAAUUGUUUCACUUGAAGCCCGAGAAAGAAUGUUAGUUCACCCAUCAUGCUCAUUUCAAAUUAAUCCUGCAUAGACUUAGAGAAUUUCUUGCACAGACUUUAAUUAGAGGAUCCAAAAAUAAUAUCAUCAACAUAUAUUUGAUCAAGCAGAAAACUUUUGCUUUCUCUUUUGAUAAACAGUGUAGUGUCUACUUUACCUUUGACAAAGCCAUUUUGAAUUAAAAACUUACUUAGCCUGUCAUACCAAGCUCGAGGUGCUUGCUUUAAACCAUAUAAAGCAUUUUUCAGUUUGAAUACUGAGUCUGGUUUCCUUGGGUCUUAAAACCCAGGUGGUUGUUCCACAUAGACUUCCUCAUGGAUAAAUCCAUUCAGGAAAGCACUUUUGACGUCCAUUUGGAAUAACCCGAAAUUCUUAUAACAAGCAAAAGCAAGUAAUAAUCUAAUUGCUUCUAACCUCACUACUGGUGCGUAAGUCUCAUCAUAGUCUAUCCCUUCUUCUUGCGUAUAUCCCUUGGCCACGAGUCUUGCUUUGUUUCUUACGACCUUUCCUUUCUCGUCCAUCUUGUUCCUGAAAACCCAUUUAGCUCCAAUAAUAGAUUUACCUUUCGGUUUAGGAGUCAAUUCCUAGACAUCAUUAAUACUGAAUUGCCUGAGUUCUUCUUGCAUAGCUUCAAUCCAGCUUUCAUCAGAUAAAGCUUCUUCUAUGCUUUUGGGUUCUAUUUUAGAAAUAAGAGCCACAGCACUAAACUCUUUGCGCCUUUUGGAUCUUGUGCGAAUUCCUUCAUUAAUGUCACUAAUAAUGAGAUCUUUGGGAUGACUGGACUUAUGCUUCCAGUUGCUGGUUGAUUUGUCAGGUUGUUGAUCUUUUUCUUCAUUUGAAUCUUCAACAAUCAUUUGUUGCUAGUCUUUCGAAGUUUGAGCUGCUUCUUGAGAUUUAGACUUUGUAGAGUCUAGAGCAAGUUCAAAUUCUUCAAGAUGAGUCUGAAUAGAUUCAUUUUGCAUAGAAUCUUGGAAUUUGACAUUCAUUGAUUCCUCCACAGAUUGAGUCUUCUUGUUAUAGACUCUGUAGGCUUUACUUGUGGUUAAAUAUCCAAGGAAGAUGCCUUCGUCUGAUUUUCUUCAAACUUGCCAACUCGAUCAUUUGCAUUUUUCAAUAUAAAGCAUUUACAUCCAAACACAUGAAAAUAUGAAACAAUAGGCUUCUUUUCUUUGAAUAACUCAUAGGGGUUUUCUCCAGAAUAGGCCUUAGAAAAACUCUAUUAAUGAUAUAACAUGCUGUAGAAACUACUUCAGCCCAAAAACGUGAAGAGAUAUUACUUUCAAUUAAAAGAGUUCUAGCCAUUUCUUGAAGCGACCUAUUCUUUCUUUCCACAACUCCGUUUUGCUCUGGAAUAUAUGGAGAGGAGAACACAUGCUGAAAACCAGAUUCAUCACAGAAUUUUGUAAAAUCUUGAUUUUCAAAUUCACCUCCAUGGUCUGUUCAUAUACUUGAAAUAACAUACCAUAUCUCAUUUUGGACCUUUUUAGCAAACUUUUCAAAGUAAGAAAAGGUUUCAGACUUACUUGCUAGGAAAUAUACCUAAGUAAAUCGUGAGUAGUCAUCCACAAUUAAUAUGCAAUAUUUCUUACCUCCAAUGCUCUGAGUUCUGAUUGGUCCAAAGAGAUCCAUAUGUAGAAGCUGCAGUAUACGAUUAGUGGAAACUUGAUUUAUUAGUUUAAAGGAGUUUCUUACCUGCUUUCUCAAUACACAUGGUGUACAUAGAUCAGUCUUUUGGUAUGACAGAUUAGAUAGACCACGAACAAGCUUCUUUGCUGAAAGUUUGGCUAUUUGCUUCAUAUUGAUGUGCCUAAGUUUUCUGUGCCAUAAGUUUGCUUUCUCUUGAAUUGAGAUUAGACAUUGCGAUUCAUCUAGUUUGACAUCCAAGAGGUAGAUAUUUCCAUAUCUUCGACCCAUGAAUGACUGAGUAGAAUCUUUACUGGUUCCUGAACAUAUUCCCUCUUGAAAAUUGAUUUUGAAACCGGUAUCGCACAACUAACUAAUAUUAAGCAAAUUGUAGUUGAGUCCUUCCACUAAGGAAACAUUACUAAUUGUGAGGUUUCCAAUCUUUACAGUUCCAAAUCCCACAAUUCUUCCUUUGAUGUUUCCUCCAAAUGAAACUUUUCCACAAUUUACUUGAACGAGCUUUAUGAAGCAAUUUGAAUCUCCUGUCAUAUGUCUUGAGCAUCCACUAUCCAAAUACCAUUUUACCUUCUUCUUGAUAGUGACCUGCAUUUAGAAAAGAGACUCAAACUUUCUUUGGUACCUAUCUUGGGUCCAUUGUGUUAGUAUCAUAUGCGGUCUUUGCCCAUACUUUCUUAACAGGUUUCCAAACCAUAGGACAUUCUUUCUCAAAAUGAUUUGAACUAUUGCACUUAGAACAUCUGAGAGCAUUGCGACCUACUGAUUUUACAAAAACCUUUUUGAAAUGAUUUUUGUAAGCAUCUCUUGUGGGUCUUUGCUUAAUUUUUUCUUUCACUUUAGGAAAAUCAAUUAAAGGAAUGGUUUCCACAGUCAUUCCCAAACCAAAUUUAUUGAAAUAAGGUCUUUGCGCUAAAAGAAUUUUCUCAAGUUUCUCAGAUCCUAUAGAAAAUCUUUUCGAAAUAUUUGAUAUGUCAUUUUUUUAAAAAUGCAUUUUCUUUCAAAAGGUUGUCUUCACUUUCUUUAAGAGUAGAAACAUUCAUGUCUAAACAUUUAACAUUUUCUUUCAAAACAUUUUCCUAUUGUUUUAGUGCAGAAUUUUCUUUUUUAAGUUCGGAAAUCCCUUUGAGAGAAAUCUUGAGACUAAAACACAACUCAUCAAUGUAUUUAGAAACUUUAAUAGGGAUUUUAAAGUUACUCACCUCAAAUUCACUGUCUGAAUCUGAGUCUGUUUCGGAGUUUGAAUCUAAAUCUGAUUGUGCCAUUAGACAUAUAUUGGCAUAAUCAUCAUCACUUUCUUCACAUUCUGUAUCACUCUAGGUUUCUACUUUGAGAGCCUUUCGAUACUUUUCAGCUUUUCCUUUCUUCUUCCUCAAAAGGGGACAGUUGAGUCUAAUGUGUCCUUUUUUUCUUACAUUCAAAGCAGACUACAUCUCUAUUGGAUUCAUCAUCCUCAACAGACUUAGUCUGUUGUUUUUGAAAACUCUAUUUCUUUGGAUUGAAUCUUCUUCCUUAGGAUCUUCGUCUUCAUUGAUUCACUCCACUUCAUAAGACUGAAGAGUCCCAAACAACUCAUCAAUAGAUAGUGGCAUAAUUCUUUGUGUCUCCCUUAUUGAGGUCUUUAUGUGAUUCCAAUCCUUGGAGAGUCCACACAGUAGCUUGUUUACUUUCAUGGGAUCAGAAAUUGGUUGACCUUGAUUUUCAAGACCAUUCACGAUUUCUGUAAAACGACUAAACAUGUCAGUUAUAGAUUCUCCUGAUUUCAUUUUGAAGGCUUCGUAUUGACCGAGGAGAAUGUUGAUUCUGGUUUCUUUCACUCGAUCAAUUCCUUCAUAUGUGAUAUGUAAUAUAUCCCAAACUUCUUUGGCUGUAACACGAGAAGAUAUUCUGUUAUAUUCAGUAGGUGACAAAGCACAAUAUAAAUAAUAAAUUGCUUUUGCAUCAAGAACUUGUCUCUUGGUUAUCUCUUCAUGAGUCAUUUCACUAGACUCAACAGCUUCUUUUCCUCUCUCUGAGAUAGAUGUAGCUUUAGGAAUGAUUCCUUUGUCUACCACGUCCCAUUCCAGAGGAUCCUUUGAUCUUAGGAACGCCUUCAUCUUGUUUUUCCAUAUGUUGUAUUCCUUUCCAUCAAAGUAAGGCGGUCUGGUAUUGCUUUGCCCUUCUACUAGCCCUGGAGCCAACAUACUAGCCAUGGAUCUUUAACUCUGAAGUAAAACACUUCAAAAAAAGUGAGUACAUAGGCUCUGAUACCAAUUGAGAUAGCUAGUAUAAGCACCUAGAGGGGGGUGAAUAGGUGUAAAAAUAGUUUCUCGUGAUAAGUGAGCAAUACUAAACAGACAAUAGAAAUGAAGUUCUCCUUUUGUUAACAAAACGAAUUAUGAUCAAAGUAAAGCAAAGAGUAGGGAAUAGAAAAUGAACAUAGAAAUUAUAGUAGUUCGGCUCAUUCCAAGCCUACGUCCACUCUUCCGCACUAUGAAUAAAAGAGUUGUUACAACAAAGCUCUCCCUUGAUUCCACAGUGUAGAUACUCUACCACACUUUCUCAAGGUUUCUCAAGAAUAUAGACUCUCUUUUGCAUACAAGAUUUCGCUCAGUAAAUGAAUUGACUAAGAACAAAGAGCUUCAGACUUUGAAAUUCUUCUAUCGCGCACACACUCGAAUAACUGGAACGUUUUCCUUAUAUACUCAUUUAUGCCAUCAUACCCGUUGGCACUUACCAAAGGAAUUCUUCCAAUCUUCCCGUUGGACAGAAUCAAUUAGGAAGAUCAUUCGAGUUAUUUAAGGAACAUGACGAUAGCCCAUCAAUCCUGCUCGCCCAUACAAUCAGGAUCUUGGUUUCCAUAAGUAGAACCUUCCAAGUAUACUUUGCCAAUCAUCGGAUCCUCAAUCUCUAAAUCAAUCUUGAUCCGAAUAAAUGAUUCCAUUAUGUCAUAUCCAGCCAAGAGAUCUUCUUCAGUCGAUAAGGUCAAAUCCUUAACGAAACAUCCAGUCCUGGAUAGGCCUUCUUCGACGGACUAGAAAUUGUCAAUGAGAAUAGACUUUGAGUCUUGAGUCUGGCAGUCUGGAGGUCUUCAGACUUUAAAUAGAAGAGUUUGCAAAUCUUCAAACUAGACUGAUGGAAACGUUUUGUCAGCUUCAAAACACUUCACGAAGAUUUCUCCAACAACCUCAACUUUGUCGUAUCCAUGCAGUCUUUCUUAUUGUGAAACUGUGUCUUGAGCUUGAGCUUGUAUACAAGAAUCUAACCCACGUUCGAAGAAUUUAUUGAUCAAAGUCACACACAAAAUGCAGAGUGUUCUUUUAUUAAUUAAUGUGCAUGCAAGUCUUGGACUUUUCUCUGAGAUCUCUUACUCUGUCCUAUUAUCAUUUUUCUCAUUUUUUUGUUCGAAUCCCCUUUUUGUCGUUGAUGGAGUUGAACAUCCAUUUUUCACCUCCACACUUAACCAAAUCCAUUGGCGUUGGUUUCAGAUUCUCGCUCGAUCAGUGAAAUGGGAAAACUCGGCACCGAAGUUGGCGUCAGGAACAGUGGCAUUCUUGAGGCCUAGCCUCAAGAUUCGAGUGGCAUGGAGAGGGUGCUUCCAUUCCAAGCUCUACUGGAGAACGGUGACGCUCAACGGGGUGAUCAGAGGCACGUGUGCACGGGCUUGGAGCAAGACGGGCAAACGGGGCCGCUUCAGAUUGGAGUGUGAGCUGUUUCUGCCAUUUUCAUGGAACUACGAGGGAUACUAGUGGUGAUCUUGUGACAUCCUGAUUUUCCAAUUCUGUUUUCAAUUGAAUGAGUCGGGCUUUUCAUCGACGCACUUAUAGUUCUUUUCUCUGAGUAAGCCACUCACGAGAUAACUAGCCUAUCAGGUAAAGCCAUUAAGGAAUCUAAACGCAAUAGACUUGAGAAUUCGACCAAGAAUCGACUGCUCAAUCGUGCUAAUCUACAAGGGUCAUUAUGACACAGACCGACUAGAGACUGGAGAUAGGUCGAUUCGAUAGAGCCAUGUGAUUAAGUGUGGGUGAUUCCACCUAAUUGCACAAUUCCUGUCGAUUAGCACUAAACCGAUUUCUCUGUCGUUUUGAUACCCUAUGUGCGUAUUUGAAACUUCGAGAUUUCCACAACAACCGAGAGUUGCCAAUGUGUCGAAGAUGCACUUUGUGACUUGAAAAUAAUCAACCACAGGUCAAUUGCAUGAAAAGUUCCAAAAAGCUACCCAGUAAGUUAGGGCACGCUAAAUCGAGCUAGAUUGAAAUUAACCGCGAAAUUGAACCCGAUUUCGAAAAUUGGAAGUUCUGCCAUGUCACAAAUCAUUUUAGGAAUGUCGACUCAUCCUCUGAAGAUUUUUCUAGAAACUGAGAUUUUCAGCGAAAAAUCCAAAGUUAGGUCGUUUUGGACCAGGAAACUUUGAGGGACUAUUUUUUAUCGCACUUUUGGCAGUCAAGUUGGUUCUAUUGAUGAGGAAGAAGGUUGAUUAGGAUGAUGGCACUUUGGUUAGAUUUAUGGACAACAAAUUGAGCUCAACUGGAUGAGAAUUGAAGAGGAAUUGAAUGAAAUGGAUGAGCAAAGGUACAAAAUUCAUAGCCUUUAAGGGGUGCAACCUUUCAGCCACUUGGGAAGCUUGCUUAGGAAGAUUUGGGAGAGAGAAAGUGGUUGUGGAUGAGGCUGAAGGUGGUGGGGGCAGCUCUCAAGUGUUUGGACAAGUGUUGAAGGCUUUGGAGACCAUUUGGGGUCCCCCCUUCAGCUGAAGCCUUCUUCUUCCUUCAGCAGCUGCUUUCUCCAUUGUUGAAGGGUGGAGAGCUCAAGAAAAACCAAAGAAACUAGCCAAGACCAGUAACAAGCUAGCCGAAACCCUUUGCUGCCCGUUGCACGCCCGAAACCGCGUUGGCCUCCCGCUCAUGUCCGCUCACUCGCGCUUGCCCAUGCUUGUUGUCCCGCGAGCCUAGCUCGUUGUUCGAAGCCCCCAGGCUACCAUCCAAGUCGCCGAAGCAGCCGUCGUCACUCGCCUAGGUUGCUACUGAUUCCGCCAGCCCGUCCUUGUUGUUUCCACCCGAACCAGCCACUGAACAGCCUUCCUUUGGCCUAGAGCAAAAGCCGAAGACCUCAGCCCAACUGAGACUUCAUGAGGCUUUUCCGAGCCCUUCCAGGCCUUGAUUGGUGUCGCUGUGGGCUUGGUUGUCGCCCGUCUCUGCGUUGCUGUCGCCAUGAACUCAUCGGAUCGCAAAAUCGGUGAGUUUACUCACUAAACCUUCCUUAUGAAGUUAAUUAUGCUUAAGGGUUGAUUAGAUUAGCUUAAGAAUGGGUUAGUGAUAAUCUAGAAUGGUUAGAUUAGCCUUAUAAUAGUUUAGUAUUAAUCUAAUUAGUGAGAUUAGCACCAUUGAAGUUGGUUUAGUCGAAUCCAGUGGACUUCCUGCAGUUCUGAUCUCUAUACCCUCGCCGUUUGCCACUUUUUUAGAUCGAAAUGGGUUGUGAAUUUGAGGUUGAUAUCUUCUUGAGAAAUUUUUUAGACAUCUUAAUCUACAACAUAUAUUUUACACAGGAUUUUUAGAGAUUUAUAAAAAUGAGAUAUCAGCUCCAUCAUUUGCAAACAGAAUCUGGAACCGUGCUGGAAUUUAUGAAUUUUUGGGAUUCACUGGAUUUUUAUCAACUCUUAAGGUUCGAAUUUCAAAAUGGUUUCUUCAAAAAAUUUGUUUUUCACAUCUUCCAGUUUAACAUAGUCAAAUUUCAGAUCAAAUGGACAAGUUUUAGAUCACGAACCAAACUGAUUUUAGAAAACAGACUUUCUGGAAACGAGCCCAAUUUUGGUACUGGAUUGAAUGAUUUACUGGGCCGAAUCUAGAAGGAUAUAGGUUAAGGUUUCUUCAUGAAAAAUGUUCUUCUAUGUGUCUUGUUCAACAUAUUUAAAUCUGGGAAUUUUCUGAAUUCUUUUGAUUAGAUUUAUGGAUUUAAAUUCAGAGACAUGCGAGUGGACCGUUCUGCCGGUUAGGACAGAUUAUAGUUUUAUGAUGGUUCUCAAUGCUUUGCUUGUUGGAAAUUGCACUUUUGGUGUUGUGGUUUCUUUGUGAUAUGCUUAGAUGUUAUGCGUGAUGAGGCGCGAAUGGUUGUGCCAUGAUUGUAGUUUAUUGUUAUUACUUUGUGUAGCAACUAUUGAAUGAGGGUGAGAUGUGUUGGGUUGAGAAAAUCGAUCGGUUGCUAGCAGGUAGACGACUAAGUGUGCAUGGUAGCAAAGCAUCGUAUGAGCCACCUCCUACCAUUGCUUAUUGUAAUCAAGAACUAAGUGCUACACGACAGCUUGACUUUGUAGGAGUCACCUCUAGUAACUUGAGUUAUUGUUUAUUGUAAUCAAGAACUAAGUGCUACACGACAGCUUGACUUCAUGGGAGCCACCUCUAAUAACUUGAGCUAUUGUCUAUUGUAACCAAGAAUUAAGUGCUACAUGACAGCUUGACUUUGUGGGAGUCACCUCUACCUCUAGUAACUUGAGAUAUUGCUUAUUGUGGGCACGGACUAAGUGCCGCACGAUAUUGGAACUUCAUGACUGGGGACUGGGGACUGGGGGCACCUCUAGAACCUUGAGUAUUGAAAUUGAGUAUUGAAAAGUGAUUGAUUGAGAUGUGAAUGAGAUGUUCCAAAUUGAUGUGUGCAUAGAUUAUAUGCAUUUGUGAUAUGAACUGUGCUAACGUGCAAGAAUGAGCUAAGGCGAGGUAAGUCUUCUCUGUUGUGUGGCUAGGCCACCCUUGGGUGUAUUUCCCUCCUAAUAUAGGUUUAGGGGUGAACUUGCUGAGACAAUGUCUCACCCCAUCGUGGGCUUAACUUUUCAUGUCCUUAGGUGGUGGUUGUGGAGGACCCGAAGCCUAGAGUCUGUGGAGGUGGAGUCCGAAGGAUCGGUGUCUGUGUCCGACUAGUAUGUCGUAGGACAGCUUCUUUUUUAGGGCCGACCUUUUGUAGAAUUUUGACCAGACUCGUUUUGUACCUAAACACCAUUGUUUAUAAAAGUUGGCUUUUGUGAAAUGUUACCCUGCUUUUCUAUCCCAUGCUAUUUGUUAUCAAGGGUAUUGUUUCGCUUACGCAUGUGCAUUAAAAUGAAUGGGUAGGCGACGCGUCUUGGGAAUGUCGCAUUUAUAUCGACCACCGAGAGAUGUGCGCGCGCUCGAGGUUUGGGACGUGACAGAUCUGGUCGGGGAAAGGAUGGAGCUUGAGGAGGAUGGUCAGCAACGGGUUUGCAAAUUGGAUUCGGGUCGCGAAAUGGAUCUAUAUCUAUCUAGUAUGAAGAAGCUUUUUCUAGAAAUUGUGAAACGAUUUCGGGAAUUUGAAAGAAACAGAAGGGGCGAGAGCACGGGGCAAUUUUAAUUUAUAUUGGCCAAACGUUCAAGCAAAUAGUUUUUUCCCCCAAAGACUUCCCUUUUUUCUUUGUAGAUUUUAGCAAAGGAAGUACAUCUACUCCUCGGAUUCUCAGCCAGUGAUCGCAAUUUGGGCUUCAGAUUGUAAGAAAAGAAAGAAUUUUGGGCAGCACUACCUUUAAUCUGUUUGUGUUUAGAAAGGAUUUCAAAUAUGAUAUUGCUCUACCUUGUUGAUUGAAAAUGUUGUGCUGCACAUGUCGCUUCCCUCUUCUGGAUCAAAGCAACAUGAUGCAGAUUAAACUAUUUCGACAUUCGACUAUGGGGUACAGAAUACUUGAUCUCCUUAGUAUUUGUAUCAUAUCUGGAAACAUAGGCUAGGAAGUUUUCUUUUCGUCCUUUGUUGUGAAAAUUCACUUCAACCCCACUUUGAUUUAAGAUGUAAACAGACGAAGAAGUAAGAAUUGCUCGUUAAUCCACCUUGUCUUGACGCCUCAAGGUUGUGGAUAGAUGGAGAACCCUGUAGCAUCAGCUCAAGUUGCUAAAAGAACAGAGCAGUUACUACUGGCGAGUCAAUGGCAUAAAGGCCACAGCUUAUUGGACGUGGCACUUUCGGAAGUGUUUAUAUUGUAAGUCAACCGGUAAGUUAGCUCCGAGAAGCUUCUACGUGUUGCAUUUUUCUUUUUAUUUAGGCAUCCAGUUAGCCAAACUAUGACGUGUUACGUGACAGAGAAACCAGAGCUCUGUGUGCAUUGAAGGAGUUUAGGUUAUUACUUAUUAAUCCAAAUUCGGUAGAGUGCCUGAGGCUGUUAAAGCAGGUAAUGCCUAGGAUCCAAUCUAUCCUCUCAUUUGAUCUAAAUAUGCUACGGAAAGUAUCUUUAAUCAUUGACAGGUAAUUGAUUGCUUCGCUACCUCAGAUUUUUUUCAACCUGUUGCACAAGAAAUCGAAGUACUUAGCUAGCUGAGACGUCCAAACAUUAUGUGGUAUUGUGAUAGUGAAAUUGUGAGAAACCUUUCCAUGGCAUAUGAACAUCCUAACUCAAUGGGCAUUUAUAAUUUGACUAACCAAAAUUUCAACAUAUUCAUACAUACUCUGGCUGAGGAUCGGCUUAACAUAUAUCUAUAAUAUGCACAUCAUGGUUCGAUAGACAAGUAUAUCCCAAAGCAUCUUAGGGCCCUAAGAAAAUUGGUUGUCCACAAUUUUAUCCACCAUAUUGUGACUGGAUUGGCUUACCUGCGUGUUAACAACUCCAUACAUGGGUAAUUCUAAACCGUCAUUAGAUGACUUGCAUAUUGCGUACAGAUGAUAAGACCAUCUUCUUUGUGCCUAUAGACCUAUGUAAACUCUUUUGCCUUCAGGGAUUUAAAGGGAGCUAAUUUAUUUGGGGAUACAUCUAGGAUAGUCAGACUUAUUAACUUUUGUGACAUCCUGAAUUUCAGGUUCUGAUUUCGAUUGAAUAAGUUGGGCUUUUCAUCAACGCGCCAAUAGUGUUUUUCUAUGCGAUGGCCACUCACGAGAUAACUAGCUUAUCAAAUGAAGCCGUUAAGGAAGAUAAACGCAAUAGACUUGAGAAUUCGACCAGGAAUCGAUUGUUUGACAAUGCUAGUCUGCAAAGGUUAUUACGGCACACUUAAAAAUCGAUCAAAGAUCCAAGAUAGGUCGGUUCGAUUGAGAUGUGUGGCUAAAUGUGAGUGAUUCCACUAAUUUGCAAAAUUCUUGUCGAUCAGCACUAGACUGAUUUUUCUGUCGUUUUGGUGUCCUGUGACCAUAUUUGAAACCUUGAGAUUUUUACGACAACCGAGAGCCACCAAUGUGUCGAAGAGGUACGUGUGGCUUGAAGAAAAUCGACCACGGGUCAAUUGCACUAAAAAUUCAUAAAAGCUACUCGGUAGGUUAAGUCGCGCUAAAAUCGCAUCCGAUUGAAAUUAACUGCGAAUUUGAACCCGAUUUCAGAAAUUGAAAGUUCUGUUAUAUCACGAGUCAUGUUAGGAACGUCGACUCAUCUUUCGAGGAAUUUUUGGCGAAUUCAGGAUUUUUACGGAAAACCGAUUCGGAUGAUUCGGAAAAGAAUGGAAAUUCGAACGGGCCAAAUCGAAGGGAUUUUUGGCCUCCUGUGUGAGCUACUUGGUGAAAGGAAAUUGUGUGGGCUUUUUCUUCAACAAAAUUGGACAUCAAUCGGAGAGAUUUGUUAAGAAAUCGAACUCUGGGAAAAAGGAAAUAGAAUUCAGAAUUGAGGGAAAUUCGUAGGUUUGAGGGACUAUCUUAUUUUGGUCUUCAAUUGGACUUCAAAUUAUGCAAGUUAGUGUUGAAAUUGGCCUUGGAUGACCAAUUGAUAUUGUUGUAUGAAGUUGAGCUAAAAGUAUUUUGGUUUUAAUUAUCUUUUUCCUCCCAUCAUCGGACCCCUCACGCCCACGCCAUUCCCCUCUCCUCCUCGCGCACGACUCUCUCUCUCUCUUAUUCUCGCGUGUCUUCCCCUCAACCGACCAAGCCCUUCCAUGGUCUUCUUCUGCUUUAUUUCUUUGACUUUCAUCCUUAUCUCUCUCUCUCUCUCUCUCUCUCUCUCUCUCUCUCUCUCUCUCUCUCUUUCCCCUCCCUUUUUGUAAGGACCCUGGCCCCACUGUGUGAUAUUGUCCGCUUUGGGUCACCCGCCCUGACGCGGACAAACCACCAUCCUAGCUAUGAUCUUUUCCCUCACUAUUUUAAAAUGCAUCACAUAUUAAGGGACCAAAGCCUUAUAAAGGCUCCUAGAACUCCCCCUUAAGCGAUGUGGGACAAGAGAAAAUGCCCUUAGCCUCGCCCGCGUACUGCCAAGGCGAUCUUAGUCCGUCCCUCCGUACUGUCCCGGGUCUGGGUCGUCACAUUCUCCCCCCUUAAGGCACAGUGCCCUCGUUGUGGCCCCACACGCAGUCGGGAGUCGGCUCUGAUACCAUUUCUAAGGAUUCGGGCCCACUGUGUGAUAUUGUCUGCUUUGGGUCACCCACCCUGGCGCGAACGAACCGCCAUCCCAGCCACGAUCUUUUCCCUCACGGUUUUAAAACACGUCACACAUAUUAAACCCAUAUCGCUUAAAGGGGGAGUCUUGGGCUAGUUUAUAAAGUCUUGGGUCCCUUUAAUCUGUAUAACGCGUUUUAAAACCGUGAGGACUCAGUGUCCAAAGCGAACAAUAUUACACAGUGGGGCCCAGGUCCUUACAAAUGGUAUCAGAGCCGACUCCCGAACACGUGUGGGGGCCAUAGCGAGGACGAUGUGCCUUAAGUGGGGGAGAAUGUAACGACCCAGACCCGGGACAGUACGGAGGUGUCGUGACCUAAAUUUCGGGUGCACCACCUAAGUUUAGGCUAAUGGACUAUUAAGUUUUUAAACUUAGUUUGGGCUCUCCCAAGCACAUACCAAUUCACGACUUAAGGUUCAAAACUUAGCAUGCAAAUGAAUUUUAAUUAAGAGUCACCACUAAUCGGUUUAUGGUAAGUCGAUUAGACACCUAAGUAAAAUAAUGAGAUAAUUAUUUUACUCCUACGAAUCAGAAACUAAGGGUACGGGGACUUGGUUACACUAGAUUUCUCUAAUGCCCUUUCGGUGCCAUUUCUUUUUAAUUUCAAAAAUACUUUUGCAGGCAGCUUGGAUUUUUUUAACCUAAAUUCCUAUCAUGCAAUAUAGUGAUCAUACGAGUAUUCAACCAUUAUUAAAACACUUAAUGAAUAAAUUGCAUUAAAAAAAAUUAAACACAAAGCAAACAAAUUUUUUUGGUUUUUUUUAUCUCGAAAUUAAAAUAUGCACUCUAACUAAAUGACCUAAUUUAAUGGCAAGCAAUUUUCUAAUUAAAUGGACUUAACAACAAUCACUAAGUGACAUGCAAUUCAUGAAUCUUAUUUUACUAACAUACUCUAAUUAAAUGAUCCUAUUAUGAAAACUAGUUAACAUGCUCCUAGUGGUUUUGCAUUUUUUAUUGAAAUUUGGAAUUAAUAAAUACCCUAAUUAAACUAUCUAAAAAAUGAAUAAUUUUCUAAUUUAUUUGAGGGAUUAAUUUGACUUAAACCCUAUCCUACCGUAGAAAACUAUUUUUUAAAGAAAAAUGGGAUAAUUAAGAUGUGCCAACAUUAUCUAAAACCCUAUUUAAAAAUAAUUAUUUAGGUCUAAUCCUAACCUAUUUCCAAAACUGCAAUCCUAAAAAUGUAAUCCUAAAAAAAUCUAAUUUACUAAGCCUACAUGUCUAACUUACUAAACCUACAUGCUGAUGCAAGAUUUUGAUUUUUUGAUUUUUUUUAGUGUUUUUCCAAGACAAGUAAUUAGCAAAUAAACAUUAAAUCUAGACAAUCAAGAUAUUCAACAAAUAAGGAAUUAAAAUAAUCGAAAAAAUAACCCGUUGUCUCACAGGUUAAAUUAACGAUUACCUUAUCCCUAAACAUCACGACAAAGAGUUCAAAAUAAUUAAAAACUCGAUCCGAAGUCUUACGGAUCAAAUCAAUAAUUAUAAUGAUUAAAAAAUUAAAAUACUACCAAAAUAUCCAAAAAUUAAUAUAAUUAAAAAAAAUGAUCCAAUAUAUUACGGAUCAAACUAAUAAUUAUAACAAUUUUGGAUAAAAUUAUAUGGAUAAUGUCUAAGAUAUUCGUAAAAUGAGCAUGAUCAAUAAUAACAAAAUAAAUAAAAUAAGAUAACAUAAAAUAAGUGAAAAAUAAGAAAUAAGAAAUAAAUAAAUAAACUACCUAAUCUUUCCUCUUUUUUUCUUUUUUUUCUUGCCUUUUUUUUUCACCCACGAUUCGGCAACUUCGUGGUGGGUCACCGGAGGUGAUGGGUCGCCAAGGAGUUGGUCACCGGCGUUCCGGCUAGGGGGGCGGCGGGCGUCUGAAAUCCGGCGAGGACUAACUGGCACGCAACGAGGAAAGAAAAAACAGCGAACAAGGGCUAUUGCCUGGGUCAAAGGAUCGCUGCAAAAAAAAAAAACAGAGAGAUGCUGUAGGAGCAUCGCUCAAAGGAAGGGCGUCAGACGCCGGGCGGGGGAGCAACUCGGCAGCAGCGUCGGGUCACUGGACAGUGGUCAUGGAUGUCGAAUCUGACUGCAAGAGCGGCAGAGAUCGGCACAAGGGUGCGAUGGCUCGGCUGUGUCGCGGGCAGAGUGCAACGAAAACAAGGGAUGCGAACGGACAGGCCGACGGCACAGCGGGCUACAACAGAGGGCAAACCAGUUCGGUGGAGAGCUGGCGUGGGCUGCCAGUUCGGCAAAGGGGAACUCAGGACUCCGGCGCGGUGGCGCGCAGCGCCAGAUAGUGGCAGACGAGUGGUAGAACAGGGUAGGAGCGGCUCCGGCGUCGAGCUUCACAGAUGCUGCAAAUUGGCGACAACAGAGGCGGUGGACGAUGAGCAAACCAGAAACAGUGUAGGCCUGGCUACCGGUGAACCGGCGAGNNNNNNNNNNNNNNNNNNNNNNNNNNNNNNNNNNNNNNNNNNNNNNNNNNNNNNNNNNNNNNNNNNNNNNNNNNNNNNNNNNNNNNNNNNNNNNNNNNNNAUGGGGUAGUCGGAAAAUUCGGACAAUAGAGGUGUACUUUUCAGAGCGAGCUGAGAGAAUUCUCUCUUUUGUCCCCCCUCCCCUCCUAUGUGGCGCCAUAUGAGUGGUCCGGGACCACGCUGACGUGGCGGUCCCGGACCACCCAAUAUUUUCUCCUCUCUCACAUGUCACUCUCACGUCUCUUUUCCCUCUGCUCCUUUUCUAACUUUCUUUUCCCAAAGAACCGAAACCCCUCUUCCUUCUCCUCUCUUUUCACUUUUUGACUUUUUUUCUUUCUGUUCCGUCCAACCCCUGAAACCCAAGAAAAAGCCCCCCCUUUUAUAGGCAAAACAAAAUGUGAUCUUUUCGUGAAUAUUUCAUCUCACGAAGAUUGCCUAUAACCUCCUCCUGAUCACAAAAAUCCUUAUCUUAUGAAUAUUUUCCCAUGAUUUCAUCAUCUAUUGCUAAAGAUAAGAUUGCGGUGCGAUUUUCUUAAAUUCCAAAAACCACCAUAAUAUCACAUCAAAUCUCAAUUUCUCACAAGAUAAUUAAUAAAAAAAUAACGGGCUUGGGUUAAUUUGCUCCAUUCGUGGGCCUAGCUCGACCUGUCGAACUAGAGCUUAGAAACAUUAAUUCAAACCCAUCCACCACCGGUCCAAUAAAUAAAAUGCAAACAUGCAGACUAAAAAUAAAUGCAUCUAAAUUUAUAUGAUAUGCAAUUAAUUUCUAUGCAAUAAAUAAAUGACUAGAUCGCCAAAAUUUAGGUGUCAACGGGAGGGAUGGACUGAAAUCGCCUUGGCAAUACGCGGGUGAGGCUAAGGGCAUGUCUCCCGUCCCACAUCGCUUAGGGGGGAGUCUUGAGCUAGUUUAUAAAGGCUUGGGUCCCUUUAAUCUGUAUAACGCGUUUUAAAGCCGUGAGGACUCAGUAUCCAAAGCGGACAAUAUUAUACAGUGAGGCCUAGGUCGUUACACUUUUUCCUUCGAGCGACCAUCCCUUCUGCCCAUUCAUCCGCUGCUUCUUUUUCUUUUAUCUUUGGGUUCUGUUGAAGAUUUCAGCAACCCACCGAUGCCCCCAUCUCCACCGAGGCAGCUGAUUUCAUUUUGCCUGCAACUCACGGCCAUUUGUCCACAGCUCGGCCUCCUACGGUCAACUCCAGCAUUUCUUCAACGCAGCAGCUCCCACUGAAGCCACCACAUGCCCUCUCCAUGUCCAUGAAACCAUGAACAGCCCGUGUCCUCCAUUCUUGAAGCCAAACCCUACCGAGGUCAGCCGCAAGCAGCCCGCUCGUCAGCCCGCGUCUUCACUGAGCUCUCUCCACAGCCACCACCCCACCGCGGAACGGCCCCACCGUUCAGCCGCGUGUUCGGCCACGUUCAAAACCAGAACGGGCAGCCCAACUGUGGGCUUGUGUGGCCGAUUUUGGCCCCGGUUCGGUCUCCGUUGGCAUCGCCGCUUUGGAGUUUAUCAGCCGCUGUCACGUUGCCAUCGCCGUGAACUGGUUUUCGUGUUAAUCCAAUGAGUUUACUCACUAAUAUUUGCUUAUGAAACUAAUUACGUUUAAGGGUUGAUUAGUUUAAUUUAAGUCUGGAUUAGGUGGAUAAUUAGAAUAGAUUAGUGAAUUGGUUAAUCGAUAUUGCAUGUUAGGUGGUUAGAAUAGUGCAAUUAGCGAGUAGACAGAUAGUAGUAUUUAUUUAACGAGCCUCGGAAUUUUUCCGAGCCUGUUUCAGUAUUUAAUUAGGCUUUUCCAGCCUAAGUUGCAUUUUUGGGUAUUUAAUAAUUAAUUUUCGUAAUUAUUUAUUUAUUUAUUUAUUUUCCGGAAAUUAGAUCGGGAUAGUCAGUGACCGGAAUUUUAUGUUGAUUGGAGUGAUAUGAUCUGUUUAUUUAAUUGACUAUUAUUUUGUGCAAAUUAAGUGUGAUUUGCAAUUUUGGGUAUUUAUCCCAAAAUUUAUAAUUUCAGUAAUUAAUUAGAAAAUUACCGGGCAUGUCGGUUUACAUCGCAAAAAAUGUGUUCUCAAACUAUUGGAAUUAGUGGGAUUUUAAAAAGAGAAAAUAUUGUAUUAUGGCUAAGGCCGACCGUGUACCCACAUACGAGUAUUUUUUUUAUCGGGUACAUUUUAACAUGAUGAAAUUAGGCCAAGUUGGGUUUUUAAUUGAGAAAUUGAUGUGCAAAGCACAAGACCCUUAGCCAGGAGUAAUUUAUCAUAAAUCAGCUUAGGUGAGCAUUGAUCAGCUUAGGUGAGCAAUAUAGAUCUAUAACAGCUUCGGGGAGCACUAACACCAAUAUAAAUCUAUAGCAGUUUCGGUGAGCACUAUAGAUAUCAGCUUCGACGAGUAGUAUAGUUAUUUAGCAGUUUCGGCGAGCAAAUGUUAUCUAGCAGCUUCGGCGAGCAAUAAUUAAUAUAGCAGCUUCGGUGAGCAAUAUAGACAUCAGCUUUGGUGAGCAAUGAUAUAUGAAUACAUCUAUCAGUUUCGGUGAGCUAGACCAUCUAAUUCAGCUUAGGUGAGCAGUGUUCGAAUCAAUAGAGUUUAUAGAUGGCAUUGACGGUAUGGAAUCGAAUGAGCCGACUGAUUGAUGGUUGAAUGGAUUGACUGAUAGAUGGUCUUGAUAGUAUGGAGUCGAUUAAAUAGAUUGAUCGAUGAUUCGAUCUAAUUGGUUGAAAUGAUUGAAUGGUUAUUUGAAUUAUAUUGACUUGCAGGAAAGAACUGAGACCAAGGUAAGUUCUCUGACUCAUGUUUGUGCUUAGGCAGCCCUUGGGGUGUAUUUUCUUCCUAGUCAGAGUUUAGGGAGUCAACUUGCUAAGACAUUGUCUCACCCCGUUGUGAGAUAACAUUUUCAGGUCCCUAGGGUGAAGAACCCAGAGCUUGAGGCAGAAAGGUCAAGAGCAUGGGUAGCUCAAAAGCUCUUUUUGAAGAUAGACUUCCUGUUCUUAGACCCUAGAGUUAGCCUAUGUUUGUAAACUGGAAUGUGGUUUUUAAUAAUGUGUUGAUUUGAAAUUUGUUGUCUUGCUAUUCUAUCCCACGUUUUAUUAUUGUCAAGGGAUUAGUAAUUCGCUUCCACAUGCGCAUUAAAAUGAAUGGGUCAGCGACGCGUCUUGGGACGUCACUAUUUAAUCGACCACCGAGGAAUAGGCACGCGCUUGGAGGAUCGGGGCGUGACAACUUUGGGAUUGCUAAACAUGUGAGUUUCCACCUAGUCACUGCCAGAGUACCAAGUGCAUGUGGAAAUUCCUUGUUGAUAUGUGGUGCAUUUACUGGCGAAUGUGAAGUCAGGAGGACCGAUUGAUUAGGUUAGCACAAAAAGAAAAAAAGGAAAAGAAAUGCAAGCUUGUUAUUCUUCAUCUAUGCUCUCUUGAUGCAUACUUCUCAUUAUUGAAUUGUGGCAUUUCAUCUGUGCAAAAGUCUAUUAUAGAUGGAUGAAAUGUUAUUGAAUAAUUUUCUUCACUUUUUUCCCCAUCGUUUUGGGUAAUGUUACUAUUUUGCAUAAAUAGGAAAAGAUUUCUAGGUGUAAAUAUAUGCCGAAACCAAAUGAGAGUUCUUUCCUUUUCUACUGGUUUCUAAAAAGUUCCUAAGAGGUGUAGCAGAUGGAGUGCAAUACCUUUGGUGAAAGGUUCUUCUCAUGUUGUUUUUGCUGCUCCUCUGCCUUCCAAGAGGAUGAUUGAAUUUAGUCAGAGUAAGAAGCGCCUCCUUCCUAACAUGGGGUAAAUAAAAGUGUACUAGUCCAUAGAAUAAAAAUCUGGACAGCAACUAAGGUAUUGUUGCCUCCUUUCAAGUUCUGAAGCAUUUGAUCAUUUUGUAGAUUACGUCAUGGUCCUUUUCUCAGUGAUCAGCUAAUAUAAGUCGAAAGUGGUUGAUUUAGUUCUUUUUUGUUGAUCUGAUGUAUGUCUAUGUCUAUGAAGAUGUUGCAAUUUAUGUCCCGUGUUCCAUGAACUCACCAAAUAGUCUUUGGCUAUACUAAUGCCGUACCAUUUCUUAGCCAACUGGACAAGCAACUUACUGCUCUUUGAAGGAAAGUCUAAAUUGGAUGGCUCCAGAUGUACUUUGCUUUUGUGAACGUUUAAUGUUACAUUCUUUUUUUGUCGUGGCAGAAUGAUGGAAUGGAAUAUCCUGUAGUUCAUACAAUCCUUGACGGUGAAUGAUAAGAGCACAAUCUUGAUCAAACUGCUGAUAUCUAUAGUUUGGGAUGUACUAUUAUUGUAAUGAUAACUGUGAAACCUCCUUGGAGUGAGUAUGAGCAGGUAAGAACGCUCCAUUGCUUUUCAUUCUCUCUGUUAGUCCUCCAAGGAUACGCUUCCAAUCAAAUCUGUGUCCCUGUUUUCUGUUGGAAGUCUGGGACUGUGUAUUACCAUUUGGUAUAUGACCUGUGUCUUUAGUUUCUGUUUAAGGUUUAACUAUUGAAGUAGGAUCAAGGUAUAUUUAUGGUGAUGCGAAGUUCUUUACCACUAACCUAGACGUUAUCUGCCAAGGGAAGGGAUUUCCUGCCCUGCUGCUUUCGAAGACAGCCUGCUGGAGGCCUUCAGCUGCUAUGCUACUUUAGUGUGAUUUCCUGUAAAUUUAAAUUUGCAGAUGACUGACUUUUUUUAUUUGCCAUACGUUGUUGCAGAAGGGAGGUCGCACUGUAAAGUUUCAUAUUUACUAAACCAAAAGGAUCACAAGGUAUGUGAUGAGAAAAAGAAGAUUCUUAACGGUCUAAUAGGAUACUUUUACUUCAAAGGAAGGGCAUCAGGUGCGGCGGAGGGUCCGCAAUAGGUUUCUUUUUUUUGAAAAAGGUACAUUUAAGAAAUUUUUUACAGUAUCGAGAACUUUACUAAUACAGUGAAAAGAAUGAUUUAUCUCAUGGAGAAUUACUUGACAUUUUAAGGAGCUCCUACUUCUGGAUAUUAUUUAAGUUUACCUUAAAAAACUUAUUAAUAAAUUGGGGGAAAAACUAAAUAAUUCAGUAUAAGUGAUCACAUUGAAAAGAGUUACUUUUGCUUAUAGAAAAAUAAGUUUAAGUAUAUAUACAACUAUAUUAGCUAAAUGUUUCAGGGUGGUUUGCAACUUUCUCGAUCACAAAAAGUAACGUCAAAUCUAUCGAGUUAAUGACAAGGUAUGGUUAUAACUUAUGAGAGUAAUUGUAUAUCGACAAUAUAAGAUGUUUGUUCCUCUUGCAUGGUUUGAGCUACGGCGGAUGUCGACCUAAGCAAUUGGACAAUGUUGCUUAAUCUAAAUGUUUUGUAUGGAGUGCAUUCGAAUCAUAGAUAUUUUGUACGAAGCACAUCUAUUCAUCGAAAUGAAUGGUAUUUAGUAUGGCUCCAAAAAAGCACCACAAUAGCAAAACACAUGUAAGAAAAGGAAGGAAAAAAAAUGAAAUGAUAAUGCAUCAGAAUUCCUAAAAAAAUUUGUUAAAAUUCAAUCAAAUCCUAAAACAUAUCCAAUUAAUACAACCAAAAUAUUCCGUCCCUUAGGUGGAUGGAACAUGGGCCAGCAAGUUUGGCGAACUUGCAAUAUCUUAAGGUUAGGGAAGUGAAGAGAGAAGAUGGGACGAAGUUAUGAGCAUUGGAGGCUCUUGAUUCUUCUUCCUUCAAGAAUGUCGUUGAUCUCAAUAAAUACAUCAGAUUUUUCCAACCAGAGUGGCCCCUCAUCACUAUCAUCAACUUGCCGUGAAUCCAGAAAAUUCAUUGAAACUUCCGAGAGGAGAAUUGCGAUUAUGCCCUUGUCAGGGCAGGAGCGGGAAAGUCUUGCCCCUCCGAUGGUUUUGCUUUAAAGUGAUGAUGUAAUUUUGCUGGAUUUAUCCCUGAUGUGUUUCUUCGUCUCUUCCUGGAAUUUUCUAAGAAUACCAAUACAUUUUAAAGCCCAGAUAUUAUUUCCCUUCGGUCCAACUAAUGGUGACGACCGAAACAAAUCCAAAGCAAUAUGCAUCCGGGAUCAACUCCGCUGUUAAAACCAAACAAGUAAUCACAUCACAUCCAUUUCUUAUUCGGGCAGGUCAGCCUUAUGCUACUUGUUCUAUCCCAACCCCAACUUUCAAUAAAGCAGCCGGUACACGAAACAAAGCGCGUCGAAGUUGUAACACCUUCUUCCCACAUUCCAGAGGGAAUAUACCCGCCUAAGAUGCUAAGUUCAGAAACUGACAAAAAUAGAGCUAUAUACUUCUCUUGCCGAAGCCAAAUUCGCUCCUAUGUUUCACACACCUACCGAGGAAAUCGGUUGCGCAAUUUCUAGAUUCCACAGAAUUUUGUAUCUUGGGUGUAUGAAAUGCAAAUAGUCUAUGAAUUCAGUUAAAAUAUCUUUGCAUCUUUUUUUAGUUGGACUCUCUCUCUCUCUCUCUCUCUCUCUCUCUCUCUCUCUCUCUCUCUCUUGUGUCUGUUCACGCCUGCGAGGUUUAGUGUCUCAAGUGAACAUUAUAUUAGCAAUUGUUAUACUAAAUAAUAUGACAAACUUCGGUUGAUCUUAAUAAGUGAAUCAUAUUCAAUAUUUUACACAUUAUUUUGUAUAUAAAUUUCAUGAUAUACUUUUAUGGGGUAAAAGAAAAGAUAACAGCGCACAAAAGUUUUAUGGGUGCAAAUUUGCAUCAAUUUCUCAAUUCGUAAUUGACUCGAAGGUGAACAUAUUUGUGUGAGUAAUACCGUCGACUUCUUUUGAUUACAAUGAUAUAGGAAAAAAAUUUCCCCAUACUCUUUGAUGCCCCUAUGGAUCCGUGCUCAAACGAGAAAGGGCAGCUCGAGAUUCUUCAUCCAAUGAAUGUUCUCCUUACUUGGAUAUCCCAAUAAUUUUCCUUUUUUUUUCCGAAAAUUUUUGUUUAAGUCUCCUCUUUGUAGAUGUAGUGUAUCUCUCUAAUUGUGCGUUUUUUCCUUGGUUGAAUAAGAGGAUUAAAUAUAUCUGGCCAGCUAACAUAAGUUGAAGCUCUUCUUUUUCCUCUUCCAUGAAUAUUCAUACGCAUCGUUCUUUUUGUGUAUUUUAAUCAAUAAUAUCUUUUUAUUAUUUAAUGAUUCAAUAUUUUGUAACAAAUGAUUUAAAUAAUUUUUUAAAAAUUUCAAUUGUUUUAUGAAUAAAAAGUCAUAGAUCUUCUUUGAAGAAAGGAGGCCCACUAACGCGGCUUCAUCAUUUAGAAUUAAUUAUUUUCUCGAGUAGGUACUUCGCAAUUUCCGAGAUGUUUUUGAGUUAACUGGGUCAUCAUUUUCUUUUUCACCACUACUCUUUUGCAAUUUUAAUAUAUUAUAUAGAUAAUUGACAUCUUAAUAAUAAAUAGAUAAUAAAAAAUUAAGAAUUUCUCUUUUUCAUUAUGACUAUGAAUUAUAUAUUUUCUUUACUAAUCCAAGUCCAUUCCUUUUUAUAUCCUCACUAAAAUUUUAUUACAUAAAUUAAGUUACCGUUAUAUCAUUUGCAUGAUUUGACUAAAUAGAAUCGAAUUAAAUCGAAAUGCUAAAUGGAAUAUAAGAUAACCAGAUUAGGAUCUUACUCUACAUUCUAGAAAACAGAAAUUAUAUUUGUUACAAAAGUAAAUUUCAACUACUAACUUAAAAUAUGUGAUGUGUUUCCAACUGAUACCACGUCCUUUUCUCGCACGCUAGCUCUGUACGUGAUGCCCGCGUCGCGACCGUGGGAAUGCUUCGCCGAGAGUCUUGACUAAAGCCUCCCUUCGGCCAGUGCUGAAGCAACCUGGAUGAUAUCUGCGAAGCCUGCUAUGAGAGUUCCCGUUGAGUUUUGACACGCUCCGGCCACUGAACCGGUCGACUCUCCAUCCACCCACGAGCCAUCAAUGUUGGUUUUGAGGGAUCCACUCACCGGCGGCUUCCAACGCUCGGGUAAGUUAAAUCUGGACUUGCUCUGUUUUACCUAAGCGCGGAUUCCAUAUAACGUAGUACUUGUGCUGGGCAGGGGCUUGUCUCUACAGUUGCCGUGGGGUCAAGUUUCCGGCCUUGGAAGAUUCGAGCGUUCCUAGCUUUCCGUAUCAUCCAGAUCACUUCGGCAACUAAGUUCUCCCGAUGGUGAGUUUUGAUUUGAGCUCAAUACUUCCAUUAGCCAUUUGUCCAUCCUGCUGAUUCCCAAAGGGCUACUUUGUAGGUUUAAGCUUUGGGUUGGACCAAACUGGUUUUGUCCAUCCAUGGAGAAGAAAUAUAUGCUCGACUGAUUCAGGGGCCUGUGAGCACAGGUUACACGUUAAAUCAGGUACGAACUUCCUCUUGAAUAGAUUUUCGCUGGUGGGAACCACCUUUGGCAGGCACUCCAAAGGAAAAUGCGGGCUUCGGGUGGGGAGCAUAGAUUCCAUAGGUUGGUCCAAAAGGAUCUGGGUCGCUGGAAUGAUGUUGAUUGUUGAGGGUUGGUUUGUGUUGGGAUGCUGGAUUGUAUUCCUCAAGCUGUUAUGCCCACUUUUUAACGGUAUAGGACCCCGAUUUAUUUCCGUCCCAGAUCAGUUUAUCGGCUUUCAGAGUCAAACUGAGGGGUUGAGAGGAUCUCUUGCACAAAGUGCACUUCAAACAGGUUUUCCAGCUGUUGUUCUUUCCACCUUCCUGAUUCUCUGUCAGUAAGUUCUGCCACCGACUGAGGAUCGUUUCUAUUAGCCGGUCCUCCAAUCACACCCCUGGAUAACCAGUAGUCUUCGUGAAUUCAGAUUGUUGCCCCAUCAUCCGCCGCCCAUUUCACUUUUGGUUUAAUCGCAUCUCUUCUCAUGAUAGGGCUUUGCCAGCCCCAUAAGGGUCGAGAUCCUUUUCUUGCACUCCAAAUAUAUACCCCUAGGGAAAUAGAUGCUCUUCAGGACUCUACUCCAUAAGGCUGAGUGUGACUGUGCUAGCCUCCAGGCCUGUUUCCCAGCAUAGCUAUAGCUUUAUUGAAGAUAACAAGGCCUUUAAAGCCCAGCCCUCCCCAAUCUUUCCUAUAUUUAAGCGCUUCCCAUCUCUUCCGGUGCAUACCUGUUCGAGCCUCAUUGUGCUUCCACAAAAACGAGGCUAUUCUAUGCUCUUAUGUCUUACCAACCAAAAUGGGAAUCUUGAAAAUCAACAUCGCAUAUGUAGGGAGAGCCUGCACCCCCGUGUUAAUGAGAGUUAGGGUGCGCAUGGAUUUGUUUCUGUUCUUUUUUUGUUCCUGGGAACAGAAACAAAAAAGUGUUUCUGUUCCGGGGAACAGUUUUUGAACAAAAGAACACGUUUGGUAACGUUUGGUCCGGGAAUAAAAAAUGAACAGAAACACGUUUGGUAAAUUUUAUUAUUUUUUUGUUUCUUUUAAUUUUUUAAACAUUUUUUUUUUAUUUUUUAUUUUUCCUUUCUUUUUAUUUUUUUCUUUUCUUCGGGCCGGUCACCGGCCUCCGGGCGACCGGCCGACGGGGCCGGUAACCUCGCCCAGCCACGGCGAGGUCGAGCCUGCCCGUGCAUGGGGGCCGCUCCCCUUCCUCUUCCAUGGCCGACAUCCAGCCGGCGACCGGCCGCCGAGGCUCGGCCUCGCCCGCGCCGGCGACGCCGAGCCUCGACGGCCGGUCGCCGGCCGGUCGCCGGCCAUGGCCGAGGCCGGCGACCGGCCAAAAUGAAAAAGAAGAAAAAAAAAGAAGAAAAGAAGAAGAGAAGAAGAAGAGAGAGAAGAGUGAUUUUUGUUCUUUUGUUCCUUCCGAGAAGUGUUUCUUUCAGGAGAAACAACUUUUUUUUGUUUCUUUUUUCUGUUUCUAUUUUGUUCCAGAAACAAAAAAACAAAAAAAGAACAGAAACGCAACCAAACGCGUUUCUGUUCCUUUUUUGUUCCCGGGAACACUUUCCGUACAGAAGUGUGCCGGAAACACUUUUUUGGAGUGUUUCCAUGCACGCCCUUAAUUUCCUACAUUCACACAUGCAGGAAUGUCGUGUUGAAAGUGGCCUCAAGUCGAUCCUUUCGGUCAACCAGAAGGAGGAAGCGGUAAGGACUUUAAUUCGGAGAGUGGACCGCGUCCAAAACUUUCAUAAAAAUUCCUGUUUAAAUUCACUACGAAAAAAUUCAGUAUCAGAUCGUGUAACAAUUAAAAGGGGUCACACAUUUAAAUGCGAAAGAAUGCCAUAGAGAUUGAGAAUGCUGGAUCACAAAUGUAUUUUUAGUCGGGGUCAAAUUAUCGAUGGAUUUCAUUGCUAAUUUUCAUGAAAAUGCGAAUGAGACAUUUGGACGAAAAAUUUAGGUGUUGACUUUAAUUUCUCUUAAAAGCUAGUAAGUUACAAUUUCUUUUUAAAAUUAUCCCUGGUUGAAUUUUUUUUUUCAUUCUAGUCUAAAGAUCGAGGCUGCAUACGAAAUUGGUCUCAUGAAUUUAUUAGUGCUGGUAGAAUUCUAAUUUCGAGUCAAGAUUCACGCAAAGUAAAUAGGCAGCAGUACAGAGGUUUUCCGAAUUAAUACAAUGCGACUCAUUUCUAGUGGAAAUAAGGAGCAAUGCUACAUAAGAAAAUCGGACAUUUAUAUAUCUUAAGAUGGAUGGAGUAUGAAGAGGAAAAUAGUGCAGCAGCCUUCUUCGGUAAUUUUUUUUCUCAUUUUUCAUUUUCUUUGCAAAGUCCAAAGAGUUGGUAAUUAAGUAAAUCAUUUUCUAAAAUUCAAUAAUUGUUUUCCACCUCGUACGAUACACUGAUUUUUAAAAAUCUUUGUAUAAUUGGUAACUAUUUUGGGCGAAAAAAAAAAAAAGAUAAGAUAAGUGAGCUCAAAAGUUUCUUGUGUGCAAAUUCAUAUGAGUUUCCUUACCGUUGAAAUUGAAAUUGGCUGAAAGGCUAACGUUUUCGUGAGAAAUACGGUCUAACUCCUUUUGAUGACAAUGACAUGGGAAGCAAUUGCCCUCCCCUCCUGAUGCACCUCUGGAUCCCAUGCUUAAUAUGCAAGGGCCGCAUGGGAUUCUCCUUCCAGAGUACAUUCUCCUACUUAAAUAAUCCAAUUAUUUUCCUCUUUUUUCCUAUAAGUUUUGUUUAACUUCCAGUUAUUAAUUUCCUAUAUGUAGAUCUUAGUACAUCUCUCUACUUGUGCUUUUGUUCCUGGUGGAAUAAGGGGAUUAAAUCUCUCUACUUCUGCUUCUUCUUUUUAUCUCCCUAUCCAUAAAUACAUGUACACAUUGUUUGUCGUAUCGUUUAUUUUUUUCCGUAACUUCAUUUCAUUAUUUACAAUUCAAAUAUUUUGUAAAAAUUGAUUUAGUUUAAUCUUUUGAAUAUCAAAUUUCUGCACGUACAUAAUGCUUAUGCGGAUGAUAAAUGAAAAGUCAUAGAUCUUUAUUGGAGGAGAAAAAAAAACGCCACCUACUGCACCACCUCAGCCUCUAGAAUUAAUUAUUUUCUUAAGUUGGUCCUCCGCAAUUUCCAAGCCUCUUUUGGGUUGACCGGGUCUUUCUUCUCUCCAAAAAAUCAAACUCUCAUAUCAUUUCGUGGACUCCGUGCCUUUUUCUAGAUCUCUUUCGAAAAUUUCAUGAAGUCAUCUAUUUCUUAGAUUCUUGAAUAUCAAUCUGCAUAUUGGCUUUCUCAUUGUUGAAGAGGUUUAUUGCUCGUGGAUGUUAUUAUUUGCUAGUAAUGCUAUACGCCGUGAGAAGAUGUACAAAAAUUCUCAUGCUAUAUGAUGUGCUGUGCUCUCUUUGGUUGUAGGUUGAUAAACAAGACCGGCAGACAGGUGGAAUUCUUGGCUGAACAUAGAGCUUUACUCUUCGAGUCGACAAGAUGCCGCGAGAUGAAGAUAUAGCCUGGAAGUACGUGGAGAAACUCGAGGGCAAGAAAUGGCGUUGUUAUUACUGCGGGAAAGUAUACAAUGGACAGGUUACAAGAGUGAAAAGUCAUUUGGGUGAAGUCAAAGGAAAAGGGAUUGGCAUCUGCACCAGCGUCCCUGGUAAUAUAAGAGAUCUAAUGCUGUCCUUACUCAAGAAGGAGACUGAAGAAGGGAGCAGACAAGCCAACCAUCAAUCCUCCACGGAACGACUGUUACAUGACAUGCCAAUGCCAAUGCAAGCUCAAAAUGUUCAUCAAGACGUUUCUUUGUCACAAACAAGCCUCGAAUUGGUGGGACCAAGGUUGCCGAUGCCAGGAGGGGUGGCCGACAUGCCAAACUUCACCCACCAGUUAAGCUCUAACCAACAAUCGCAAGCAGAGUAUCCGUUUCCAUGGAGUUCAACCAUGCCGUCAUUGGUGCAAAAUAAGCAGGUAGCUUCCGGUGCCAGCCAAAUUAUAUUCCAAAGUGACAGUGCGUUGAAUCCUAAUGACACGGAGAAAACGAAUCAACCUGGGUGCAUGCCAGAGCGGUCAUCUUGCUAUUGGCAGACCGGAAUUGGUACUGAUUCAGCAUGCCCUCAGGAUCAAGUAUUUUUGCAUUCUGGUAAUAUGCCUCUGGAUAAUCUAGGUACCACCCAGCAACCCGAUUUACCGAACCAUAGGUUGGAUAUGGCCCAUGGAAACAAAAUUGCUUCAUCUCUCUCAAUUACUGAGCUACAAGAGUUUCUCGACCAACCAACUCCUUGUGAAACAGGGCAUGAAGAACAAAAUUCUAGAGGGCUUUCGUCAUUCCUAAAUGAUCAGGUUCUCCGCAACACUUCGUCAAAUGGGCUGCAGGGGUUCAUUGGAGGUGAUUCACCGCUGUAUUCACAANNNNNNNNNNNNNNNNNNNNNNNNNNNNNNNNNNNNNNNNNNNNNNNNNNNNNNNNNNNNNNNNNNNNNNNNNNNNNNNNNNNNNNNNNNNNNNNNNNNNUUGCCUAUUGGAAGAUCAUCAUAGCAAGAUGAAGAUGCACGAUUUGAUUAGAGACAUGGCAUUGCACAUCAUGGGUGCGACUUCCAUUGUAAAAGCAAGAAAGAGGUUGGGAAGUAUUCCAUAUGAGGAAUAUUGGACGGAUGCUUUGGAGAAAGUUUCUCUGAUGGGAAGCAUAAUAAGUGAAAUUCCAUUGAACAUGUCACCAAAUUGUCCUAAACUAUCAACUUUACUAUUGGAUGGAAGCUUGAUGGUUAAUGUGGUCAUCCCUGGUUCUUUCUUCAAACAGUUAUGUGGGCUAAAGGUUCUAAACCUGAGUGACUGUGUACUAACAGAACUUCCAAAUUCCAUCUCAGAUUUGGUAAACUUGAGGGCACUAUUGUUUAGAGGGUGUCGGGGAUUGAGCCAUAUUCCUUAUUUAGGGAAGCUCACAUCUUUAAGAAAGUUGGACGUUAGUGGCUGUUUUGAGCUUGAAGAAGUGCCCGAGGGUCUGGAAAUGUUGGUGAACUUGAGAUACCUUGACCUACGUUUUUCAUUGACCAUUGAAUUACCUAAAAGAGUACUGGAGGGUUUGCUAAACUUGCAGCAUCUUAUAGUUUAUUUUCUAGAUGGACAAGACAUGACAAAAUUGAGGGCACUGGAGACACUCAAAUGAUCUUUUGAAGAUGCAAAUGAUUUCAAUAAGUGUGUGAGGGUUAUUGAACAGAGUAACCCUCGCUGCUGUUAUUAUCUCGACAGGAUGAAAUAUAUUAUGAUGAGAAAGACCGUGAUAUUACUCAAAUUGAGAAAAUUGAGAAUCCGGAGAGNNNNNNNNNNNNNNNNNNNNNNNNNNNNNNNNNNNNNNNNNNNNNNNNNNNNNNNNNNNNNNNNNNNNNNNNNNNNNNNNNNNNNNNNNNNNNNNNNNNNGAAUGCACCGGCGUUUUUAUUUUGAUUCCCCAAGACGUGCAGAAAAUGGAAAUGACUUGGUGCGACGGUAUAACAAAUUUGUCUAGCAUAGGUCCGCUUGAAUACCUUGAGGAGCUAGAUAUAUGCAACUCAGAAAACUUAGGGGUGCUCUGUGGAGGAAAAGACAAAGAAGUAAUCGACAUCUUUGCCCCAGCCCUUGCGCCUCUCCUCUUCUCGAGCCUUGGGUAUUUGAAAAUAUGGGAGUGUCCGAAACUGAAGUAUCUCUUUGGGCAUGGGUCUAAAUUCGACCUUCCACAUCUACGAGUGAUUGAAAUAGAGGAAUGUGAGGAGACGGUGGGGAUAAUAGCAGCAGUUACAUCCCCACCACCACAUCCGCUCCCAUUUUUCCCUAGUCUGGAACAGAUAAUAGUUAGGGUGUGUGAUAAAAUGAAGAGAGCGGUGGAAUCUGAGUGGAUGCCCCACUUCCCUAAUCUGAGAUGUAUUCGUGUAUCGGGUUGUGAUGAGAUGGAGGAGAUAAUCGGAGGUCCUCCCCCAUACUCGCCGGAUGAACAGAUUUCUCUCGAAUCUCUUCAAGUACGUUACUGCAAUAACAUGAGAAAGCUGCUUACGUAUGAGUGGCUGCUCCAUCUUCUAAAUCUUCAAAGUAUCGAGGUCGAUGAGUGCAAAGGAAUGGUGGAGUUGAUAAGCGGAGCGGGACAAGGCCAAGAAGGAAGCAUAACGACUUCUGUAAACAACACUCCUUCAUCCUUCCAGCCUUCUUCAAUUUCUCUCCCAAAGCUAGAGUGUUUGAAGCUACGCGAUCUACACCAGCUGAAGAGCAUAUACGAAGCCCCAAUAAGCUGCGAUUUCAUGAAAAGAUUGGACGUGUGCAGAUGCCCAGAACUGAAGAGGAUUCCUUUGCAACUGCGAUUGUGUGAAAUUGAGGAGCUUCCGCAUAUCUGGAUGCAUGAAGAGGAAAAUUGGAAGACGUUGGUGUGGGAUCAUCCCGAUGCUCAGGCUAUUCUUCGACCUUAUCUCCGAAAAGGGCCAGACUGGCUUCCAAAUGCUAUAGGUUAAUGAGUUUAAUUGAUAUACGAUUGCUUCACUUCUUAAAAGUCCUUUCAAAGAUAUAGCUUUUCUGUCUAUAUAGUCAUGCAGCUCUAACGGCGGCCUUUUGCAGAACUGUUCGCCGGGGGAAAGGAUCAUCCUUGGCUCUAAUCUUGAAGAAAGCCCUGCUACUCAAGCAUGCUUUCCUGCAAACUCGACUCAAGUUGCCAUAUGAAUUGACUUUCUUUAAUGUGGCCAUGCUUUGUGUAUUUGAACGCAAUCGCAUUUUUUUUGGCUACUGGAAAUGAGUCAAUCUGGUCGAUAUUUCGGGUUAGUCAAAAAAAUGAAAGGACAAUUUAUUAUUAUGGAUUGAUCUUCCAGGAAUAUUAGCCUUCAGAGAAAAGAGAGAAUUUUAGGCAGCAGUACCUUUAAUCUGUUUGUGUUUAGAAAUGAUUUCAAAUAUAAUAUUGCUCUAACUUGUCGAUCGAAAAUGUUGNNNNNNNNNNNNNNNNNNNNNNNNNNNNNNNNNNNNNNNNNNNNNNNNNNNNNNNNNNNNNNNNNNNNNNNNNNNNNNNNNNNNNNNNNNNNNNNNNNNNAGUAUAGAAUACUUGAUUUGCUUUAGUUAGUUGUAUCAUAUCUGGAAACACAGGCGGCCCAGGAAAGUUUUUCUUUCCUCCCCUUUGCUGUAAAAGGUCACCUUAGCCCCCACUUUAGGGUUAAAAUGUAAAAAGACCAAGAAGAAAGAAUUGCACAAUUAUCACCCCUCUUUGAAUGCCUCGAAGUCAUGAAUAGAUGGAUAACCCUACAUCUUCAGCUCAAGUUGCUGAAACCACUAGCAAGUCAAUGG